GUGUGUGUGUGUGUGUGUUUUAGUUCAAAAUUAAUGACUAAUAUUUAAUUGACUAUAGCAAGACUCUAACCAUGGUUAAAAUAAUUAAUUUCUUCCAUAUUUUUGCUCUCAAAUAUUUUUACAAUCUCACAAUUUUUUAGCUUUACAUUAUCUCUUUCCUAAAAAUAUACUACUUUGAACAAUGACUACAUUUUAUUGAUCUUUUUUGUUUGGUUCAUAAUUUAUUAAUCUCAUUGAAUGUGCUUGACCUUACUUUAAACAAAGACUAUAAUAAUUCAAAAGGAAUUACGAGCACAAUAAUUAUAAUUAUUAAACUCAAAACAAAUUUCCCAUCCAAAACGAACUUACUUCAUUAAGAUACAAAAAAAUUUGCGAAACUAUGACUAUUAAAAAGAAAUGAAGAGAAGUGUGAUAUGAUUGGAGUUUGCCAUCGGCUAAGCAUGUCUAUAUGUGAAACGAUUUCAUCACACCUUAUUAUUUUUUCUAAAUUUGUUUCUCGUUUUCAUGAGAGAAAAAUCUUGAACUGAAACUAAUUUUUCAAAAAUUAUUUAAAUAUUUUCUUGCACUACUACUAAUUUAUAGUAAUAUAUAAGUCAAAUUAAUGUUCUAAUCACUAUAGGAAUUUAGGAAAGAGAGAAAAGUUUCUAAUAUAUUUAUAAAAAUAUAAUGUGAAGUUAGAAUUGUGGGACUGCAAAUUUGGGAGCAACAACGUGAAAGGAAGUAAUUAUUCUAACCAUAAUUAGGGUCUUGCUUUAGUCAACUAAAUCUUAAUUUUUAAUUUUAAACUAUGACAUGUGUCUCAAUCCAAGUAAAAACUUGAGAAAAUGGAGACAAUGAGAAAUGGAGAGGAUUCUCAUCCAUUUUUUGUGAUAUUGCAAUUACAAGAUUUGGUUCUCUACUAAUUCAAUGAGCCAAACUUUGAGAAGAUAUCUAUAUAUGACAUGAGAAGUACGAGAAUCAUCACGAGAAAAAAAAAAGUUCCAUUACCACUUAAUUUGAUUUUUAUUGUAAUUCAUAUCUAAAGGUUAUGUUAUUGUUUAAUAAAAAUCAAAUAUGUUAAGUGACUUAAUUUUAAUAUCAUUGGUAUAGAGAAACACAACUAUGAGUGUGAAUACCCAAUUUUUGCACUAUUUUAACACCUCGUAAAUUUAUUAGUAUUUUGUUAUUUUAAUUAUUUAUUUAUUUUUUCCAAAUUUUGUGUCUUUAAUUGCGUGUUUCCUAUCAUAAAAAAUACAAAGAAAAAAAAUAGUUCUUUCUUCAUUAUGUAUUUUAGAAGUUAACUAAUUGUUCAAUAAGUGAAUUAAUCUAGUUAAUUGAUCAUUUGAAUAAGUUAUUUAAUUAAUUUAUUUGUUUGUGUAAAUUAGUUUAAUAAGUAGGGUUAAGGAAGAAAUUGGGCUAAAUUUGAAAGAGAAAGUGGCCAAGAGUGCAAGAUAAGGGGCUGCCACUAAAAGGGUCUGAAACGGCGUAGUUUUGCCUCAAAACUAUGUCGUUUCAUUAAGUGACCCAAGAUCAAAUCUCACCCAUUGAUUACCCCUUGAUCUAAUGGUCCAUAUUUGAUCUCUCAAAAGGUAUUUAAAGCCUCAAAAAUCUGAAAUUUGCCCUCAUUUCCCCCAUAAUUCUUUUCUUUUUCGUCUCUCUUCUCUCUCUCUCUCUCUCUCUCUCUCUCUCUCUCUCUCUCUCUCUCUCUCUCUCUCUCUCUCUCUCUCUCCUCUUUCUCCUCUGUGCCGCUCCACCUACCGCCCUGCUCCGCCGCUGGAAAUUGCCCACCGGCGGAGGCCCGCCUCCAAUCCGCCCCAAAAUUUUACCAUCCUAUCCUCUUACUCUCCUCUUUCCAAAUAUCCAAACCAAAACCUCCAAACACCCCUCAAACUCUAUGGAUUUUAGAUCUAAGAACCUUAGCCACCACCCAUUUUGCCCAAAUUCGUACGAUUCAUGGCAUCUCCACCCCAUGACACAUACAUAAACGAAUAGACCUCCACGAGACGUAUAUUUUCAUGUCAAUUUCCACCCCAAACGCCCCCACUACCCUACCGCCCGCUCACACUGCCACCACCACCCAAUGCCAUGAACCUCUGUUUUUGCUAUUAUAGACUCAAAGGCCUUCGUUUCUUUUUGGCAAGAUGCUAAAACCCUUUCGUUUUAGCGUUUGCCCGAAAGAAACGUGCGUUUAAUAGUCGGACAACCCCCUCUUGGCAUCUCUGGAGUUUUCUCAUGGCUCGAAUAGUUUCAAGCACGAUCGUUAGGUAUAAUCGUCAUCUCUUUAAUCAAUUUCUGAUUUUUUUAUGAUUAAUAGGUUGGUUUCUGAUUUUUGAUUUUUCUGUUUGGUUUUUUGUUGUUAAUUAGAGUUUCAAGUUAGGUUUAUUUAAUUAGUUAUCUCUAUUUAGUUUAGUCGUUUGUUAGACUAUUAUUGAUUAAACGUAAUUUUUAGUGUAUUAGUUAAAUCAUUUACUUAGUUAAUCGAUUGUUUAGUAUUUGAACGUCGUCGUCCGAUUGUUAACGAUGCCCUUUAUGUUUUGAGCAGUAGUUUGUGAAUUCAGUUGUUUGUUCUAUGUUUAGUUUGCACAAAUUAAUUUGCUUUAAUCUAGUUAGUUUGAGUUUGAGUUCCAUUUAAAGUCUUAUUUCUAUUUUGUCAAUUCUUAGUUAUUUGAGAUUGAUUUGGUUCAAAAUCAAUAGGGUGAUAUUGAUGUCGUUAAAAUCUGAAGUUUAGAUGGGUUUGAUAAUGAAUUAGGGUACUAGUGGCGUACUUUAUACUAGCAGGGUGGCUGAAGUGACAUUUUUUCUCAUUGCUUCUCACAUAGUAGAUUUUUAGGGUGUCCUUUCACUUUUUGGACAACCUUUGAACAGUGUUUAGCACACAAAGUCAGUCCUUUUGGACAGACUUUUGGUGAACCAAAAUUUGUCCAAAAAGUGACUUUAUUUGCCUAUUUAAGGGGCUGUUCUUUCCUCACUUCAAACACACUCUAUCACACAUUUGUUGGACAUCAGCUUAUACAUUCAAAAAAGAACACAAAACUAGAGAGUUUUUUUUAGUGAAUUUCCUGAGAGUAAAGAAUCUUACUAAAUGUAAGGCCCCAUAAAAUUUUGCAAAAGAAAAAAAUGUUUCGUGGUGCCGAAUGGUUUUUACGUGUUAAGGAUUAAGGCUCGGACUUUUUGGGUUGAAAAAUGCACAAGUAAGUAAAGGAAAAAUUUUGCCUGAAAAGUGCGUUUAUGCGGUCCAUUAUGCGACCGCAUAAUCACUCUGCGGGCCGCAUAAUGGCCGCAGAAGUGAGCAGGAAAGGGGCCAUUCUGACAGGAGCUAUGCGGUCGACUAUGCGACCGCAUAACUGUUAUGCGGUGCAUUAUGCGACCGCAUACGCAAAGAGAUUUUUGAUCAUUUUUGUCAGCAAUUAUGCGACCAUUAUGCGGUCCGCAUAUCCAUUAUAUGCGACCGCAGAACCGUUUCAGAACUUUAUUUUUGGGUUUUUAAAAUCCGAUCCUACUUUGUUAAAUACACUCUUUGGGUCAUUUUUGAACUAAAAUAUGAUAUGUUAGAGUGAGAGAGAGUACCCUAGAGUGAGAAGGUGUUCUUCAAUAAUUGUUCUUCAAUUUUUGCCCAAGUUUUGGAAGAUUAAGAAGGGAAACUCACUAGGUCUUCAUCCUAGAGGUAAGAGUCUACACCCUAACCCUCACUUUCGAAUUUUAUGUAGAAAUGGACAAUUAGCAAGAUAAUUUCUGGGCAGGAGGGUUGUUUAUUUACAUGCAUGUGUUAUAAAAGAGUGUAGGAAGAUUGUUGAGCUAAAAAUGAUAAAGAUUGGGUUGUGGGAUGAUGGAAUUCUCCAUAAAAGGACCCUGAAACCUUAAUGCACACUUAGUGUUUGAUAAAAUGCUCAAAUGAGUUAGGACCAUGAUCAUCUUCCUGAUUUUGAUUCAAUUUAUCAUAUUUCUACAAUAGAUUGAAGUUGCUAAGAAUUUCGGAACAUUUAGAGUGUAAGGAAGCUCAAGUAAGGUAUGUUGGCUAAACUUUCUCUCUUGAAAUAGAUAUCCAUAAUGUUUCUGUAAGAUCAAGUAUGAUUGGUUCAAGAUUCCUAACUUCUAUAUUCCGGGUUAUUCCCUAUAAACUUGUUUAUUCCGACUGAGCCUUAUGUCGAAAGAUAGAUGUUCAAAGUAUGGUUUGCGUAUUAAAAUGGUGUGGCUUUGAGUCGUGUUUUAAAAGAAAACUAGUAUACCAAUUGGGUGAGAAAAACUCGAUAUGCUUAAGACUCAUAAUUGCUCAUAUGUGUAACUAAACUCUGGAUUGGAAAUGUAUUAUUGUUGAUAACCUAUAAAGGUGGUUGGAAAUAAAAUAAUUGAAUUGGGGGAUAUAGUGUGUGGCCAACGUGCCAAGAAUUUAAGUUACGACUGUGGCUAGUAGUGCAAAUGAUUUGAGAGAAUGAAAUAAAGAAUAUGAAAUGAGCCUCGACUCAAUUGUUUAAAAACGAUUUCGAAAAUAGAAUUUUCUAAAAGCUUUUGUACUCAAUUCAUGCCCAUAAGUGGCUGCUUUAACUAAUGCUUUGCUUCAUAAAUAUAUACAGUGUGAUUCGAGUUCUAUAUACUCAUGUGUUGAAAUUGUAUAUUGUCAUUUCUGGGAAGAGUAUUGCAAGAGUAAAUGUUGUAUUGAUUGUUUAUGAUUUUUUAUGUGUGUUUCUAUUGUUGGUUGGUAUGCUUCAUUCUUUGGGAAGAAACCAUUUGUGUUUAAAGUUGCCAUUACAAAUGAAUUUGAAGUAUAUGAUUUUUGAAAUAUUCUAUAUGUUGGUAUUUGAUGGCGAUCUUUGAAAUUGAAAGAGGUGAAAGUAUGGAAUAUCAAAUACGGCCAUCGUGCCAGGAAUAAAAAAUCUUGUAAAUGGCCCAAUGUGCCAAGAAAAUAUUGUCGUUGUGAAUGACUGAAAAUACUAAUGAGAAUUUAUACAAUGUGAAAAUGUUGAGGUGAGUAAAAUUGUAUUUAUGUUACCUUUGUGUGCAAAUCAAAUCAAAAAUAUUUUUUGGAGCAUGAUUAGCAAAACCGAGGAAGGGUGGUUCAUAAGGCCCAUACCUGAAACUACACGUGCCGGUGUAGGGGUGGAUUGUGAUUAUUUUCCUUAUUUGGGAUGAAAUUGGAACCUUUGGGAAAUUGUGAUAUUAUUUCCCUUAAUUGGGAUGAAACUGGAACCUUUGUGGAUUGAAAAAAGUCAACCCACACGGCAUAUGUGGGAAGACGGCCUAGCUGAUCGGGUGGAGAUCAGACGCCAUGUUGCACACAUGGUGGUACUACUCUUGCUAACAACUUUCUUUCGCAUCACCUGUCAAACCACAUUGUCCGUGGGGAGAUGGCCUAGCCGAUCGGACUCCGUGCUAACAAAGACGGUGGUAUAUCGGUGCUAAUGAUCUCCCAACCAAAAAUUAUAUAUGAAGUUCGUAUUUUAAAAAUUAUUAUAUUUUAAGUGGACAUUUGGAUAUUGUUGAUUGUGACUUGUUGUUUCUAUGUGUUGCCUUUUCUUAUAUGAGCAUUCUAUUUUGAAAGAGAAUUUUUAGCUAUAUAUACUAGUGCUAUUCGACAGUACUAACGUCCCUUUUGCCGGGGGCACUGCAUCUUUAAUGGAUGCAGGUGGUUCUUUAGCAGGCGACAUUGAUCAGUGACAGCAGUACACUAUUUUCAGCUGAUUUGGUGAGCCCCACUUCAUUUUGGGGUCAUGUAUCUUUUGUUUCUCAUGUACUGUAUUUUGAGGUAUAGUCGGGGCCUUAUUGCCGGUAUUUUUAUAUUACUCUUCUAUUAUAUUUAGAGGCUCCGUAGACAGGUUGUGGGUUGUGGUUGAAGUUGUGAAUUGAACUAGAAAUGUUGGUAUUUGGAAAUCAUGUUUUUCAUUAAUUCUAUAAAUUUGUAAUGUUUUGAAAAUUAUGAAUGAAGCUGCUAAUGGGAAUGAAAAGGAAGUUGUUAAUAAAAUCUUUUCAGUGAUUGAUUAAUGGAGUACAUCUCCUCUUUAUUCACGGAUGAGUUUGGGUAGAAGAAAAUCUAACAGACUUGCUCGGCCGGGUUCUCUCGGUUGAGCGCCGGUCGCGCUCCCCGAGUUUGGGGCGUAACACUAAAUAUAAAGUUUUGGAGUCGUUUUUGGUUUCUUUCUCCUUCGGAAGUUGCUGAGUUUCUGGGUUUGAUUACUGCUGAGUUUUUCACUGUUUUUACUGCUGUUGCUGUUUCAUUUGGCUGGAGUUUGGCUUGUUGGUUCCCUGCUCUGCUGUUUUUCUUCUAGUUUCUGCCAACUAGGUAUUUUUCCAACUCUAUAGUUUAGUUCUUAGUUGCAUAAAGUUAUGGCAACGUUGUAUUGAUGUGAUAUAACAGUUUUCUUUAUAUUUGUGUUGAUCUUUUGCUCAUAAAUGGAUGAAUGAAUGUUCUAGUUUUCUUUUAGUGAUUUUUCUUUAAGUUUGACAUAACCUUUGUUCCCCUACAUUUUCAUUUGUACUUGCAGAGUUAUGUGCAAAUAAGUUCAAAUACAUGUUAAAGUGUGUAAGUAGAUAAAGCAUUUUAUUUAUUUAUUUAUUUAUUUAUUUAUUUGUUCAAAUAUAAGAAUGGAUAUUUAGAAGUUCCUCCUUAGUUUUAAUAUUUUUGAAAGGUUGUUAAAAACAUGUUUUAGCUUGAAAAGUUGUGUAUCAUUGUUGAGGUAGUAUUCAUGUUAGAGUGAAUUGGGUAGUAAAAUUAAGUUUGUUUAGAAAGAAUGCUCUUCCAUAUAUAUUUUAAGGAUUUCCGGGUUGGAUAGUAAGUUAUCAAGUUAAGCUUUUACAUGUGACUUCUAAUUGUUUAUAUGAUAAAUUAAAAAAUAUCUUCUUUUUUUUCUUAAUUUGUCUUAGUAAAUACAAAUGUUUAAGUUUGGAAAGAUAAGGUAUUGGAUUGUUAAGCAGUAUGGGUUUUGGGGUUGGGUUCGAGAAAUCACUUUUGGGCUAAAUAAUUUCUAGCAGCCCAACACCAAUAAAAUCCAACAACUGAUCCAUUUUUUUUAAUAAUAUAGCUGCCCCAUUCUUUAUUAAAUCGGGGGAUUUGCAGCCAUACCCUAUAUUUGUGCCACCUUUUAACAUGUACCUUAUUUUUAAAAAUUAUUGAUUUGGUACCCGGUUGGCAAAACAUCCGUAAUAAUAUGACCAUUAUACCCAUGACAAAACAUAUAAAAGAUGCAUCACGCAUAAAUCACUUUACGGUUCUCCUCCAUCACUCCGUCCCUCCUCGGAUCUUCUCUCGCAUCUGCCAUAAUCACGAAACCAGAAAAUUGAACCAGAUUCAAAUUCCAAAUUCAAAAUUAUAAAAUACAUUGUAAGUAUUGCAAAUUAUCUUCAGAAUUCAAAUUAGUUUUUGAAAUUGUAUGAUCUUCAUGAAUUCAUCAUGCUUUUUAAGUUUUAAUUCAAUCAACCCAUAUAUUUUAAUCACACAUGCAUGGAGUUAUAGAAUAAAUUUGUUUCUGGAUACUGUUAAAUGCAGGACACAUAAGCAUUCAACAGUUUUGUCAUGAGGACAAAUAUGCUGAAGUUUUUGGUUUGUUUGCUAGAACAUGAUACUAAACAAGCUGAGUUUUUACAUAAUUUACUAAACCUUCACACCAAAAUGCUGAAAUCUUUGUCUUGCAGUAUAAAAAAGCUGAAAUUUUUUAGUUCAUUUGCUAAUACUUCAGCACUAAAAUAUGCUGAAUUUUUAUCCUGGAUUCAAUAGUUUUGUCAUGAGCUUUUUCCGAAACUUCAGCAGAAGAUGCUGAAGUUGUUUAGUUCAUUUGUAAAAAUUUCAGGACAAACCUGCUGAAGUUUUCCUCCUGCAUUAUGUAAUUUCCUAGUGAAUUUANNNNNNNNNNNNNNNNNNNNNNNNNNNNNNNNNNNNNNNNNNNNNNNNNNNNNNNNNNNNNNNNNNNNNNNNNNNNNNNNNNNNNNNNNNNNNNNNNNNNNNNNNNNNNNNNNNNNNNNNNNNNNNNNNNNNNNNNNNNNNNNNNNNNNNNNNNNNNNNNNNNNNNNNNNNNNNNNNNNNNNNNNNNNNNNNNNNNNNNNNNNNNNNNNNNNNNNNNNNNNNNNNNNNNNNNNNNNNNNNNNNNNNNNNNNNNNNNNNNNNNNNNNNNNNNNNNNNNNNNNNNNNNNNNNNNNNNNNNNNNNNNNNNNNNNNNNNNNNNNNNNNNNNNNNNNNNNNNNNNNNNNNNNNNNNNNNNNNNNNNNNNNNNNNNNNNNNNNNNNNNNNNNNNNNNNNNNNNNNNNNNNNNNNNNNNNNNNNNNNNNNNNNNNNNNNNNNNNNNNNNNNNNNNNNNNNNNNNNNNNNNNNNNNNNNNNNNNNNNNNNNNNNNNNNNNNNNNNNNNNNNNNNNNNNNNNNNNNNNNNNNNNNNNNNNNNNNNNNNNNNNNNNNNNNNNNNNNNNNNNNNNNNNNNNNNNNNNNNNNNNNNNNNNNNNNNNNNNNNNNNNNNNNNNNNNNNNNNNNNNNNNNNNNNNNNNNNNNNNNNNNNNNNNNNNNNNNNNNNNNNNNNNNNNNNNNNNNNNNNNNNNNNNNNNNNNNNNNNNNNNNNNNNNNNNNNNNNNNNNNNNNNNNNNNNNNNNNNNNNNNNNNNNNNNNNNNNNNNNNNNNNNNNNNNNNNNNNNNNNNNNNNNNNNNNNNNNNNNNNNNNNNNNNNNNNNNNNNNNNNNNNNNNNNNNNNNNNNNNNNNNNNNNNNNNNNNNNNNNNNNNNNNNNNNNNNNNNNNNNNNNNNNNCUUUCACACCAAAACGCAAAAGUCUUUGUCUUGCAGUAUAAACAAGCUGAAAUUUUUUAGUUCAUUUGUUAAUACUUCAGCAUUCAAUAUGCUGAAGUUUUGUCCUGGAUUCAAUAGUUUUGUCAUGAGCUUUUUCAGAAACUUCAGCAGAAGAUGCUGAAGUUGUUUAGUUAAUUUGUAAAAACUUCAGGACGAAACUGCUAAAGUUUUUCUCCUGCACUAUGUAAUUUUCUCCUGCAUGCUGAAGUUAAAUUUCGUUCAUGCUUAAGUUUUGUCCAGCAUUAAACAACUUUUUCAUGAGCUUUUUUUCGAAAACUUCAGAAUAAACAAGCUGAAGUUAUUUAGUUCAUGUGCUAAAACUUCAGACUGAACAUGCUGAAGAUAAAACUUCAUGCUAAUAUGCUAAUAUUUAUUUCAUGUGCUAAUAUGCUGAAGUUAUUUAGUUCAUGUGCUAAAACUUCAGUCUACAGAUGCUGAAGUUAUUUAGUUCAUGUGCUAAAACUUCAGACUGAACAUACUGAAGUUUUUUUGUUUAUUUUCUAACACUUCACACUAAACAUGCAGAAGUUAAAACUUCAUGCUAAUAUGCUAAUAUUUAGUUCAUGUGCUAAUAUGCUGAAGUUAUUUAGUUCACGUGCUAAAACUUCAGUCUACAGAUGCUGAAGUUAUUUAGUUCUCCCUAUUAUGUCAAUUUUCUCCUUUUCUUUACCACGAUUUCUCUUUUGUUUUGUAAAAAAAAAAAAAAAAAAGCUUUUUUUCCCUUAAAUAAAUGGGCCAGAAUAACCCUUAACUUGGUUUAGCCCAAGCUCUCCAUGAUAGCCCAUUUAAGACUCCAUUAGAAGCAAAGCCCAAGAUUAGAGAAAUGUAUAUAAUUUAUUUUUACCGACUAGUCAAUUUUAUAUUUUUCCCAAAAGAUUAGCUCCAGCAUCAUAGAAUUCUGAAUUCACGGUAACGCAUUUCUUUCUCUUAGUACUUGGUAGCACAUGCUAAUAUUAUGCAUCUACUGUUUUUACCUUUCGUGAAAAAAGAAAAAAGAUUUUCUGAUUUUUCUUAUUUCUCUAAAUUAGGAGGAGCCAAAUAAAAACAAUAACACUUAAGUGCAUCUGACGUAAUAAAGGGAUUAUCAUACCAGAUCCCAUAAUUAAGACUUGAUUGAUAGAUUUUGUUUACCCUAAAAAAUGAAUAACAAUUAAAUUUGUAAGUGGUUUUAAGGAUAUGCAGAUUAAUUCGAUACAAACGAUAAAUUGCGUUAUAUUAAACAAAUAAAGAUAUAGUAAAUUUAAACCACGCGAUAAUUCCAGCCUUGAUGAAAUAUUCACCCUCGAUCCGGACUCACAAUGGCCAGGACUGAUGAACGAGAAUAAGAGCUUUCAAUCACAAUGAAAAUAAUAGUAUUUUGCUUUGGGAUACAUGUUACAAUAUGUUCAAUGAAUAAUUAGACUCCCCUUUAUAUAGUAGAGGAGUUUUACCCUAAGUACAAUUCUAUAGAAGGUAAAAAUCUCCCGUUUAACUGAUUACUGGUUUCUCGUCGGUACAUGCCGAGAUCUGUGCCGUGAUACCCGGUUGGUCGCGAUUAUUACGGCCUUCCGUUAAUCGUGUUCGAUUGCCCAAUAAUGCUCUCCGAAGUCUCCUGGGAUUUGGACCGAUCCCGGGGUCAUGGCCUCGAUAUACUUGAGGGCGGGCGUCGUGCCCCCGAUGCGUGACUCGAUGAGUCCCUUACCUCGAUUCCGGUUCCUUGUCAUCGCGUACCUUACUCGAUUUAUUUUAUCAGGAACCGGGCCGGCUUAUGGGUCCGGUUUUACUCGUAUACAGAUAGUCCCCUCGUUUCUCGGAGAGUAAGUUUUACGGAAACGACGAGGAACGACACGAGUUCUUCGAUCUCUUCUUCAACACGCUGCGACACAAAACGAUUAAGAAAUCGAAACGUCCAGUCAGUCGUGUCAUUAUGACCUCAAAUGCAUGUCGGCCAUCGGUUGGCUGCCCCUGGACGUGAAACGUCAUGGAAACCCUAUAAAUAUCCCCUUCUUCGUUUAUUUUUCACUUUACGUCCUAACAUCUACAUCGUGCCUUUAGGAUUUCAUUACCCCUUUUUAUACUUUAGCAUUUUUACCUUUGUUACUCAAGAUUUCUCAGUACGUUGCAAAUUUUUUACUCAUCCUCUACUCAAGCCAACACAUCUGAGCUUUUAACUUUCACCAUUUCUCUAUCUUUUUCAAGUUUUUUCAGAUAACAAUGGUAAAAACCUACAAAUCUGUUCCCCAAAAGGUCGCUUCUACCUCCCAACCGACUGCCGAAAUUAACAAAACCGCUCCCGAUGUGGUCGACUUUGAGAGGUCAUCCACUAACGUGGCUACCGAUGAACCGGCUGCUGAACCUCCCUGAAGAUGUUCAUUCCCGGGGGUUGUUCGGUUGCUAACGACUUCAAGGCUGAGAAGCCCUCUUCGGUGCAGGGUCGGCGUGAGGAGGCAUCGAGAUAUAUUUGCUCAAUCACCGAAGAUGACCUUCUCGCAGUCCGAAAGGACUGCAACUGGGCUGACAAGGACAUAGUGGUCCCCAACUCUGAGGAGGCCAUUACUAUACAUAUUGAGGGAUACCUAAGUGUUUACACUUAUCUCUUCACACUCGGCCCGGUGGACCCAGUCAUUAUAGACUUCUACAGGAGGUACGAGGUAUGCCUCGGUCAGAUCCACCCAUCGUUGUGGAGGAUCGUAAUCCUCCUUUAGUUUUUUGUGAACAAGAUCGACUCAUAUCGGCUCACCAUGGAUCAUCAACUACGUCUGUAUAGUCCCCGAAUCUUCUGAGGGGGACUGAUAAAGCUCGUGCGCCGGGCUAGUAAAGCCUCAUUUUCAAGCAUCGGGUAAGGACCUUGGACUUGAUUUCGGCCGAAUUUAGGCCAUUCCUCGAGAAGUGGAAUGCAUAACAUAAGUACAACUUUCCUUUAAAUGUUGAUUUCAUGUUCAUCUCCCUUUUCCUCAUUGGUAUUCGUAGCGGUGCAGCUGUUGCUCGAGUCCCAAAUGCUAUCCUUCGGUUGAAGGAGUGGAUCGAAGGCAUUGUUUCACAGAUGCCCUACUCCAAGCACUCAUGGCGCAAACUCUCUAAAAGCCGUUGGGAGGCCCGUUCCCAUGGUAAGAUCUCUUUCCCGAAUAAGUUGCGUUAUGCUUCUUCUUCUAGCAUCACGUUCUUAUUGCUUUUAUUUCCUUUUUGCAGAUUUGCCUAAGUCCGUUGAGCUUAGACCUCUGGUCGGGGACGAGGACUUGCCCGCUAAUUCUUCUGCUUCGGGGCAGCCCAGAGCCACAACAGGAGAUAAGAAAAGGAAUAGGUCCUCGAGUUCCUUGAGCUCGGAGAAAAAGAAACCACGGAGAAGGUUGGUCCAUAAGCCAAAGGAAAGCUCUGGCUCCCAAGUGCCUAACUUGAACUCAAUCUUCCACCUCAGGGACGAGCCUGAGGAGGACGAGCUCUUUGUGCCCCACGAGCUGUCUGUCUCCGAGGAAUGGAUGGCAGCCGAGGGGGAAAUAAUGGAGGAUAAUCCCCCCCCCCCAAGUUCAUGAGGCUGGUACAGAAGUGAGGGCCGAGAUCUCUCGAGACGCCGGUUCCCGCCCCACCGGGUGUUAUAGAUAUUUCGGGAUUGCCCUCGUUCACAGAGUCUAUGUUCGAUAAAGCCCGAGCGACGAAGGAGCGAUCCAAUGAAGGGGUUCAUGGAGCGGAUGAUCCCCUCUGAUGCUUCUUUGAUGGUGUAGACUCAACUGCUUUGGAAGACUUUAUCGGGUUGGGUGACUUAGAGGUGCCGAGGAAAAGUUCAUCCUCUGAGGUUGGUGGGUUAAACUAAAGCCCGAGGUUGAUCAAUUGGUUCCCUGCUCCGAUCAUAGAUCCUGCGCGGAAGCGAUCAGUUAUUAUCACCAUCCUGGAGGAUGCCCUGGUUAUUUCUGCCCCUGUCGGGGUGGCUAGCUACCUUCGGUGCCUGGUAAAUGAAGAAGACCAGACAAAAAUGAACGAGGUGGAUGCGCCAUGCUUGUUCAAUGAAGCACAACCAUCGGGGUCUUCUCCACCCUCGGAUCUGCCGGAAUCCUCAGAGCCUUCCUCGUCCUUGGGAUAUGCCGACUUCUUGCCCUCGGCCUCGAGCCUCUUAACGUUUCUUAUCUCGGCUGAUAAGUCGAAACUCCGGGCAUGAACUUCUUCGAGAGCCUCCCUUCCAGACUACCACUUCACGUAAUCGACAAUAACUUUCAGGAGGUCCUGAGCUACCUACUUUGUACUGGGCCACCAUCUCUUCAACAUCGGCCCUGGUUAUUUCUGUCACUGACUUGGCCGCUUUAAGCUCCUUGGCAAGUGUAUCCCGUUCGGCAAUGGCCGAGCCCUGUUGAGACUGGAGGUCUUUGAUUUUUUGGGACCGAGCCUGAGCUUUCUCCCUCGCCGCUCGAAGUUGGGCCUCCACCGAGGCCAGCUGCUCCCGGGGAGUCUCCUUUUUCGAAUCCAAUCGGUUCAUUUUUCCCUUCCAUUAUUCGGCCAUGGCCUUGACCUCGUCCAUCUCCGCUCGAAGCUGGUCGACCAGAUCAACCUUCUAUUGGACCUACGGUUCUGACCGUUAGUCACCAUGUCUAACUCAUCAUCACUAACUUCAAAGAUCUUUAACCGUUACACCAGGUUGGCAUGUUCUUUCUGAGCCGCGUCCAACUCGGCUCGAAGGUUCCUAACUUCUCCUUCACGUUGCUCGCUGAGAAGCUUAUACAUAUCUCUCUUCUCAGCAAGCUCUUUGACCUCGGCCUCGAGUUGGCUAAGCUCAUCCCGGUACCGGAGAAAGGUUUCAUGAUGAAUCACCGAGGCCUGCAAAAUAUGAAAAAGAGAAGGAAUUAGAGUCAUCAAAAACCCAAAUUCAAAGAUAAAAGAGUGUGACAACACCUCACCCGGUUCAUCGCAUGACGAGGCGGUCUCCGGCGAAGAUUAGGCUUAGGUGCCUUGUAGAUUUUUCUUUGUUUUUGUAUAUUUUGUUGAGGCCAUUUGGCCUUUGUAAAGAUNNNNNNNNNNNNNNNNNNNNNNNNNGCAUGUAGUAAUAAGGUCUUGUUCGGACGUUCGAACAAGGCUUGUUCUCGAUGUGAUUUUGUUUAGAACUCAUGGGGGCUUGGUAUAACCGUAAGCUUUCCCUAAAGUGCUUACUUAGAAGUUUUUAAAUUAUAAUUUUGUCGAGGGUAGCCUUUGAACCGGUUUAGUAAUUUUGAAGGCCUUAUGUUUUAGUUUCGGGUUUCAAAUGUCUCCGAGCCGUUUCUAGGAUGGCCGUAGCCUUUUAAGUUCGGGUAUUGCCCAAUAGGAUUAUUACCCCAGGCUUCGAUUCCCGAGCCAUCCGGGCUUGCCCAGUACGAGAGCUCCCGAAUGAGGAUGGCCGUGACUUUUAAAGUUCGGGCACUGCCUAAUAGGUUUUUGUGUCUUUGGGCUUCAACAGCCCGAGCGGUCCAAGUUUGCCUUGGACGACAGUCCCCGAGUGAGGAGAUCUCUUGGAUCCGGAUAGAGGUGGCGCUUGGGCUCGAUGUCCUUAAGGAACAAAAUGUAGUAGUUUUUAAGAGACAAAAUAUGUACUGCAAGGUAAAAGUUUUCUUUCAUUUCUGUGCGCAACAUACAAGAUGGAAAAUGUGUACAAGCUUCGUGUUAUGGCUUAAGUGAUCUAUGUGGGCACGACUUAUUUGACCGUUUAGCCCUUACAAUAAAUCCUAUCCACCAAGCCCAGACUGUUCGAACACAAAGUUUCCUACCUUGCUAAAAUCAUUAUCAAGAGUGAUGGCCCCCAGUAUUCGAGGCUGAUCAUAGAGAGGGCUUGGAUAUUGUUGAUGUGACCCUCGACUCUAGUUCAUAGCUGGUAUUCAAUUCUAAGUUAGCACAAUCUAGUGUUGCCUCGUUAAAAACCUUACCGGAUAACCCAUUUGGGACAAAACCGGUUCAAGGGAAAAAGAGUGCAACGCGUGCUUUCAGGCUUAAUAGCUGCAUCAUUCUUUGGCCAUUGCCUGCAAGUUUUAGUUCAAUAUGUAAUAUAUGUAAAGAAAAGAAUGAAUGGGGUCGUACCUUAGCAGUAGUACCGUUUUAAGUGGGUCACGUUCUAGUUGUUCGGCAGUUGCUCACCGUUUCUUGCUUCGAAUUUGUAUGAUCCUUUGUAGGGGAUCUCGAUAAUUCGAUAUGGACCUUCCCAAUUCGGUCCUAGCAUGCCUUCGUUCGGGUUCCGGUGUUUAGUGUCAAUUUUCUUAACACCAGGUCUCCGAUAUUGAAGUGUCGGAGGUUGGCUCUCUGGUUGUAAUACCUUUCGAUCCGUUGUUUUUAGGCGGCCAGCUGGACGAGGGCGGUCUCGCGCCUCUCGUCUAACAAUUCUAGGCUCGUGCACAUGUCCUCAUCGUUUGACUCUUCGAUCGCGUAUCGGAACCUAAAACUCGAUUCCCUUACUUCGACUGGUAUUAGAGCCUCGGCACCGUAGACCAACGAGAACGGGAUAGCCCCGGUACUAGAUUUGGAGGUCGUUCGAUAUGCCCAUAGGACUUCGGGUAAAAUUUCUUUGCAUUUCCCUUUGAUGUCGGCCAACCUCUUCUUAUGAUUUUGGAGUAUGGUUUUGUUCGUAGACUCUGCCUGCCCAUAAGAACAAAAAUUAAGAAAUUUGAAAGAAUCUAAACAUGAAUUGAACAUACCAGUAAUGAAUAAUGCAGGGAAGAAUAUAGGGUGAUGAGGUGAAUGCGAGAUGAUUGAAUCAAUUUGAGUGCACUGUGUUUGUUUUGGUGUCAACUAGUCAGAGUGUGUAAAGUUUUGAACAGUGGUUAAAGGUCACUACUUAUAGUUGGCCGAUUUUAGAGCAAGGAUUAGCAGCUGAGUGCGGCCGCACAAUUUUGUGUAUGGUCCGCACUCUUUACCUGUCACCUGCUUCCCUCUUUGUCGAUCUGCCGUCCGCACAAUUCUGAGUGCGGCCGCAUAUUUUUUGUGCGGCCACAGAUCGGCCAUUUCUCAGCAAUUCAAACUUCAGAGCGUUUGCAAUUUUGUGAUCUCUAGUUGUGCGGUCGGAUAAUGAAUUGUGCGGCCGCAGACUCCUUUCUGUUGUGGCCAUCAAGAUUGUGUGGUUUUAUUGUGUGGUCCGCACUUUUUUCCAUACUUAGCAUUUUUCCUGAUCCCACUUCCCGCAAAACACACAUAUUCCUGCAACAUACUUCAAAACCAGUUAGCACAAAACAAGACCUAUCUAAAAAAAGAAGAAAAAUAAAAAUGAAAAUAACUAUGGGUUGCCUCCCAAGAAGCGUGCCUGAUUUAACGUCACGGCACGACGCAUAUUACCAUCAAUUACUUGAAAUGAAUCAAUGCCAUAACGUGGCCAUCAUCAUCUUUUCCCAAAUAAUGCUUCACCCUGUGACCAUUGACUCUAAACACUUCAUCAUUUUUAUUCUUCAAGUCUAAUGCACCAAAGGGUGUCACACUCACAACCUCAAAUGGGCCACUCCAUUUAGACUUCAACUUUCCCGGAAACAUCUGUAACCGAGAAUUGAACAAUAACACAAGAUCACCUUCUUUGAACUCCUUGUUCCGAAUGACUUUUCAUGGAGGUACUUCAUCUUCUCCUUGUAUAAGGAAGAACUUGUAUAUGCAUGGUACCGAAAUUCAUCAAGCUCAUUCAAUUGGGCCACCCUUAAGUUGGCGGCGACAUCCCACUCAAGAUUUAGCUUCUUCAAUGCCCACAUAGCCUUGUGCUCAAGUUCCACCGGAAGGUAACAAGCUUUCUCGAACACUAACCGGUAUGAAGACAUCCCAAUCGGUGUUUUGUAAGCCGUCCUAUAAGCCUAUAAAACAUCAUCAAGUUUCUUUGACCAAUUCGUCCCGUUGGCAUUCACUGUUUUUGACAAAAUACUCUUGAUCUCCCGGUUGGAGACUUCCACUUGUCCGCUUGCUUUUGGGUGAUAGGGGGUCUUGACUUUGUGAGUGACACCAUACUUGGUGAGUAAGGUAUCAAAAGCUUUGUUGCAAAAGUGCGAUACCCCAUCACUUAUAAUGGCCCUUGGAGUACCAAAUCUUGUAAAGAUGUUCUUUUUCAAAAAUGCCACCACACUUCGAGAUUCGUUAUUGGGUAGAGCAACAACCUCAACCCACUUUGACACAUAGUCCAUAGCUACCAAAAUGUAGGUAUUUCCACAAGAGCUUACGAACGGUCCCAUGAAAUCAAUGUCCCACACAUCAAAAAUGUAAAUUUCCAAGAUGGUGGUGAGGGGCAUCUCAUUUUCUUAGAAAUCCCACUUGCUCUUUGACAUUCAUCACAAUGCUUGACUAGAUCACUUGCAUUCUUGUAGAGAGUAGGCCAAUAGAAUCCACAACUCAACACUUUCGUCGUCAUUCUCGCUCCACCAUGGUGACCACCAUAUGGUGAAGAGUGGCAAGCACCAAGAAUUUCCACUUGUUCCUCCUCCGGCACACAUCUUUGAAUCACGUCGUCGAUACAAAUCUGGAAGAGGUACGGUUCAUCCUAAUAGUAGUCAAGGCAAUCCCGUUUGAGUUUCUUCCUUUGGUUUGAAGAGAACUCAUUCGGUAUAAUACCACUCACAAGAUAAUUUGCUAAGUCAGAGAACCAUGGAAUCUUGGUCAUUGAAAUAGCUAUAAGUUGCUCGUCGAGAAAGGAGACAUUGAUUUCAAGGCCAUCAUGUGGCCUCCCCUCCUCCUCCAAUCGAUACAAGUGGUCUGCCACUUGGUUUUCAUUGCCUUUGCGGUCUUGGAUUUCUAGAUCAAACUCUUGCAAUAAAAGCACCCAUCUCAUUAACCACACCUUUGAAUCUUUAUUUCUCAUCAGGUACCGAAGUGCCACAUGAUCCGUGUGGACAAUCACCUUUGUACCUAUUAAGUAAGGGCGAAACUUAUCCAUAGCAAAAACAAUAGCAAGGAGCUCUUUUUCGGUCACCGUGUAAUUGAUUUGGGCAUCGUUCAUGGUCUUACUAGAGUAGUAGAUCGGAUGGAAGAUUUUGUUGAUAUGUUUCCCCAAAGCUGCUCUGACCACCACAUCACUUGCAUCACACAUGAGCUCAAAAGGUAAGCUCCAAUCCGGAGCGGUGAUAAUGGGAGUAGUUGUCAAUUUGGACUUGAGCAAUUCAAAUGCCUUCAUGCAAUCCUCGUUGAAAUGGAAUUUGGCACAUUUCUCCAAUAGCUUACACAAGGGGUUCACCACUUUGGAAAAAUCCUUGAUGAAACGGCGGUAGAUCCCUCCAUGACCCAAGAAACUCCUCACUCCCUUCACGGAUGUUGGGGUGAAAGUUUAGAAAUCACCUCUAUUUUGGCCUUGUCGACCUCAGUACUAUUCUUUGAAAUUUUGUGUCCAAGUACAAUGCCUUCAUCGACCAUGAAGUGACAUUUCUUCCAAUUGAGUACCAAGUUCGUCUCUUCACAUCUUGCCAAGAUCUUAUUUAAAUUUUUCAAGCAAUCAUCAAAAGAAUUCCCGACCACUGAAAAGUCAUCCAUGAAGACCUCAAGGAAAUCCUCCACCAUGUUCAUGAAGAUAGCCAUCAUACACCAUUGAAAAGUCGUCAGUGCAUUGCAUAAACCAAAUGGCAUCCGCGAGAAUGCGAAAGUACCAUAGGGACAUGUGAAAGUAGUCUUCUCUUGAUCCUCCGGUGCAAUAAGAAUUUGAUUGUAUUCGGAAUACCCAUCAAGGAAACAAUAGAAAGCACGACCGGCCAACCUAUCACGCAUUUGAUCAAGGAAGGGAAGUGAAAAAUGAUCCUUCCUUGUGACUUUGUUGAGCUUGCGAUAGUCCAUACACACUCUCCAUCCGGUCACCGUUCUUGUAGGAAUCAACUCGUUCUUGUCAUUAGUGACCACCGUCAUGCCCCCUUUGUUUGGGACACAUUGCACCGGAGAGGUCCACAAACUAUGGGAAAUAGGGUAAACAACCCCGACAUCCAACCACUUUAUGAUCUCCUUUUUGACUACCUCUUGCAUUGCUUCAUUUAGUCUUCUUUGAUGUUCAACGGAGGGUUUAGCAUCCUCCUCCAAAAUAAUCUUGUGCAUGCAAAAGGCGGGGUUUAUACCCCGAAUAUCCGCCAAUGUCCAUCUGAUAGCUUUCUUCCUCUUUUGUAGCACCACAAAUGUGGAGUCUACCUGCACUUUAGUCAAAUAAGAGGAAAGAAUAAUCGGUAAAGUAGAACAAGGGCCAAGGAAUUCAUACCGGAGAUAUGGAGGCAAUGGCUUUAACUCCAAAGUGGGAGGCUCCUCGAUUGAGGGUUUUGUUGGAGGAGUCUUCUAAUUUUCAAGAUCCAAGGACAAUUUGCGAGGUUCAUAAGUGUAAAACCCCAUUCCUUGCAAUGGAUUCACACAUUCCACAUAGCCAUCCUUCUCAUCAUCGUCAAGGUUGAGAAAAACAGCCUCCAAAGUAUCAUCCACAUUCAUCAUGGCACUAGUAUCAUCAAUAAUCACAUCGGUCACCAAGUCCACAAACGAACAAACUUCAUUGCUAUUCGGUUGCCUCAUAGAUUUGCACACAUGGAAAACCACAUUUUCAUCACCCACCCGGAAAGUGAGCUCACAUGCUUCCACAUCAACAAGAGCCUUCCCCGUAGCAAGGAAAGGUCUCCCUAGAAUAAUAGGCACCUCAUAGUCUACUUCACAAUCAAGAAUCACAAAGUCCGCCAGGAAGAUAAAUUUAUCAACACGAACCAACACAUCAUCAAUAAUACCCAAUGGUCUCUUUAUAGGAUGAUCCGCCAUUUGUAACCUCAUAGAUGUAGGUCUUGGUUUUCCAAUUCUCAAAGUCUUGAAAACCGAAUAGGGCAUCAAAUUGAUACUUGCCCCAAGAUCACAAAGAGCUUUUGCAAAGUCGGCGCUUCCAAUAGUACAAGGGAUUGUGAAAUUGCCGGGAACUUUUAAUUUAGGAUCCAUUGAGUGCACAAUUGCACUCACUUGCUGUGUCAUCUUUAUAGUCUCACAACUCAUCGACAUCUUCUUUAUCACCAAAUCCUUCAUGAACUUUGCAUAACCGGGAAUUUUCUCCAAAGCCUCAACUAAUGGCACGUUAAUAGAUAGGCUUUUCAUCAUGUCAAUGAACUUUUUGAAUUGAUUCUCGCCAUUUUGCUUGGCAAGCCUUUGAGGGUAUGGAGGAGGAGGCCUUGGCAUUGGUGUCUUUGCCUUUGGCACUACCGGUUUCAGUAUGUCUAUAAUGUGCUCCCUAGACGGGUUCACUUCCUCUUGAGUCUCCUCCACAUUGUCAUCAAUAUCAAUUCUUACUUCAUCAUUGUCUUGCACCAAAUUGUUUGGAAUCUUAUCUUCUUGAAUCACCUGUUCAUCAUCCAUAAUUUUUCUUUGACUUAAGGUGGUUGCAUCCCCACUUUUUUCACUCCUUGUAGUCAUGUCCAUGGCAUGUACUGUGUUGUUCCUACCAUUUGGGUUCACCACCGUGUCACUUGAUAGUGCCCCCUUAGGACGAGUGUUCAAAGCUUGCGAGAUUUGUCUCAAUUGAACUUCCAAAUUGCGAAUUGAAGUAUUGUAAGAGGCUAGUUGAGCAUCGGAGUCGGCAUUCUUCUUCAUCAUUUAUUUGAUAAUGUUCUCAAUUCGCCCCAUCUCAUUGUUGGAAGAGCAAGGACCAUGGGAAGGAUAAGGAGGUGGGUUGAUUGUUGUUGAUACAUCGGGGGCCUUUGAAAGCCCGACCCCCGAUUCCCUUAGUUAUUGUUCCAUCCCCCUUGGUUGCUGUCUCCCCAAUAUCCUUGACUAUUUCCACCCCAAUUUCUUUGGUUGUUUUGACCAUUCCAAUUUCCUUGAUUAUUUUUAUUAUUCCAAUUACCUUGGUUGUUACCACCACUCUAAUUGCCUUGGUUGUUUGAGUUCCAAUUCCCUUGAUUACCUUGAGAUCGCCAUUGUUGUUGAUUCGGGUCUUGAGAGUUGUUUCUUUUCCCUUGGAAGUUGUUCACAUAUUGUACUUCCUCCUCUUGUUCAUUGUAAGAUUUAUCUUGGUCAAACCCACUAUCUUCUUGCAUAUAUUGUUCCGCACGGUUUUGCACUUGUUGACCCUUUUGCCUUCUCUUGUUUACCAUCAUAUUGACACCCUCCAUUGCAUUUACUUGCUUAGGACCUUGAACUUGUUGAAGUUGAGAUUUGGCAAAUUGAUUUAUUGUAGUGGUCAACUCGGCAAUUGCUUGCCCAUGAUCAUGCAAUUCUUUAUGUAGGUGAAUCAUAUUUGGAUCACCUUGAGGAACAUUUGCUCUACUUUGCCAUGCAGAUGAAGUAUCUGCCAUCUCAUCUAAGAUCUCACGAGCUUUGGCAUAUGGUGUUGUCAUGGAAUUUCCACCGGCAAGUUGAUUGACCACGCAUUGAUUGGUAGUAUUGACCCCCCCCAUAGAAAGUUUGUUGAAUCAUAGCUUUCGUCAUGUCAUUGUUUGGGCACUCUUUCACCAUAGUUCGGUANNNNNNNNNNNNNNNNNNNNNNNNNNNNNNNNNNNNNNNNNNNNNNNNNNNNNNNNNNNNNNNNNNNNNNNNNNNNNNNNNNNNNNNNNNNNNNNNNNNNNNNNNNNNNNNNNNNNNNNNNNNNNNNNNNNNNNNNNNNNNNNNNNNNNNNNNNNNNNNNNNNNNNNNNNNNNNNNNNNNNNNNNNNNNNNNNNNNNNNNNNNNNNNNNNNNNNNNNNNNNNNNNNNNNNNNNNNNNNNNNNNNNNNNNNNNNNNNNNNNNNNNNNNNNNNNNNNNNNNNNNNNNNNNNNNNNNNNNNNNNNNNNNNNNNNNNNNNNNNNNNNNNNNNNNNNNNNNNNNNNNNNNNNNNNNNNNNNNNNNNNNNNNNNNNNNNNNNNNNNNNNNNNNNNNNNNNNNNNNNNNNNNNNNNNNNNNNNNNNNNNNNNNNNNNNNNNNNNNNNNNNNNNNNNNNNNNNNNNNNNNNNNNNNNNNNNNNNNNNNNNNNNNNNNNNNNNNNNNNNNNNNNNNNNNNNNNNNNNNNNNNNNNNNNNNNNNNNNNNNNNNNNNNNNNNNNNNNNNNNNNNNNNNNNNNNNNNNNNNNNNNNNNNNNNNNNNNNNNNNNNNNNNNNNNNNNNNNNNNNNNNNNNNNNNNNNNNNNNNNNNNNNNNNNNNNNNNNNNNNNNNNNNNNNNNNNNNNNNNNNNNNNNNNNNNNNNNNNNNNNNNNNNNNNNNNNNNNNNNNNNNNNNNNNNNNNNNNNNNNNNNNNNNNNNNNNNNNNNNNNNNNNNNNNNNNNNNNNNNNNNNNNNNNNNNNNNNNNNNNNNNNNNNNNNNNNNNNNNNNNNNNNNNNNNNNNNNNNNNNNNNNNNNNNNNNNNNNNNNNNNNNNNNNNNNNNNNNNNNNNNNNNNNNNNNNNNNNNNNNNNNNNNNNNNNNNNNNNNNNNNNNNNNNNNNNNNNNNNNNNNNNNNNNNNNNNNNNNNNNNNNNNNNNNNNNNNNNNNNNNNNNNNNNNNNNNNNNNNNNNNNNNNNNNNNNNNNNNNNNNNNNNNNNNNNNNNNNNNNNNNNNNNNNNNNNNNNNNNNNNNNNNNNNNNNNNNNNNNNNNNNNNNNNNNNNNNNNNNNNNNNNNNNNNNNNNNNNNNNNNNNNNNNNNNNNNNNNNNNNNNNNNNNNNNNNNNNNNNNNNNNNNNNNNNNNNNNNNNNNNNNNNNNNNNNNNNNNNNNNNNNNNNNNNNNNNNNNNNNNNNNNNNNNNNNNNNNNNNNNNNNNNNNNNNNNNNNNNNNNNNNNNNNNNNNNNNNNNNNNNNNNNNNNNNNNNNNNNNNNNNNNNNNNNNNNNNNNNNNNNNNNNNNNNNNNNNNNNNNNNNNNNNNNNNNNNNNNNNNNNNNNNNNNNNNNNNNNNNNNNNNNNNNNNNNNNNNNNNNNNNNNNNNNNNNNNNNNNNNNNNNNNNNNNNNNNNNNNNNNNNNNNNNNNNNNNNNNNNNNNNNNNNNNNNNNNNNNNNNNNNNNNNNNNNNNNNNNNNNNNNNNNNNNNNNNNNNNNNNNNNNNNNNNNNNNNNNNNNNNNNNNNNNNNNNNNNNNNNNNNNNNNNNNNNNNNNNNNNNNNNNNNNNNNNNNNNNNNNNNNNNNNNNNNNNNNNNNNNNNNNNNNNNNNNNNNNNNNNNNNNNNNNNNNNNNNNNNNNNNNNCUCAAGUAGAGACCAAGUCAAAUAGGCUUGAACCAAUAUUUGCAACCAUUAAUUCUACAAUUAUAGCAAGAACUAGGCUAAAUAAUACACACCCAACCAUAAACAAAUCCUAAAUCAAACACCCAUUAGGUUCCCACACUAGGGUUGGGUCACCCUAGCUAGAAAUUUAGCUACUCAUAGUGGAUAUUGAAGAAAAUAAAGAAGAAAAGAUGAUAAAACUCAUAUUGAAUGAUUAAUAGUUGAAAAUCCAAUAUAAAAUCAACAAUAUAAACUAAAGUUGCCUAAAAGAGUAAAGAAAAACGGCUAUAGACUGUUGGUAUUCAAAACUUAACCUAAUUUCGUAAAAAACGUCUAUUUAUACAUAGUUUAAAUUUUCGUACAAAAUUUCCCUUUCGGAGGUUCUGCGGCCGCACAAUUCUUUGUGCGGUCCGCACUUUGCUUCACCUCUUGACAGGAUUUAGAUCUGCGGCCGCACAAUUCUAUACUGCGGCCGCGUCUCUUGAGUUCUGCUGAUCGCACAAUUCUAGGUGCGGCCACACAAUUAUAGUGCGGUCCGCAGUUCUUGCUGGGCUUGGAGUUAGAAGUCUCUAAACCUUGACUUCUGCGGCCGCACAAUUAUAUUGUGGUCCGCACCUUGAAUUGCAGCUCUGUUAAUUCUUCUUCAUGUUUUGUGGCCGCACACAAAAUUCUGCAGUUCGCACUUUAGCUUUUUGUGCUUGAUUUUUGUCCUUGUUCAAAAGUACUCCUCUUGAGUUUGAUUUCAUCGUCAUGGCUCAUUUUCGAAUACUCCUGCAAGUAAGCAUAUUUAAUCAGUUUUCGGGAAUACCUUUAAACAUUUUUGAACUAAAACAAAAGUCAAAAGGCGCAAAUAAGUAAUCAAAAUCCCCACUUAUCAACAUGCACUGAUGAUUCAUCAUCCCGGGGAGCUGCUACAUUCGAUCUUGUCACCCUGUCCAUUCAUGAAAUGGGGAAUGGAUAUCGUUGGCCUCCUGCCAUGGGCACCCGGUAAGGCUCAAUUUAUAUUUGAUAUGACUGACUAUAUUUCUAAAUGGGUGGAAGCUUAGGCAUUUGAGAAAGUCAGGGAGAAAUAAGUUAAUGACUUCAUUUGGGACCACAUAAUAUUCCGGUUCAGAAUGUCGGCCGAGAUCGUGUGCGACAAUGGGAAGUAGUUAUUUUAAGGCUUAAAUGUCAAAAUUAAUCAUCAUGUGUGCUUAAAAUAGUGUGGGUAAUUUCAUACUUAUUAAUUGGGGGAUGGGUAAACUGUGCAUCAUGUUUAAUUUGCCAAUACCAUGUCUAAAUUGUGCAAAAAUUGAAAACAAAACCUAAAUUUAGUGCCUUCUAAUUUUAAAUUAUGCGGCCGCACAAGAAAUUGUGUGGUCCGCAGAUCCUUAGGCGAGGUUAAAGUCUAUGCAUUGAUUGUACGGACCGCACUCAAAAUUAUGCGGUCCACAGAAACUGAACUACGACCGCAGAAACAUAUGUGCGGCCACAGAUCAAAACUUCAAAGAAUUGGUAUUUCUGGGCCUUGAAUUGUACGGCCGCACUCAGAAUUGUGUGGACCGCACUUCAAUUGUGUGGCCGCACUUCCAACAUUGUGCGGUUCGCACAAGCCAUUCUGCGGUCGCACUCAAAAUUUUGCGGUCCGCACUUAACCCGCAUGCCCAUUGUUUUGUCUGAAACUGUUUUAUAGUUUAUGUUUGAGCUUUAACUGACUCAUGUUACUAUGUAUUGCAGAAAAUGGUUAGAUCAAGAGGACGUGGUGAUACUUACAAAUUGAGGGGUGAACCCUCCCGAGGCCGAGGCAGGGGUACCCUACCACUCUCCGUGCAAAGAGUGUUAUCUAAAAAGGCAACUGCAGGGUGAGGUAGAGCUGCAGAGCCUUCUGAGUCAAGUUUUUAUGCCUCGUCUAGGGAAGCAUCGGAGGGCGACUCAGUGCAAAGGCAGCAUGUUGUGCAAUCACAGCCACAACUGCCCCAGGAUAGAUACCGACUGAGAAAUGAGCCUACCUUUUCUGAGAGUACUUCUGAGGGGUCGGAAGGGAACAACCAGGCUUCGGAGUCCUCAUCUACUCAUGCCCCCGCCGCUCCAGUCACAGUUGAUGAUGAUGAUGAUAAUCUGUAUGACGGACGUACGAGAGGGGGGGUGAUACCAGAGUUGCAGGCCUAGAGAGGUCAAAGAAGAAGGAAGUUUGGGAAGAUAGGUUUGUGAGCCUGACAACAUUCAAUAGGUUCCAAUAGUGGUGGCCCCAUAGAUCGCUCACACUUGAGUGUCAGUUCCUGUUGAAAGACUUAGAUAGGCACAAUCCAAAUGUGUUAAGAUAAUUUCGGGAAAGAAAAUAGUGGAAGUGGUUCACGAAAAGCGUAUUGGAUGCCAAGGAGCACUUAGUCCGGGAGUUCUACGCCAAUGUGACACACAUCAAAAAGGGGACUAAGGUGACUAAGUUGUGGAACUUGAAAGUACAAUUUGAUCAGAGAACCCUGAACACUUAUUUAGGGCUUGAGGAUAUGGAGCUGGUGCAAUAUUUAGAGAAGUUUGCACUGGGUGAUGCAGCUCGCCCUUGGCUAGCUGAGAUACUAGCAGCUCCAGGACCACCACCACCAUGGAUCACAACAGGGGUUCCCAUUCUGCAGAAUACCCUCAACUUUGAAGCAACAGGGUGGCAAACAUUUGUAUGCAAUCGCAUAGACCCAAGCCGGAAUGAAAACAAUCUCCCAAUCCCUCGGGAAGUCCUAGUUGCUUCCAUUAUGGCCGGGUACCCAAUCAAUGUGGGUGCCAUCAUCUCGGCCAACAUGUCUCUAGUUGUCAGGCAGGGUGAAAGCUCUUAUCCGUAUCCCAACACUAUCACGGAGUAUCUCACAGAUGCGGGGGUGGAGUCUAAGAGCUUUGAUAUGAAGGUUAGGGCUAAGCAUCCCUUCUCCUCGUACUCUCUGAAGGACCCAAGGAAUUCAAAGAACAAGGGUAAGUCGACUACUAUCGUAGGCCAGUCUGAUGAGCCGUCGAUGGUAGUUGCAGAUUCUGCUGCUAUACCUUCUACAGCUUCCAUGCCUUCCACAGUAGCCGGGCCUUCCACUGAGACAGCUACCAUGCCACCGCCUCCAUCUUCAGGGCCAUCAGCAUCAGUAUCAGUGCCUUCCUCAUCCACUUAUCCACUCACUACGCUGCGAGUCUCCCAGACACUUGCGAGUCUCCCAGACACUUGCGAGUCUCAACAACUGGAUGUUGACAGCUAAUGCAAAGCUGUUCGACCUAUAAAGUGUUAUUGCAGCAUAGUAUUCUACCCCAUCACCCCAGGUUCCUCAGUCAGUGGAGGAAAUAUUGAAGAAGAUAUUGGAUAAUUAGAAGAACAUCAUGGAUACCUUGGUGGCACAUGGGAGCAAUUGAGGAGCUAGGUAAACAAGUGAAAAAGAUGAGAAAAUCCCAGGCCUCGAGAAAAUCAGUGGACAAGUUGAGAUGUGAAGUCACCAAGAUACUAGCAGCUGGUGAUCUUCCCUUUGACUUACUGAUGGAGACAGAUCCAUCAGUACCAGCAGACCCAACAACACCAUCACUACCAGUGGCACCAGCUGGUCAGUCUGAGGAGCCAGACCUCAUUGUCCACAUGGAUGAGGCGGUGCUACAGAUGUUCACUAACCCAGCUACUCCCCGAGCAAAGGAUGAUGAAAUCCGAUUGGAGGAUCCUGAGGGAGGUGAUGCUGCUAUGGACACUGAGACCACAUAGGGAGUCCUCUCUACUCUUUCCCUUUCUUAUUUUGAUUUUUGUUAAGCAUUGAGGACAAUUCUUAUUCUUAUUCAGGGGGGUGGUCUACUUUGAUUUAAUAUGACAUUUGACAUUGACCCGUAAUAACUGAUAACAUUCUCUUUUUAUUCUUACUUUCAUUAUGUACAUAUUCUUCUCUCUAUUGAUGUAUAUAUUCUCUUUCCCUUUCUCAGUUUGUAUAUUCAUUUAUGCUUUCAGCAGUUUACUUCAUAGCUUCUUUAUUUUGUUUUCUCAGUAGUCAAUGUUUAGUCUAAUAGCUUCUUUUUAAUUUAGUAAUUUCUUUUCAUGUUUAAGAGAUCAAUAAGCCUUUGGUUUUCUUAAUUCCACGGUUCUUUCCAAAGGUGGUUUUUGUGUGAACCGGGUGACUCUUCCCAACGAUGGAUAGCGUGAUAACUUUCUUAAGGGAUUGAGUCUGUUUUUGAUGUUUCGGUAAUAACAAUAGUAAUAAUGAAUAAGAGGACCUAAUUGAGUCAAACUAUAAGAGUCAAGCAUGCUUCGUUUGGUACCAACACACUUAANNNNNNNNNNNNNNNNNNNNNNNNNNNNNNNNNNNNNNNNNNNNNNNNNNNNNNNNNNNNNNNNNNNNNNNNNNNNNNNNNNNNNNNNNNNNNNNNNNNNNNNNNNNNNNNNNNNNNNNNNNNNNNNNNNNNNNNNNNNNNNNNNNNNNNNNNNNNNNNNNNNNNNNNNNNNNNNNNNNNNNNNNNNNNNNNNNNNNNNNNNNNNNNNNNNNNNNNNNNNNNNNNNNNNNNNNNNNNNNNNNNNNNNNNNNNNNNNNNNNNNNNNNNNNNNNNNNNNNNNNNNNNNNNNNNNNNNNNNNNNNNNNNNNNNNNNNNNNNNNNNNNNNNNNNNNNNNNNNNNNNNNNNNNNNNNNNNNNNNNNNNNNNNNNNNNNNNNNNNNNNNNNNNNNNNNNNNNNNNNNNNNNNNNNNNNNNNNNNNNNNNNNNNNNNNNNNNNNNNNNNNNNNNNNNNNNNNNNNNNNNNNNNNNNNNNNNNNNNNNNNNNNNNNNNNNNNNNNNNNNNNNNNNNNNNNNNNNNNNNNNNNNNNNNNNNNNNNNNNNNNNNNNNNNNNNNNNNNNNNNNNNNNNNNNNNNNNNNNNNNNNNNNNNNNNNNNNNNNNNNNNNNNNNNNNNNNNNNNNNNNNNNNNNNNNNNNNNNNNNNNNNNNNNNNNNNNNNNNNNNNNNNNNNNNNNNNNNNNNNNNNNNNNNNNNNNNNNNNNNNNNNNNNNNNNNNNNNNNNNNNNNNNNNNNNNNNNNNNNNNNNNNNNNNNNNNNNNNNNNNNNNNNNNNNNNNNNNNNNNNNNNNNNNNNNNNNNNNNNNNNNNNNNNNNNNNNNNNNNNNNNNNNNNNNNNNNNNNNNNNNNNNNNNNNNNNNNNNNNNNNNNNNNNNNNNNNNNNNNNNNNNNNNNNNNNNNNNNNNNNNNNNNNNNNNNNNNNNNNNNNNNNNNNNNNNNNNNNNNNNNNNNNNNNNNNNNNNNNNNNNNNNNNNNNNNNNNNNNNNNNNNNNNNNNNNNNNNNNNNNNNNNNNNNNNNNNNNNNNNNNNNNNNNNNNNNNNNNNNNNNNNNNNNNNNNNNNNNNNNNNNNNNNNNNNNNNNNNNNNNNNNNNNNNNNNNNNNNNNNNNNNNNNNNNNNNNNNNNNNNNNNNNNNNNNNNNNNNNNNNNNNNNNNNNNNNNNNNNNNNNNNNNNNNNNNNNNNNNNNNNNNNNNNNNNNNNNNNNNNNNNNNNNNNNNNNNNNNNNNNNNNNNNNNNNNNNNNNNNNNNNNNNNNNNNNNNNNNNNNNNNNNNNNNNNNNNNNNNNNNNNNNNNNNNNNNNNNNNNNNNNNNNNNNNNNNNNNNNNNNNNNNNNNNNNNNNNNNNNNNNNNNNNNNNNNNNNNNNNNNNNNNNNNNNNNNNNNNNNNNNNNNNNNNNNNNNNNNNNNNNNNNNNNNNNNNNNNNNNNNNNNNNNNNNNNNNNNNNNNNNNNNNNNNNNNNNNNNNNNNNNNNNNNNNNNNNNNNNNNNNNNNNNNNNNNNNNNNNNNNNNNNNNNNNNNNNNNNNNNNNNNNNNNNNNNNNNNNNNNNNNNNNNNNNNNNNNNNNNNNNNNNNNNNNNNNNNNNNNNNNNNNNNNNNNNNNNNNNNNNNNNNNNNNNNNNNNNNNNNNNNNNNNNNNNNNNNNNNNNNNNNNNNNNNNNNNNNNNNNNNNNNNNNNNNNNNNNNNNNNNNNNNNNNNNNNNNNNNNNNNNNNNNNNNNNNNNNNNNNNNNNNNNNNNNNNNNNNNNNNNNNNNNNNNNNNNNNNNNNNNNNNNNNNNNNNNNNNNNNNNNNNNNNNNNNNNNNNNNNNNNNNNNNNNNNNNNNNNNNNNNNNNNNNNNNNNNNNNNNNNNNNNNNNNNNNNNNNNNNNNNNNNNNNNNNNNNNNNNNNNNNNNNNNNNNNNNNNNNNNNNNNNNNNNNNNNNNNNNNNNNNNNNNNNNNNNNNNNNNNNNNNNNNNNNNNNNNNNNNNNNNNNNNNNNNNNNNNNNNNNNNNNNNNNNNNNNNNNNNNNNNNNNNNNNNNNNNNNNNNNNNNNNNNNNNNNNNNNNNNNNNNNNNNNNNNNNNNNNNNNNNNNNNNNNNNNNNNNNNNNNNNNNNNNNNNNNNNNNNNNNNNNNNNNNNNNNNNNNNNNNNNNNNNNNNNNNNNNNNNNNNNNNNNNNNNNNNNNNNNNNNNNNNNNNNNNNNNNNNNNNNNNNNNNNNNNNNNNNNNNNNNNNNNNNNNNNNNNNNNNNNNNNNNNNNNNNNNNNNNNNNNNNNNNNNNNNNNNNNNNNNNNNNNNNNNNNNNNNNNNNNNNNNNNNNNNNNNNNNNNNNNNNNNNNNNNNNNNNNNNNNNNNNNNNNNNNNNNNNNNNNNNNNNNNNNNNNNNNNNNNNNNNNNNNNAAAGAAAGAAAGAACAAAAAAAAAUACAAAAAGAAAGUGAAUAAAUUGAAGAGUUGCAGGGAUUCAAAAAAAAAAGCAAAAGUGCAAAGCAUGGAGGAAAUAAAGAAGGAAAAAAUGAAUAUCAUGACCAAGAAAGAGUGAAGUCAAAUCUCUGUAGUUCCCCUAAGGAAAAAGAAAAUGACUCAAAGAGUCGGCAAAGCAUGAGCCAAAAAGAGAAAAUGAAGUGCUUAAGUAAAGAUGAACCCGUUCUACUCUAACAUUUCCUACCUUAGUCCAAAAGCCUUCAUUACAUGCCGAAAAACGUCCUACGUGAUUUCAACCCGAGUGAGCUUACAUUAGUGGUGAUUUAUAUGAGGGGCAAAUAUAUGGUACUUAGAGCUGUACUUGUGACAUUCUUUUGAGAGAGAUGAGCGAACUUUUCACAAAUCCUUAAAUUGAGUGCUUCAUUCUUAAGUGAGAUAAGCUAACGGAGAGUAGAAGAGGAGGAGUUUGGGAUCCACAAUGACCUAUAUGAAAGAGCGAACUUUCUUGAUGAGUAAGUCAACUCUUGAUGCUCAAGUGUCACAUUAGAACUAUUUGUUCUUAAAAUUUUAAAUCAUUGCCUUGUUGAUAAUUCAUAAGUGUUGUGGGUAAUUGUUGGUCCCAAUUGAUGUGUGUUUGCUUCACCUUAGAUUAGCUGGAAUAGCUCUUUUCUUGUGGAGGUGGGAAUUACCUUAUUUGCUUGAGGACAAGCAAAAGCUUAAGUUUAGGGGAGUUGAUAAGUGGAGAUUUUGACUACUUAUUUGCGCCUUUUGACUUUUGUUUUAGUUCAGAAAUGUUUAAAGGUAUUCCUGAAAAUUGAUGAAAUAUGCUUACUUGCAGGAGUAUUGAAAAAUGAGCCAUUACGAUGAAAUCAAACUCAAGAGGAGUGCUUUUAAACAUGGACAAAAAUCAAGCACAAAAAGCUAAAGUGCAGACCGCAUAAUUCUGUGUGCGGCCGCAGAACAUUAAGAAGAAUUAAUGGAGCUGCAAUGAAAGGUGCGGACUGCACAAUAAUUGUGCGGCCGCAGAAGUCAAGGUUCAGAGAGCUCCAACUCCAAGCCCAGCAAGAACUGCGGACCGCACUAUAAUUGUGCGGCCGCAGAAAUCAAAUGUGCGGCCGCACCCAGAAUUGUGCGGUCCGCUGAACUCAAGAGACGCGGCCGUAGUGCAGAAUUUUGCGGCCGAAGAUCCAACUACUAGCAAGAGCUGAAGCAAAGUGCAGACCGCACACAGAAUUGUGCUUCCGCAAAACCUCCAAAAGGGCAAUUUUGUUCAAAAAUUUCAGCUGUGUAUAAAUAGACUUUUUUGACGAAAUUAGGUUAAGUUUUGAAUACCAAAAGUCUGUAGCCAUUUUUCUUUACUCUUUUAGGCAACUUUAGCUUAUAUUGUUGAUUUUACAUUGGAUUUUCAUAGAUUAAUCAUUCAAUAUGAGUUUUAUCAUCUUUUCUUCUUUAUUUUCUUCAAUAUCCACUAUGAAUAGCUAAAUUUCUAGCUAGGGUUGUGACCCAACCCUAGUGUGGGAACCUAAUGGGUAUUUGAUUUAGGGCUUGCUUAUGGUUGGGUGUGUAUUAUUUAGCCUAGUUCUUGCUAUAAUUAUAGAAUUAAUAGUUGCAAAAAAUUGGNNNNNNNNNNNNNNNNNNNNNNNCCUAGAGAUAGUAAAAUCCGACUUGAGCUAUUUGUCAAUUGUUUAGUUCAAUACCCAUUUGGACUUGAGAAAGGAAAAUUGGGCAAAAUCACUCUCUUACCAAGAGGUAUUGAGUUGGUAUUUGAGUGUUGAUUGCUAUAAUACACCCGGCCAACGAAACUCGCUCUAAAGCCCACAACUCAUUACGCAAACACCUAGGUGGAAGUCCCAGCCCUAGAAUUUUUACAUAGUUGAAAAACAACAAAAUAAAAUCAUUCUUCUCUUGUUUCAUAUUUUUCUAUUGAAAUCCUUAGUAUAAUUUUAGAAGUAAAAUCAAAACAACGUUUGUAGAAGUGCAACUUAGACAAUUCACUUGCUUAGACCAAAUACAUAACACUAAUCCCAUCUACGCUUCCUGUGGAUUCGUUCCCGACUCCUAGUUGGGUAUUAUUAUUGCAAUCGACCGCUUCACAACACCAAUUUGAGGUGUGACUUGGGCGAGAUCACAUGUCUCUGACAUCCGUCGCAUUUGCGCAUGAACUCCUUUUCGUCGUUUUCCAUGUUGAUCCAGUAGUAUCUGGCUCUGAUUAUCUUACGAAUCAACGAUUUGGCACCCGAAUGAUUCCCACAUGUGCCUUUAUGAACUUCCCUCAAAACAUACUCGGUAUCUCCCGGUCCCAGAAUAUGGCUAGUGGGCCAUCGAACGUUCUCCUGAAUAGGGUGUUGCCUUCAGACAAGAUGAACCUGGCCACCUUUGUGGGCAGAGCUCUCGAUUCUUUAUGGUCCGAGGGAAGUUUUUCGGUCUUCAGGUAAUCUAUAUACUUGUUUCUCCAGUCCCAGGUUAAGCUUGUCAAGUUUAUCUCGGUGUGGCCUUCUUCCACUACCGAUUUCAUGAGUUGUACGACCGUUCCUGAGUUGAAUUCAUCGUCAUCAACCGACGAUCCUAAGUUGGCAAGAGCAUUGACUUCACUAUUUUGAUCUCGAUAUACAUGUUGCAAAGUCCAUUCCUUGAAUCGACGUAAUGCCACUUAUAGUUUAUCCAGGUACCUUUGCAUUCGUUCUUCUUUGACUUCGAACGUUCUAUUGACUUGGUUUACCACAAGGAGGGAAUCACACUUAACUUCAAUCACCUCGCACCCAGGCUUUUAGCCAGUUCAAGACCUGUAAUCAUGGCCUCAUACUCGGCCUCGUUGUUAGUCAAUGUUAUAGUUCUAAUAGAUUGCCUAACUACAUUAUCCGUCGGUGGCUUCAACACGAUGCCAAGCCCGGGCCCCUUUGCGUUUGAGGCACCAUCCGUAAAGAGGGUCCAAAUUACGGAGGAGGUACCCGAUUUCAACAACAACUCUUUCUCGACCUCCGUUAUUAGGGCUGGCGCGAAGUAGGCCACGAAGUCUGCCAAAAUUUGAGAUUUGAUGGAGGUUCGGGGUCGAUAUUCAAUAUCGUACCUGCUGAUUUUCACGGCCCAUUUGGCCAAUCAUCCCAAUAGUUUAGGCUUAUGCCUUAUGUUCCUCAACGGGUAAGUAGUCACGACACAUAUAAGAUGGCAUUGAAAAUACGAUUUUAAAGGCGCUUAGCAAAGCAAGCGCUAAUUUUUCCAGUUAAGGAUACCUAGUUUCGGCCUCGCCUAGAGUCCUGCUAACAUAGUAGAUAGGAAAUUGUGUACUUUCUUCUUCCCGGACUAGGACUCCACUUACCGCUAUCUCAGAUACCGCUAAGUAUAGGUACAACUAUUCAUCUGCCUUUGGAGUAUGAAGCAAAGGCGGGCUCGAAAGGUACCGCUUGAGUUCUUCCAAGGCUUGUUGACACUCCGGGGUCCACGAGAAAUUAUUCUUCUUCUUCAAUAACGAGAAGAGUCGAUGGUUCUUGUCGAAGGACCUUGAAAUGAAUCGGCCCAAAGUGGCUAUGCGCCUGGUUAACCUUUAAACGGCCUUGAAAUUGUCCACCAUGGUAAUGUCCUCUAUGGCCUUGAUUUUAUCGGGGUUGAUCUUGAUUCCCUGGUAGACACCAUAAAUCCGAGAAAUUUCCUGGACCAGACUCCGAAUGCGCAUUUCUCCGGGUUCCGCUUCAUAUUGUAUUUCUUCAAUAUGUUUAAGGUUUCUUGCACAUGUUUCAAAUGGUCCUCAACUCGCAGGGACUUAACUAACAUAUCGUUAAUGUAAACCUCCAUUGAUUUUCCUAUUUGUUCUUCGAAUAUUCGAUUUACUAGGUGUUGGUAAGUGGCACCGAUGUUUUUUAGUCCGAAUGGCAUCACAUUAUAGUAGUAGGUGUCGUACUUAGUGAUGAAGGACAUUUUUUCCUGGUCACCCGGGUCCAUCCGAAUUUGGUUAUACCCGGAAUAGGCAUCGAGAAAACUGAGGAUCUCAUGGCAGACCGUUACAUCGAUCAUGUGAUCGAUGUUAGGUAGAGGGAAAGAGUCCUUGGGGCAUGUCUGAUUCAAGUCUUUGUAAUCUACACACAUUCUUAAUUUAUUCCCUUUUUUAAGGACUACCACUACGUUUGCUAACCAAUCCGUGUACUUAACCUCCCUAAUGGACCCUAUUUUAAGGAGUUUAGAUACCUCGUCUUUGAUGAAUGCAUGCUUGACUUCGGAUUGAGGCCUCAUUUUCUGUUUGACUAGGUGGAAUUUCGGAUCCAGGCUCAGCUUGUGAGUAGCUAUUUCUGGCGGGAUCCCUGUCAUGUCGAGGCGGGACCAAGCGAAACAAUCUAUGUUAGCCAUAAGAAAUUUAAGGAGUUACUUCUUAAGCUCUGGAUUUAACUCCGUGCCUAGGUAUACCUUCCGAUCGGGCAGGUAAUCGAUCAAUAUGACUUGCUCCAGUUCUUCGACCGCUGAUUUGGUGGCGUCAGAAUCGUCGGGGACUAUGAAAGAUCUGGGAACUCCGCAGUCGUUGUCCUCAUUCGUCUCGUGCUUCUCCGGUUCGGUCAGGGCCGAUGUCGGUGAUUGAUAUUUGGUUCCUUCCUUGGCGAUCGAACUCUGAUCCUUUGGUGUAGAAAGUGUGGAUUUCGGGAUCACCUCGUCGACCGCGAACAUCUCCUUUGCGCCUGGUUAUUCUCCAUAAAUUAUUUUAAUCCCUCAUAGCAUUGGGAAUUUCAACACCUGGUGCAAUGCUGAGGGCACUGCCCUCAUGUUGUGAAUCCACGGUCUCCCUAACAUAACAUUGUAUCCCAUAUCUCCUUCGAUCACAUAGAACCUUGCUUCCUGAAUGGUUCUGGUGGUGUUCACCGGUAGUGUUAUCUCCCCUUUAGUUUUCUCACAUACCAUGUUGAAUUCGUUUCGAACUCGGACCGCAGGCAAAAUUUGGUCUUAUAGACCCAGCUGCUCUACGACUCUCGAUCUGAUGAUAUUGGCCGAGCUACCUGGAUCAAUUAACACAUGCUUAACUCGAGAUUUAUUUAUAAGUAUAGAUAUUACCAGUGCAUCGUUGUGUGGAUGCACGAUGCCUUCAACGUCCUUGUCAUUGAAUGAUAAGGUUCCUUCUAGCACAUAAUCCCGAGUCUUUUUUCUCUAGUGAUGAACACUUUGGUGCACUUUAGCAUCGGCCCCUGGGAGGACGUUGACCCCACUGAUGAUCAUGUUAAUGACGUGCUGAGGUUCCUCCUACUUGGUGUGCUUAUUAGUGUCCCUAUUCCUAUAAUGGUUUUUGGCUCGAUCUCAGGAACUCUCGGAGAUGUCCGUUGUUGAAUAACCGGACUACUUCCUUUCUCAAUUGCUCGCAAUCUUCUGUUCUAUGGCUGUGAGUGCCGUGAUACACAUUAGGUUAGGGUCCCUUUGGGCUGGAUCGGACUAUAGAGGUCGAUGCAACUUGGUGUCUUUGAUGCGUCUAAUGGCAGAUACAAUGGAAGCAGCAUCGAUGUUGAAUUUGUCCUCUGAUAACCUCGGCGCUUCCUUAGGCCCGGCGGGCCUAUCGAAGCCGCUUUUGCUCAUGAGUCCCCGAUUAUUUGACCUCGAUCGCUUCUCCUUUCACUUCUCAUAGGGUUUUAUCCAGACCCAUUACUUCUUCGGUCGCCACUAUAUGGUUGAUACCGAUCCAUAAUUGACCUCGGUUUACGAUCAAUGUCUCUGUUGGGUAUGUCGAUAGCUCUGACGGGAUAAAAGGACCAGGAAGGGGGCCCAAGCUGAUCAUCUUCGACCUUAAUUUUUUAUUGAUACCGGUUAUGUACGUCGGCCCAAGUUACAAUCGGAUAUUCUACCAGAUUUUGCUUCAACUGUUGUGAAGCCAAUGAGCUUCGAGUAUUGAGUCCUUGGGUGAAGGCCUGAAUGACCCAAUCGUCCGCGACCGGAGGCAGGUCCAUUCGUUCCAUUUGAAACCGGGACACGAAUUCCCUGAGCAUAUCAUUAUCUCUCUAUUUCACUUUGAAAAGGUUUGAUUUCCUGGUCUCGACCUUGAUGGCCUCGGUGUGUGAUUUCACGAAGGAGUCUGCAAGCAUAGCAAACGAGUCAAUAGAAUUAGGGGGUAAGUUGUGAUACCAUAUCAUAUCUCCCUUCGACAAAGUUUCCCUGAAUUAUUUCAGCAGGACGGACUCGAUCUCGUCAUCCUCUAAGUCAUUUCCAUUGAUGGCGCACGUGUAGGAGAUCACAUGCUCAUUUGGGUCGGUUGUUCCGUUGUACUUAGGAAUCUCGGGCAUGCGAAACUUCUUCGGGAUUGGCUUCGGAGCUGCGCUUGGAGGAAAAGGUUUUUGAACAAACUUCUUGGAAUCCAAGCCCUUCAAUAUCGAUGGUGCUCCUGGGAUUUGGUUGACCCUGAAAUUGUAGGUUUUCACCUUUUUGUCAUUGGCUUCAAUUUUCUUUUCUCUCGAUUCUACCCGUUUUGUCAGUUCCUCGAGUAUUUUUAUGAUCUCGGGGUUAGUUUCGGGUUCGACAUUGUCGUGACUGGUUCAUUUCUGCAAGCGAUUUCUCGGGGCGGCUCGGGCUCAAUCCUACUGGUGGUACGACUCUGGUUCUAUAGCUGGGUUAUCGCUGCCUGUUGAGCCUGUAGCAUUUCAAAGAUCACUUGCAAGUUGAUCCCAUCUCCUUUGCCGUUGUGUGUAUUUUGGGCUACCGAUCGGACUCCCCCGCGGAUGAUGUUCUCAAGAUCGGUAGGCAAAUUCGCAUUGAUGGCCACAUGUGAAUUAGCGUCGAUUGGGUCCGCGGCCAGAACUCUGUUGGGAUUGAUAGGGGGCACCUCGUUACUGGGUACCAUGUCGUUGUUCUCGCCAUGAUAACCGGACUCAGCAUCCAUGUUUAGAGGGGCAGAUUGGGAGUUCGACAUUUUAUAACUUUGACCUGAAAUUAAAGACAUUUCAAAGAACAAGUGUAAAAUAGGGUGGGUUAUGAAAAUUUAUAUCAAAUUGCCACUAUUAUCCUUAGCCCCACGGUGGGCGCCAAACUGUUUACCCUAAAAAAUGGAUAAUAAUUAAAUUUGUAAGUUAUUUUAAGGAUAUGCAGAUUAAUUCGAUACAAACGGUAAAUUGCGUUAGAUUAAAUAAAUAAAGAUUAGUAAAUUCAAACCACGUGAGGAGGAUAAUUCCAGCCUUGAUGAAAUAUUUACCCUCGAUCCGGACUCAUAAUGGCCAACACUGAUGAACGAGAAUAAAAGCUUUCAAUCAUAGUGAAAAUAAUAGUAUAUUGCUUUGGGAUACGUGUUACAAUACGUUCAAUGAAUAAUCAGACUUCCCUUUAUAUAGUAGGGGAGUUUUACCCUAAGUACAAUUCUAUAAAAGGUAAAAAUCUCCCGUUUAACUAAUUACUGGAUUCCCGUCAGUACGCACCGAGAUCUGCGUCGUGAUACCCAGUUGGUCGCGGAUAUUACGGCCUUCCGUUAUUCGUGUUCGAUUGCCCAAUAAUGCUCUCCGAAGUCUCUUGGGAUUUGGACCGAUCCCGGGGUCAUGGCCUCGAUAUACUCGAGAGUGGGCGUCGUGCCUCCGGUGCCUGACUCGAUGAGUCCCUUACCUCGAUUCUGGUUCCUUGUCAUCGCAUACCUUACUCGAUUUAUUUUAUCAGGAAUCGGGCCGUCUUAUGAAUCCGGUUUCACCCGUAUAAAGAUUUAUAAGGCUUGAAUGUCUAUUAUUAACAACCUUUUUCUUUUGGAUUAAAGUGAGGACAAUAUCGUAUCAACAAAAAGGUGUUUAAACCAAACCAAUUAAUGCAAGAUGUGUGUCUUUCAAGUUUCAACACACACUUGAAUAAUCAUGAUUAAGUGACAUGUAUUCUGCCUUUAAUCUUAAACUUAUAAGGUUGAAUUAUUUAUUGGUUGAGCAAGGAUGAAAGUCGUGUUUGUUUUAGAAUUUGCAAAAACUAAAUAUUUGCAAUUUGACCUCUUGGGAAGAAAAAUGUCCGUUUGAGCUUCUUUUUUUUCUUUCUAAGUACUAGUUUCGUUUUUAAAAAAUUUCAGACUCAGGUUUUCAAAUCUUAUAGACGCUCCAAAUGAUUAUAGUUAUUCAAACUAGUUUAGUUAUUCUAUUUAGUAGGUUUAGCAGUUGUUUAUGUUAGCUGAACCAAAUAAAAAAGGACUAUGUCCUAUCCAGAACCAUAAUAAUUCGAUAUUUGAUUGAUAGUUUGUCUAUUAUCUUCUAAGUUGUUAUUCUCACUAUAACUUGUUGUUUAUCUCCAAAAUUAAUGUUAUAUUAAUCAUGCUUAUUGCUCUAAGUUCUCCGAAUCAAUUUUAAUAUAGGUUUGGUGGCUUGGCCCUCACCAAAUGGAAAAUUGAUGUCUACCAAAUUUACUACUUUAUUCCUACCUAAGAAUAUUGUAUGGAAAAAUUGUUGGAGUGAACCACCUUUUCCUUUUAUUCUCAAUUUUUUUUUAAAAAAAAAAUCAUUCGAAGAGAAAACUAAUCCGAGUUUAAAUGUAUUAGAAUUUAUCAUUACUUAAACAUAAGAACAAAGAAACUAAAGAAAACUAGUAAAAUCGAAUACUUAAAAAAUUAAUAAUUGCUGAGAGCUGGUAUAAAGAACCUACACCAGCCAGAUUAAAUACAUUAUUAAUUGAUAAUUAAAAAUCGGUUCGCUCAUGCAAUGGACAAUGUGGUCUCACGAUAAAUAUUUUUUCCUUUUAAAAAAUAAUAAUAAUAAGAUUGCCCACAUAUCACUAUCAAUCCAACAUAUAGUUGGUAAGAGUCCAAAAAAUAGGUGGGACACUACGUACUGGAGUAUGGUAUAUUAUUAAAUUUUGACAUUUGUGAAACAUGCAUAUAUUUAAUGUAGACUAAUUGAUGUAACUUAGAUAAAUGAUUAGUCGAAUGGUGAUUUCUUGAAUGACCACUGUGAAAUUUACUCAUUAAAUUAGAUGAAUUAAAAUAAAAGUUCAAUUAACAAACUAAAUAUAUUAUGACUCCAAAAAUUUACGAACAUUAUCAUGACUUAAGUACGUGUUUCACAUACCUCUCAAUUUAGAUUUAUAAAUUUUUUAUCCCUUUGGAUCCAACCUCAUAAGUUGGCCAAAUUUUGAGAAAUGGAAGUCAUUGUAACAUUUGAUGAAAUCUUAGCCAAAUUAGAUAGUAGCACUUAAUAAAUUAAUAAUUAUUAAGUGAGAUCAAUUUGACAACACGGCAAGUAAGUAAAAUUUUUAUAGAGGAUUAGGAAAAAACAGCUAUGACAAAGGAGUGGAGGAAUUGACUUCUAGUUCUAGAUAUAUUUUUUUAUUGAAGGCCAUUAUAUAUGUAGAAUUUUAUUAAAAGGUAAAGUGAGUAAAAAGACAAGAAAUUAAUCUAAAUAAACGAAAUCACCAUUUCUUGUGUUUUCCCUUGUUUUUCUUCUAAAUCGUUUCUUAAAAAAAUACUGAAAAUUGUUAUCAAGCAACAAUCACUUUUUCCUUGAGCAGCCAAAAGACCUUAGUGGAGUGCAUCUAUGAUUUAAACUCUAUGAGUUCAUCCUCUAAGAUUUUUAGUAUUGAAUUCAUUAUAUUUUUAAAGUUAUGGGUUCAAAUCAACUAUUUAUCACAAUUUUAAUAGAUUUUACACACAAAUUAAUAUGCUCUAUAUCAAAAGUUACAUAUGCCCCUGUCCUCAACCUAUUACUCAAACACACCCUUGAGGAGGUGAGGGAUUGGAUAUUGAACGUCUGUUGGAUAAGAAAUGAACCUACAAGCUGCAACUUGUUAGUAUAAAGUUUUAACUUGUCAAUAUUAUUUUGUAAUAAAAUUAAAGCUUAAAAGCGUGUAGCCGAUACAAUAAGGUUCUAAUUAAAGUCAGAAAAGGAAAAGGAAAAAGAAAAGCAAAAAGGAUGGGGAUGAAGAUACAUGCUUUAAAGUAAUAUUCAUCUUGCAUUAUUUCGACAAUAGUUGAACUAAAAAUUCGUUUCUUCACAGAAAGGGCCUGGGAUUUUGUCAAUAAAGCAUCAUAAGUAAUGUCGGACAAAGAAAGCUUGCAACUUUUUAAGGUGAUAUCACUAAAUACAAUCUUCAUUUUUAGUUUUCCGCCUCAUCUUCAAUAUUUGCAUUAGAGCUUUAGUUAAUUCGAAUUCAUGCCGCAUAAAUUCCUUAAAAGGAAAAAACACUCCUUAUUUAAAAAAAAUCAUAUUCAUCUCACUAUAGUCCUUGAUGAUAUAUGCAUUAAUGCAAGUUACUUCUUUAUAUUUUAAAUUUUCUUUUUUGGUACAUUAAAAAAUGGCACAUAUCUUUUUUCAUUUAGCAAUAUAUUAUUGUUGUUACCACUUAAAAUUACCAAUUGGCAAAAGAAACCUUUGAUCGGAAUAACUUAGAGCAUAUCUGGCAAGAAAUUAUAAAAUUUCGUUAAAUAUUUUGCUACAGUUGACGUAGAGCAGAUCGAUAGAUAAAAUGAUUACAAUAUUCCCACAAUUAGGAGAAAGCAAAUUCGGUUUAGCACCUCUUGAUUUGGUUUAAGGCUAAACCCAAAAAUCAUUUAACAUUUACAAGACAACCCUCAACAUCAUCCACUCAUAAUUUAUCCAAAAAAACAUAUGUACUUUACAUAUAUGUACCAAAAAUAACCCACAAAUAAAACACCGAAGGGGAAAACUGAAAAACUCAGACCUUUGAGUUACCAGCCUACCACAAAGAUACGUUACAUCAUCAAAUACAGCUCAACAAUACCUUUUUUUGACUACUAGUACUCAUAAAUAAUAUUGUAGUACUAGUACAAGCUUUCCAUUGCUUUCGUUGAAAAGCUAUAUUUACCCGGAAAACAAAUAUAGUUGAAUUUGUAUGUAUUUCUAAGGAUACGUGGUAUAACUUGACACAAAUCGUAUAAGUAGAAAUAUCGAAUAUUGACCGUAAAGAAUGAAAUACAAACAAAGUUGAAUGGAGGAUGAUUUAUGGAUAAGCAAGAUGAAUCAAUGUAUAAAACUUCAAAAGGAUAAUCUCUUAAUAUGGAGUAUAUGCACAGUAUCUGAGUUAUGGUGUCUUAAUGCCUCAAUAGUUGGAUGCCCCUUUACGGAAAUAGUAGACAUCUUUUUUAUAGUGAAAGUGUCUUACUUUAGAUAUAAUAAAAAAUGCAUAGUGGGGAUUCCAUGAUAGACUAGUUUUUUCCUAAUUUUCAUCGAGAUUCUAUCUCUUAGUGCGGCUUUAACGGCUCUUUUCUCUUGGCUCGAUCUUGAUCGGACUCGGUAUUAGUCGGUUUCCAGGUUUAGAGCUCGAUGCGGUCUCGAGAUCGAUGCUGACUCGGGGCCCGGUAUUGAUUCGGGCUCGGUGUUGGUUGGCCUCUGGCUCUGAAGCUUAAUACCAUCGCUUCUCAACAUAGUUCGAUUUGGACUCGAGCUCGAUAAUGACUUCGAGCUCGGUAUUUGAUCUGACCCCGAAACUCUAAGCUCGUUUGUGCCUUCUUCAAAUCUCAUCUCGAUAUUAUGAAGACGCUCUUCGGUCCAUCUUCACCAAUCGUAUGAAGGUCGAAACCGGUUUUGACCGUAUACAGAUAGUCCCCUCGUUUCUCGGGAAGGAUGUGGCGAGAAACGAUAUGAUUUCCCAACGGCUCGAUUAGAUAUACACUGACAUUUGCAUCGAGCCCGACCAUGACAUACGUAAUAGCUGUCCCGUCGGUUCAGUUUACCAAGGCAUUAAAUGCGUGUCAGACAGUGGUCGACCACUGAUGAUAUUGAAUCGAUGUUGCUUAAUCUAUAAAUAGCCCAUUUGUUUUACCAUUUAUCACUUUUACAUCUCCAAUCUCCAAAUUUUCUAAGCUCUUUCUCGUAUCUUCUGAGUUUAUCUGUAAGUCUGUGAUUUUUACUGCAAAAAUCUUUCUUCUGUGAUUUUCACUGCAAAAUCUUUUUUUUAAAACUCCACAUCUUUGUCAUCUCCUUCUAUUUUCGAUCUCUAGAUCCAAAAUGGCGAAAAUAUUUAAAACUAUUCCUCAAAAAGAAAAAACUUCUUCUUCAUAGCCUGCCGCCGACAAAACACCGGUGGAGCCACGACAUGAGGAGUGUGUUCCCGGGUCAUGUGUUCUUACCUCUGAUUUUAAGGUCGAUAAAGUCUCGUCGGUUCCUGGUCGAUGUGAACCAGUAUCGAGGUAUAUGUGCUCGAUAACUAAGGGACACCUCGAGCAGCUGAGGAAAGAUUGUAACUGGGAGAAAAUAGAAGUGAUAAUCCCGGCUCCCGAAGAAGAUAUUACUUCUUAUGUGAAAGGAUUUUUAAGUGUGUAUACUUACCCUUUUAUAUUGGGCCCCCCUCGACCCUGUCGUUAUCGAUUUUUGCCGCCAAUACCAAAUAACCCUAUGCCAAAUCCAUUCUUCUCUUUGGCGGAUCGUUAUUCAGAUCCGCUUCUUCGUGAACAAGAUCGAGGGGAUGCCUUUCACCCUCGACCAUCUUUUUAGACUGUCAACCCCCGCCUCUAUCGAGGUGGGUUAAUAAAACUCCAGCACCGGGCUACCAAGGUGCUGUUCUCGAGCAUAGACGAGGACAGGGAUCGAGGCUGGAUGGGCAGGUUCGUUCGAGUGAAGACUUCGGACCUAAUUCCGGCCGAGAAGAUACCAUUUCCCGAGAAAUGGAACAUGUAGCAUAAGUAUAAUUAUGUUGUUAUCUCCUAUUGUUUUGCCCCUUCGUUUCUUUCUCAGUGAAAUCCCCUUUUGCAAUGCAGUUGUUCCUUGGAUGCCCGGUGCAGUUCCUGACCUUAAGAGUUGGGUACGGGACCUGGUUUCGACCUCUACAUACACAGAGCGCUCGUGGCAUAAUUUGUCAAAUGGUCGAUGGGAGGCAAAAAAUCAUGGUAAGCCUCUUUCUCAUGUCUUUGAUGGUUCGAAUAAAAUGUUUUCCAUAUACUUAACCAAUUUUCUUAUGCAUAGGUUUGGGCAAAGAUGUGGUUAUGAGGGCCCCAUCCGGUGAGGAAGAGACUUUGGUCCCAGUUUCAAAACCGACGAAGGGCAAUAAGAGAAAAAGGGCCUCCACUUCUAAGGAUCCAGAACCCAAGACAAGGAUGGCUCGCAAGCCGAGGAGGAAAAUUAUCCCUCUGGCCGAAGAAUAUGUUCGGCGUCUGAGGGAUAAAGACGAAGAAGAAGAGGAAAACGACGGCUCCAUACUGGUGGCCCGAGUGAAGAAAACCAUCGAUGCCCCAAAGGCAGAGGGAUCGAUGGUCGUUUAUGGAGCUCCGCCUCGAACUGAGGGGAUAUCGGAGAAAGAUUCGGGCAGAGUCCCCGAAUCGUUAGAGAUCGAGGAUGCCUCCCACCGAAGUCAACAAAUGGUGGACAUAUCUGAAGGGGCCGGUCCUGAAGCUCUUCAAACUGAGGAGAACGCCCCAAGCGAGUCGCUUGGGACAAUAGUAAUCGGAGACUCUCCCACUCUCCCUGCUUUUUCCAAAGGGGUGAUUCAAGAAGCCCAAGCUUUGGAGGCCCUCGAGGUAGAUGGGUCUCAUGAGGGAGAGGACCCUUUUCGUGAUUUGUUUACCGGUAUCGAGGAUGCUGCCGACCCUAGUGAUGCAUCUGGUCUUUUCCACGAAGUGCAGUAAGCUCUGAAUCGGGUAAGCCUUAACUCACUUCGUUGGUACCACCAUCAUGUUUGUUUUUCUUUGCUAACUUCUUUACUUUUUUCUUCGCAGGCCGUAGUGGUUCAUCGAGAAGCAUGGUCUCGGUCUUGAGCUGAGCUGCGUCGGUAUGAGGCCGACCUAUGACGGGUCACGGAGGAGAGGAAUGCCCUUAAACUCCUCUUCAGGCAAAGGGAAGAGGAAAUCAAGGACCUCCGAGCUGAGUUAGCCAAGGCUCACCAAGAUCAGACCGAUCUAACCGAGCAGGUAAUGAUAAUAUUAAAAACACAUGGGCUCGAUACUGGAACAAUGGCUAAUAUUUCGGUCUCACAUCUGUAGCAGAAGUUUGAGGUGAUCAAGAAGCUCUGUGAGGAGGUUGAUGUGAUAAAGGCGGAUUCCUUGGAGUGGAAAUAAGGUAUGGACCGCCUUGCUACAGAAAAAGAGGCUGCUCGAGCCCAAUUAUUAUCAGUUGAAGGUCAACUUCAAGGCCUAAAGGAGAAAAGCUCGGUUCAAGAGAGGAAAAUAGAGGAGUUCGAGGCUCGGUUGGCUUUUGAACUCGCCAAGGCCGAAAAAAUAAAGGCCGAUGCAGAUGGAUUUGUGGCUAUUUAUCGGGCCGAUGCUGAAGCCGCUCAGGUGAAAGCGAGAGAGGCUGCCUAGACCGCUAAAACUCGAGCAUAUUGGGUUGCUAAACUCGCUAAAUGCCAAUCUCGGAGGGAAACCCUCGAGGUGAUCCAUGCUCGAGGCUUCGAUCUUACCGAAGUAAUAAAAAGGGCUAAAGAGCUUGAAGUCGAUGUUGGAGCCUUGCCCUCCGAUGAUGAUGAUGACGAUGAUGAUAAUGAUGGGAGCAAGAGUGGGUCUGAAAGUGGGGAGGAGCCCGAUGGAGAAGAGACUGCCCCCAGAGAUAAUUAGGGUUUUUUCCCAUUUUGAUUUUUUAUGUAGGGUCCUGAUCGGACGUUGUAAAUACUCUCAUAUAUAUAUAAAGAUCUUUUCAUUUCCCUACUUGUUUCUGUUUUGUUUACUGCCUUGUGAAGAUUUUGUUUCAUGCACGCCUUAUAAAAGUUUUCAUAAGUUCGAGGCUUUAGGACCUUGUAGUCUUUACAACCGAGUGAGUGCCUGCUCAAACUCGAAGUAAGAGUAGCCCUUAGGCUUUAUGGUCGAGUGAGUGAUUUGCUCGAACUCGGAAUAAUUAUUAGCCCUUAGGCUGAGUAGUCAAGUGAGUGAUUGCUCGAACUCAAAGUAAGAGUAGACCUUGGGAUUUAUUGGUCGAGUGAGUGAUUGCUCGAACCCAAAAUAAGGUAGCCCGUAGGCUUAGUAGUCGAGUGAGUGAUUACUCAAACUUGAAGUAAGGUAGACCUUAGGUUUUAAUGAUCGAGUGAAUGAUUGCUCGAACUCGAAGUGAGGUAGCAUGUAGGCUUAUUGGUCGAGUGAGUGAUUGUUCGAACUCGAAGUAAGGUAUCCCGUAGGCUUAGUAGUCGAGUGAGUGAUUUUCUCGAACUCAAAGUAAGGUAACCCAUAGGCUUUAUUGGUCGAGUGAGUGAUUGCUCAAACUCGAAGUAAGGUUGCUCGUAGGCUUAGUAGUCGAGUGAGUUAUUUGCUCGAACUCGAAGUAAGGUUGCCCGUAGGCUUAAUAAUCGAGUGAGUGAUUUGCUCGAACUCGAAGUAAGGUAGCCCGUAGGAUUAGUAGUCGAGUGAGUGAUUUAUUCGAACUCGAAGUAAGAGUAGCCCUUAGGAUUUAUUGGUCAAGUGAGUGAUUGCUCGAACUGGAAAUAAGGUAGCCCAUAGGCUUAUUGGUCGAGUGAGUGAUUGCUCGAACUCGAAGUAAGGUAGCCUGUAGGCUUGUAUGGGGCUUGGUCUUGUUGAUUUUUCGGUUGGCAGUCUCCGAUUUAUGGGGUAAUGGUAGGCCCUUAAGCUUGUUUGCAUAAUAGAUCAUGAAAUAGAGGAUGGAUUUUGAGACGUGAGAUAUCGGCAAAGAAGAAAUUUCUCUUUAUGUCAUUAUACAUGUGUUCAUGUUUUGUACCAGGGAUCGAGUAAACUACCCGAGCAUGGUUUGUUUUGACCAUUUGGCUCUUAUAAUUGUUCCUAUCGAAACUAUGUUGUUAUGACGUAACUUCCUUGCAUCAAACUUGAUAAUCGAACUUACUUGAUAUAUUUGAGGGUAGUGCCCCCCGGUAUUUGAGGUUGAUUGUAAAUAGGACUCGGAUAUCAUUGAAUUGUACUACGUUAGCACGAUCAAUGGUUGCCUCAUUAAAAACCUUGUCGAAAAACCCAUUUUGGGACAAAAACCGGUCAAAGGGAAAAAGAGUGCAACGCAUGCUUUCAGGCCUAAAGGCUUCGAGUUGAAUAAUCCAUUCAUUUUUCUGAUCGAACACCUGCAAGGGUUAAUUUCAAAAUAUAAAUGAACAUAGGAGGUUGUACCUUAACAGUAGUAUCGUUUUAGGUGCGACACGUUCCAAUUGCUUGGUAGUUGCUUGUCGUUUAUUACACCGAGCUUGUAGGAUCCUUUACCGACAAUUUCGAGGACCUGAUACGGUCCUUCCCAGUUCAGACCCAAUUUUCCUUCGUUCGGAUUUUGGGUGUUAAGGGUAACUUUCCUCAGCACUAAGUCCCCGAUUUUAAAAUGGCGAAGAUUGGUUCUUCGAUUAUAGUAUCUUUUGAUCCCCUAUUUUUGGGCAGCCAAUCGGACGAGAAUGGCUUCUCGUUUUUCAUCCAAUAAUUCGAGGCUAGUAUUCAUAGCCUCGUGAUUUGACUCUUCUGUUGUAUGUCGAAACCUGGCACUGGGUUCCCCGACUUCGACUGAAAUUAAGGCUUCAGAGCCAUAUACUAAAGAGAACGGGGUUGCCCCCGUACCGGACUUUGAUGUUGUUCUAUAUGCCAGAAGACUUCGGGUAUAAUUUCUCUCUAUUUCCCCUUAGCGUCGUUCAACCUUUUCUUUAGGUUUUGAAUGAUAGUCUUGUUUGUCGAUUCGGCUUGUCCGUUCCCACUAGGGUGAUACAGCGUUAAUAAUAACCUUUUUAUUUUGUGGUGUCAAGGAAUUUUGUCAAUUUGCUGCCGAUAAAUUAUUUUCCAUUGUCACACACUAUUUCGGUGGGUAUCCCAAAUUGACAUACGAUGUGAUACCAGAUGAAGUCUAUAACCUCUUUCUCUUUCACUUUCUCGAACGCAUGUACUUCAACCCAUUUAGAGAAAUAGUCAGUCAUAAAUAAAAUAAACUGAGCCUUACCUAGGGCCGAUGGGAGGGGGCCGAUGAUGUCCAUUCCCCAUUUCAUGAAAGGCCAGGGAGAUAGGACCGAGAGGAGAAAUUCCACGGGUUGAUGAAUCAUGGGUGCAUGUCUUUGACAUUUAUCGCAUUUUCGAACGAACUCCCUUGCAUCUAUGUCCAUAUCAAUCCAAUAAUAUCCUGCUCUGAUUAUUUUUUGGACUAAUGAAUCGGCACCAGAAUGAUUUCCAAAAGUACCCUCGUGAAUAUCACGUAGGAUAUAGUCGGUAUCUCCCGGUCCCAAACAUAUUGCCAGUGGACCAUCGAACAUCCUUCUAAACAUUGUUCCAUCAUUGGAUAAGGUGAACCGUUCAGCUUUUGUGCGUAGAGCUCUCAAUUCCUUUGCGUCCGAUGGAAGUUUCUCGUUCUUAAACUAUUCUACAUAUUUGGUUCCCCAAUCCCAGGUUAGACUUAUGGAGUUUAUCUCAGCGUGACCUUCCUCGAUUACGGAUCUCGAGAGUUGAACGACAGUCGUCGAGCUGAUCUCAUCUUCCUCGACCGAUGUCCCCAAAUUUGCAAGUGCAUCGGCCUCACUGUUUUGUUCUCGAGGUACAUGUUGUAAAGUCCAUUCCUUGAAAUGGUGCAAAGUUACCUGCAGUUUGUCCAAAUACCUUUUCAUUCUAUCCUCUCGAACUUCGAAGGUUUUGUUUACUUGGUUCACCAACAGUAAAGAGUCACACUUGGCUUCAAUGACUUCUGUUUCCAAGCUUUUAGCUAGCUUGAGACCUGCAAUCAUGGCCUCGUACUCGGCCUCAUUGUUAGUCAACCUAGAAGUUUUUAUAGAUUGCCUAAAAGUGCUACCCGUGGGCGGUUUCAAAACGAUGCCUAUCCCGGACCCCUUCACAUUCGAAGCAUCGUCUGUGAAAAGGGUCCAUACCCCCGAUGGUGUACCCGAUUUUAACAAGAGUUCCUUUUCAAAUUCGUGUACGAGGGUUGGCGUGAAAUCAGCCACAAAGUUCGCUAAAAUUUGAGAUUUGAUGGCCGUCCGGGGUUAAUAUUUGAUAUCGUACCCACUGAGUUCGACGGCCCAUUUGGCCAAUCGGCCCGAUAGUUCGGGUCUGUGCAAAAUAUUAUGAAGUGGGUAAGUGGUUUAUACGUAUAUGGGGUGAUAUUGAAAGUAUGGUCUUAACUUUCUAAAGGCGCUUAUUAGAGCAAGUGCCAAUUUCUUUAAGUGUGAAUAUCUAGUUUCUGCUUCUCCUAAGGUUCGACUUACAUAAUAAAUAGGAAAUUGUGUACCUUGGUCUUCUCGAACUAGGAUACCACUUACCGCGAUUUCCGAUACUGCCAAGUACAAGUAAAGUUUCUCGUCUGCCUUUGAAGUGUGAAGCAGUGGUGGGCUCAAUAGGUAUCGCUUCAAUUCCUCUAAUGCCUAUUGGCAUUUCGGGGUCCAGGCGAAAUCGUUCUUCUUUUUGAGUAGAGAGAAAAAUCAGUGGCUUCGAUCCAACGACCUCGAAAUGAAUCUACCUAUGACAGCUAUCCAUCCAGUUAGCUUCUGCACAGAUUUUACACUGUCCAUGACGGUGAUGUCUUCGAUGGCCUUGAUUUUAUCGGGGUUGAUCUCGAUCCCCCAAUUCGAUAACAUGAAGCCAAGGAACUUGCCCGAACCGACCCCGAAAGCACAUUUCUCGGGGUUGAGCUUCAUCUUGUAUUUCCUUAAAAUCUCGAAUGUUUCCUGCAAAUGGUCCAAAUGGUCUUCUGUGCACAGGGACUUAACUAGCAUGUCAUCAAUAUAAACUUCCAAUGAUUUACCUAUUUGUUCUUCGAACAUUUUAUUUACUAGGCGUUGGAAAGGAGCUCUUGUAUUUUUUAGCCCAAAGGGCAUUACAUUAUAACAAUAUGCUCCUACUUGGUGAUAAAUGAAGUCGUUUCUCGGUCCUCCGGGUUCAUUUGGAUUUGAUUAUACCCGGAAUAGGCAUCGAGAAAAGUAAGGAUCUCGUGGCCGGCCGUGGCAUCGAUCAUGCGAUCGAUGUUAGGCAACGGAAAAGAAUCUUUGUGGCAUGCCUUGUUUAAAUCCUUAUAAUCUAUACACAUUCUAAGUUUGUUCCCUUUUUAGGGACUACAACUACAUUGGCUAAUCAUUCAAGAUAUUUCACCUCCCGAAUGGACCCUAUUUUGAGAAGUCUAGUUACCUCGUCCUUUAUGAAUGCGUGCUUUACCUCGGACUGGUGUCUUCUCUUUUGCUUCACUGGUUUCAACCUAGGGUCUAGGCUUAACCGAUGCGUCGUUAUCUCCGGUGGGAUCCCUGUCAUGUCUAAAUGGAACCAAGAAAAACAAUCUAUGUUAUCAAUAAUAAAUUGAAUAAGCUUUUUCCUGAGUUCGGGGGUUAAUCCCGUUCCCAGGUAUACCUUUCAUUCGGGCAGAUAUUCAAUUUGUAUGACUUGCUCCAGUUCUUCGACCGUUGAUUGGGUAGCGUCGGAAUCAUCGGGGACCACAAAAGAUCAAGGGAUCCCUUGCUCAUCAUCUUCGUCAAUCUUCUGAUUUUCUAGUUGGGUCGAAGCUGACGUCUGUGAUUGCUAUUUGGCAUCAUGUUCCCCCUUCGAGUCCGACCCCUUUGUUGAUGAAGGCGAGGAUAUCAGAAUUGCUUCUUUGAUGACAAAUAUUUCUCUUGCGGCCGGUUGUUCUCCGUACACUAUUUUAAUUCCCUUCGAUGUUGGAAAUUUCAGAACCUGGUGGAGGGUCGAAGGUACAACUCUCAUAUUAUGGAUCCAUGGCCUUCCAAAAAGGGCGAUGUACCUCAUAUUGCCUUCGAUUAUAUGGAAAUUCAUUUCUUGGAUGGUCCCGGCCACGUUUAUCGGUAGAAUUAUCUCGCCUUUGAUAGCUGCACAUGCCAUAUUGAAUCCUUUUAGAACCAGGUUUGCGGGUACGACCUGGGCCUGUAGACUGAGCUGUUCUACGACCUUCGAUCUAAUAAUUUUGGCCGAGCUACCAGGAUCAAUUAACACACGCUUAACUUUAGUUUUAUUCAUAAGUACGGAUAUUACCAGUGCAUCGUUGUGAGGUUGCAUGACUCCUUCUGCAUCUUCAUCAUUAAAGGACAGGGUUCCUAUGGGUGCGUAAUCCUGAGUUCGAGGUCGCUUCUCUCUCAUAACUGAUGUUUUAGUACGUUUAAGCACAUGCCCUUGAGGGGUAUCGGCACCACCGAUGAUCAUGUGGAUGAUGUGCUGUGGUUCUUCCUAUUCGUUUUGCCUACCGAAAUCCCUGUUUUUGAAAUGGUUUUUGGCCCUGUCGCUUAAAAAUUCUCGAAGGUGCCCUUUAUGGAAUAACCGGGCUACCUCCUCUCUUAAUUGCCUACAAUCUUCCGUUCUGUGGCCAUGGGUGCCAUGAUAUUCGCACAUUUGAUUAGGAUUUCUCUGGGCAGGAUCUGACUACAUAGGUCGAGGCCAUUUAGUAUCUUUGAUGCGCCCGAUAGCCGACACGAUAACGGAUGCAUUGAUGCUGAAGUUAUACUCCAAUAACCGUGGUGCUUUCUUAGGUCUAGUAUGCCUGUCGAACCCAUUUCUGUUCAUCAUCCCCCGAGACCCUUGACAUCGAUCACUUCUUUUAUUGCCUUUUAUGGGGUUACGUCUCGAUUCAUUCCCCCUAUGGUCUCUAUUAUACGGCCGGCAUCGGUCCCUAAUCGGCCCUUAUUCUCGAUUGAUGUCCCUUCUAACAUCAGUUCCAGAACCCAACUAAUCGUCUUCGACUCUAGUUUUUGAUUGAUACCGAUUGUGCACGUCGGCCCAAGUAAUAGCUGGGUACUUGAUCGGGUUAUGCUUCAACCACCGUGAAGCCAUCGAACUUCGUUCGUUCAGACCUUGAGUGAAAGCUUGAACAGCCCAAUCGUCUGUGACUGGUGGUAGAUCCAUUCGUUCCAUUUGGAAACGAGAUACGAACUCCCUUAGAAUCUCGUUAUCUUUUUGUCUUACCUUGAACAGGUUCGACUUCCUGGUCUCAACCUUUAUGGCCCCAGCGUGUGCUUUUACGAAAGAAUCUGCAAGCAUAGCAAAAAAAUCGAUAUAAUUAGAUGGUAAAUUAUGAUACCAUAUCAUUGCUCCAUUUGACAGAGUUUCACCGAAUUUCUUCAAUAAUACAGUUUCGAUUUCAUCAUCCUCUAGAUCGUUCCCUUUAAUGGCACAUGUGUAAGAGGUGACAUGUUCGUUGGGGUCGGUCAUUCCUUUAUAUUUAGGAAUCUCGGGCAUGCGGAACUUCUUUGGGAUCGGUUUAGGAGCCGCACUUGGGGGGAAAGGCUUUUGUACGAAUUUUUUGGAAUCUAAGACCUUCAAUAUCGGUAGUGCCCCCGGGAUCUAAUCAACCCUGGACUUAUAUGUUUCUACCUUUUUGUCAUUUGCCUCGAUCCUCCUUUCUCCUGAUUCUAUUCGUUUGGUCAGUUCUUCGAAUAUCUUAUCAAUUUCGGGAUUAGUCCCCGACUCUUGCUCAUUUGACCUUACUAUAGCUGGUUCCAUUCUGUGGGUGACUUAUCGGGGUGGACUGGGCUCCGGCCUACUCGGUAUCUGGGUUUUACUCUGCAACUGAGCUAUUGCUACCGUUGAGCUUGCAACAUUUCAAAAAUUAUACGCAAACUGAUUCUGUUUUCCUUAAUGUUAUGGGUAUCCCGAGCUGCAAAUCUAGUACCACUAUGAAUGCUAUUUUCAGGUUCAGAACGUUGGUUUGCCUCAAUGGCCACAUGUGAAUUAACGUCUAAUGGCACUUCGACUCGAGCUCCAACGGCGUCGACAAGUGCCCUUUCGGCCCUGGGCGUCAAGUUGUUGUUCUGACCUUGAAGGUCAGCUUCGUUGUCAAUAGGUAAGACCAUUUAAUUGAGAGCUGAUCGUUGCUAAUCCGAAAUCAAAGACACUUCCGAAAACAAGCGUAAAAUGGUGUGUUUUGCAGAUUCGUAUCAAAUAACCAUUAUUAUCCUUAGCCCCGCGGUGGGCGCCAAACUGUUCACCCAAAAAACUGAUAGAGUUAAAUUUGUACGUAGUUCUAAGGGUACGUGGUAUAACUUGACACAAAUCGUAUAAGUAGAAAUAUCGAAUAUUGACCGUAAAGAAUGAAAUACAAACAAAGUUUAAUGGAGGAUGAUUUAUGGAUAAGCAAGAUGAAUCAAUGUAUAAAGCUUCAAAAGGAUAAUCUCUCAAUAUAGAGCAUAUGCACAGUAUCUGAGUUAUGGUGUCUUAAUGUCUCAAUAGUUGGAUGCCCCUUUACAGAAAUAGUAGACAUCCUUUUUAUAGUGGAAGGGUCUUACUUUAGAUAUAAUAAAAAAUACAUAGUGGGAAUCCCAUGAUAGACUAGUUUUUCCCUAAUUUCCGUCGAGAUUCUCUCUCUUAGUGCGGUUUUAACGGCUCUUGUCUCUUGGCUCGAUCUUGAUCGGACUCGGUAUUAGUCGGUUUCCAGGUUUAGAGCUCGAUGCGGGCUCGAGAUCAAUGCUAACUCGGGGCCCGUAUUGAUUCGGGCUCGGUGUUGGUUGGUCUCUGGCUCUGAAGCUUGAUACCAUCGCUUCUCAUCAUAGUUCGAUUUGGACUCGAGUUCGAUAAUGACUUCGAGCUCGGUAUUUGAUCUGACACCGAAACUUGAAGCUCAUUUGUGCCUUCUUCAAAUCUCAUCUCGAUAUUAUGAAGACGCUCUUCGGUCCAUCUUCACCAAUCGUACGAAGGUCGAAACCGGUUUUGACCGUAUAUAAGCUCUUCCAGAACUUCUUUUUUGGUUUCCCCGACGUUCUGUAUUCGCAUUGGAGCUCGUCUAUAUUCGAAUUCGCGCCAUAUAAGGCUCCAUUCGGGAGGAAUCGCUCCCUACCAAGAAUUUUUCUAUACCCAUGGCUCGAACCCGAAACCUCUGGUUAAGGAAAGAUCAGCCUCGUCCGCUAUAAUAUAUAUAUAUAUCCAAAAAAAAACCAGAUGCAACUGUGUAGCAAGUAUUUUUCUUUCUUUCUUUCUUUUUUUUGUUGAGAACCCUUUCAUUUGGUUGUAGUUUACUUGGAAGCACUGAGAGAGUGUGAGAACUGAGAAACAAAGACAGCGUGUUAACAUCCUCAAGAAGAAUUGCAUCGUAAGUAUGUAUUUUCAAGAGUUGACUAAUCGAAAUUAUAAAAAGGAAAAAAAAUUAGUGGUAUGAAUUUAUGAUGCAUGUCUAAGUUAGAAUUGUUUUUGGCUGCUAACAUGCGAUUAAAGCUACAUAACCUCAAUGAUUAUACAAAAAUCUUGAAAAUUCCAAUUUCACGUGAACAUAUCCUAUAUUAAAGGCUUCAUUAAAUUAAAAAAAUUACUGGUUCGAUAGUGAAAAAACGAAUUCACCAUAUAUUCUAAAAUAUAUUGUUAAGCUAGUUUUCAACGUACAUAUAUUACUAUAACCAGAAGAAAAAGAAGAAAGAAAGAACAGAAUUAAAUACUUGAUCAGUCUAAUCAUGUGCUAAAUUUUUAAAAGAAAUAUGAUGUGAAUCUUAAGGAGUUCUUUAUUAUUAAAGGCACAUUCUGCGAUCAAGUUGUUGCAACUUAAAUGAUAGUAUUUGAUUUUCAAAUGUCUCUUUAUCAUUAUGACUACGGAUGUGUUUGGUAGGAAGGAAAAUAUUUUAAUUUUUUUUUAAUUUUGAUUGGCUUAAAUAUUUUAAAAAAUAUUUUCUUUUUCAACUAUUUUUUCUUCAAUUGGAUGAUAAUUACUUCCCUACCAAAAGCAAGAAAAAUAUUUUUCAAAACUUAUUGUCAAACUUCCCCACCUUAUUUUUUACCCCACCCUCCACCGCCCCACUCACCCCCAAACCACCUUGCCACCCCUCCCACCUCUCACCCCUACACCCCACCCUCACCCCUAAUCUCAUUGUCAUCACCCCAACCCCUAGAUCCCAACCUAUCAUGUUUCGCCGCCCUUACCUCGCGCGUAAAUUCCAUCUUCUACUAUUUAAUGGAAGAAAAAUAUGAUUUCAAAAUAUUUAAAACGAGAACCGAAUUGAGUAUUUAUUGUUGGCGCUAUCACGACCUUUAAUAGAUUUUGGGUCGUAACAACAUGGUAUUAGAGCACUAGGUUCACUUAGGUCUCACGAGUCAUGAGCGAGUUUAGUAGAGUCUUGCGGAUCGGCACAGAGACGUCUCUGCUUUAUCUUCGAGAGGCUACAGGACUGUUAGAAGCACUUCCCUUCUUGAUUCCUCAUCGUGCUAUUUAAUCCCUUUGAGGCUUAUGCCUUUAUUUUCUUCCUACUCAUUCUUGUACGGUGUUGAGCUCUCGUGUCAAUUGGGCACCGAGGAGUUACAGUGGUACUACAGACGUGGGCAGGAUAUUUCUCCCUACGUAUUUGAUUGGGCUAUUGUUGUCGCCUUGCGGAAGGUCGUUCUGUCAUUUCAGCUCAGUAUCAGUAUUGCCUAUGAUGCAAUAGUAGGAUGCUUGUCUAGGCGUCGAGGCAGUGAAUGACUUGAAAGGAGGAUUUCUCAGCGCAUGAUGUAGAGGUUCAACGUUUAAUCCCAGCAAAGGAAAGGUAAUCGUACUAUGAUUGUUUAGGUUUGGGGUUGCUGGAGUAAUGAGGCUUGGUAUUUUCGAGCGCGGUAGAGUUCUCAAUUGUGAUGUGGUGUCAUCGUCCUUAUUGAACGCAUUAAGGUUCGCCGAUGUUGUGGCCUUCUUCAAUUUGCCUUCGGGGCAGGGUGUUGUGAAAUAGUGCCUGAGAUGUGGUUGUCAGAGAUAACAGAGUGUAGCGAUUUCGAAAUUGAAUUGGUACUUCUAGUAUUGAUGGCUUGAGAAAGAUGAUCUUCUAAGAGGUAUAGAGUUGGUGGCAACUCAUGUGAUCGGAUGUUACAGAAAUGGAUUCGGGUUUGGAGCAACAAUUGGGCAGCGAAGGAUGAGAAAGGACGUGUGGGAGGAGUUUUGCGAUGGUUGAAUUGUUAGGAGGUCAAGUGUGAAAAGUAGAAGUCAAGGAGUCGCUUAAAGGAAAGGGUUUGACCAAAGUGGGAGAGUGAUAGAGUAGCAUAUGGGUUCUGUGGUAGGAUAGACACACGCCUUGAGGGAAGCUUAGAGCAAUUUGGAAAUUGUGAUUGGCAAUGACUAAGACCAUGGAUUUUAUUUGGAUGCAACAUGACUUCGAGUUUGGAAUGCGUUGUUCGACUUUUAACUAAUGUCAAUGGGGNNNNNNNNNNNNNNNNNNNNNNNNNCGGUUUCUGGUUAUCGGUAUAUUGGUGGGUUAUUAUGACUAGGAAAAAAACAAUCAGUGGUAAUCUGAGCAAAGGAUUUGAGAAAUGUGUGUUAUCCUUGGCCAUAUCGGUUCAUGUUCGGGUUUUGGGAAGACUCGGAGUCUAUGCUCCGUGUGGGUGUGAUGUUUAAGGAGAAGAAUUCAGCUGGUUGCUUCUUUGAGAGGGUGUUCAUGUGCUAGCAGGGCCUUGGAGUUUGAUUAUAUUCGGGUAUAAGUCAGAGUGGGUGACUCUCAACAAUGGUCCUAGCAAGUUCAAAAAUUAAAGUGCAGUGCCUAAGGAUUUCGAGUCUGUAGUAUGGUUUAAGUAUCGAGCUUUGGCAGUGGAUUAUGAAAAAGGGGCUUGGAGUGUUCUAUGUUAUCUACAGUCAGCGGUGCGGCAUCGGAGGAAUGGGAGAAAAUAACUUCGGAUUCAUGGACGAAUUAUCAGGAUGGGUGUACUCGUUGAAGAUGCGAAUAUGCGCACAAGGAAAGUAUGUGAUGGUUCAGGGGUUUUGGAGACAAUGUGGUCUUGUGAAAUAAGGUCACUCAGGAUGAGUACGGAAUUGGGUUCAUGAUGUUUUGAAUAGAGCUAUUAUUAUUUCUAGGGCGAGUCCCGAGUAAAUUAGUGGAAGUCAGUUCGGUUAGCAAUGGUUGAACUGGCAUGAUGGUGGCAAUGAUCAGUUCCUUUAGCGUGUUGAGUUAUACAUGUGAUUUGUGGCGGUAUGUGCGAGGCUUAACGGCCGCCGUAAUUGAUUUUAUUUGGGGGCAUUCGAGUAUUAUGGCAUGUUAUGUGUAGAUGGAACCCGAAAGAAUUAUGGUGGUUUAGACCAUUACGCAAGGUUUGUAUUUUUGUGCGAUUUGAGAAUUUAGUAGCGGGUUGCAUUAGUUCUUCUGGAAUGAGCUAAGUAAAAGGCUUCUAUAUGAUGAAGUAUCUAUUCUAUUAGUAGAUCAGGGGUUAUUAUGGAAUUCUGGUACUCUCACGUAUUGGCAUGUUAGGUGCAGUGAGCGGCCUUGGGAGAUUGGAAGCUGAGGAUCAAGGUUGGGGUUCGGUGUUGACAAGAAUUUCAAGAGCUCAGAUGAGCAGGGAAGAAUUCAGAUGUUUAGAGUAAGCUGGUAUUGUCUUUAGCGUCACCUGAGAUCGGUGUCAUGUGGAAGAGGCCCUGUGUGUUGACUUGCAAAUUUUUGACUCACUCUACAGAAUUAGAAUGGUUGGUGGAAUGGAUGUGCGGACCUUGAUACCCGAGCGAAAUGGUCGUGGGAGCAUGCCCCACGGGGAGAUUUGUAUAAGUGUGACAUGUCAUUCACUUGAUUGUUAAAGAUUGAGAUCGAGUAUGGAGGUCAUGGUAAUAUCGCAAGUGCGAGAGUUUAUGCCUGAGAGGCGUUCUAUUCCUUGGGAUGUGGACCAUGUGAGUUUGUUUCGAAUUUGACGGAUGUUCUUAUGUAUCGUGAAUAGGUCAUUGUGGGUUCGUGAGAGGCUAUUUAGCCAAGCAUGGUAUGAUCAGAAUCGGUUUGAGGUCCAUGGAUGGAUCUAAAUGUGAAUGUGGUCUCUAUAUCAGGCCGGAUGUGUUCAUCUCAGUAUACCGUUGUUUUCGGAGGGGUCUUCAGGCCUUGGAUGUUAUUUCUGUUGUCGGCCCCUUCCGUGUAGUCUCUAUUGUGACAUGUGGGUUAUGAGGCGGUUUAAUUAUUAGCACUCGUAUUGAGAUCCCGUAUAGUUUGUGGUAUUAUGUGGCAGGGUGGCUCUCGAGAUGCAGAUCAUAUAUCGCACCUUAGUUGUGCUUGAGUUUUAUAGCGUAUGACGCUAUACGUCUCCCCAAGAUUUGUAUUAUGCACUUGGCGUGCUUAUGGUUGAUAUUCGGGCAUUUCGUGAGUAUGAGCGUUACGGCUCGAUGUGCAUUUUCUUUAGCUUAUUAUGUGUGGAUCGGGUGGCACGUCGCCACGGAUAUGUUGUUUGGAUCGGGUGGCACGCCGCCACAGGUAUCAUGGUUGGAUCGGGUUGCACGCCGCAACAAUGUGAUGUUGAGCACAAUUUCCCAUAUCUAUUAUUGUGUGUUUUUCUUCUCAUUCUCUGGGGAAGGUUCAUAACACCUUUUCGGUCGUUUAAUUAGUUACGUGAGUUGAGUAGUUCGUUCCAGGGUUCGUUUUCCUUAUAUAUAGCAUUCGAGUUUGUAGCUUGCUAGCACAUUGUGGCAUCAUAUGAGACUUUUGGAAGUGUCUGAGGUGGCUUAUUGCCUGAGCAGCUUGUACUGGGUGAGACGGGAUUAUUGGACCUGGGAUCAGUACGAUCAGAUUUAUAUGAAGCAUAUUAAAGAGUAAAUAUUGGUAUUCAGUCCAGAAUGAGGUAAUGGUUCUUGUCGGGAGGGGAGACUCCAUAAAUUGUGAUUCGAUAGGUGGUUAUGAGUUCUACACAUCUUCUCUGUCGUGGCAGUAUUGCGAGAGUUCAAGCAAGGCUUAAUUGGUCAUGAGGUACACUACGGGCUUCAGCUAGUGGAAAUUUUAGUUGUUGUGCUUUGGAAAGAUUGUCUUGGGCAAAUGAGUUACGUGGUGCAUGGUAAGAAUUCAGUGAGAGUAUACAAUCAUGUAUUGGUACAUCGUGUAGUGAUUGAAACGGUGUUCGUAUGUUGGAAGCAGGCCUACUGGAGAAUUUCGGACAUUGGAAUUUGGCUCUAAGGCUUAUUUGCCUAAAUAAAGGAGAGGAUCUUCAGAUUUGCUCGAUCUAAUGUACUCAACUGGGUUGUGGUAGCACGGGUAGGUGCACGAGGUAUUAAACAAUGAUUUCAAACAACUCCAGAACAGUUCUUAGCACGUUCGAGGACGAAUGUAUAUUUAAGUGGGAGAGAAUGUAACGACCCGACCGGUCAUUUUGAGCCAUAGCGUGUCGUUCAGUGGUUUGAGGCCCUGAGCAGCUUCGCUUCAGGUAUUAUGACUUGUACGCGUGGUCGAAAUUUAAUUUCGGGUUCGGAGUUGAUUUGGAAAGAAAAUUCUAAUUUCGGAAGCCUUAAGUUGGAGGAAUUGACUAAAGUGUGAUUUUUGAGUAAACGACCUCAGAAUUGGGAUUUGAAGGUUCCAACAGGUUCGUAUGAUGAUUUUGGACUUGGGCGUAUGUCCGGAUCGAGUUUUGGAUGACCCGGGAGCGUUUCGACGCCUAUUAUGGAAGUUGGCAUUUUGGAAGAAAUUUAUAAUUUUGGGUUGAAGCGAAAUUCAAUGUUAUCGAUAUCCGUUUGGGAUUCCGGGCCUGGGAAUAGCUCCGUAUGGUGAUUUUGGCAUUGGGAGCGCGUCCGGAUGUAGAUUUGGAGGUCUGUAGGUCAUUUUUGGGGUUAUUUGGCGAAAGUUAGAAAUUUGAAGGUUUUUGGAGAGUUUGACCAGGGGUGGACUUUUUGAUAUCAGGAUCGGAUUCCGANNNNNNNNNNNNNNNNNNNNNNNNNNNNNNNNNNNNNNNNNNNNNNNNNNNNNNNNNNNNNNNNNNNNNNNNNNNNNNNNNNNNNNNNNNNNNNNNNNNNNNNNNNNNNNNNNNNNNNNNNNNNNNNNNNNNNNNNNNNNNNNNNNNNNNNNNNNNNNNNNNNNNNNNNNNNNNNNNNNNNNNNNNNNNNNNNNNNNNNNNNNNNNNNNNNAUUUUGAUUGGGUUGCAUCUUAUUUGACUAGUUUUGGAGCGACGGGCAUCGGUUUGAGGUGUUAGAGAGGCUUUGGAGCCGGUUAUGGAAUUUCGGAGCGAGGUAAAUCUCAUGUCUAACUCUGUGAGGGGGAAAUUACCCCUAGGUGUUGUAUAUUGAUGUGUGCUACUUGUUGUAGGGGCUACGUACGCGCGAGGUGACGAAAGAUAAUUUCAAAAUAUUUACGCGCGAGGUAAGGGCGUAUGUCCGGAUCGGGUUUUGGAUGACCCGGGAGCAUUUCGACACAUAUUUUGGAAGUUAGCAUUUUGGAAGUAAUUCAUAACUUUGGGUUGAAGUGCAUUUCAAUGUUAUCGAUCUCCAUUUGGGAUUCCGAGCCUGGGAAUAGCUCCGUAUGGUGAUUCUGGUAUUAGGAGCGCGUCCGGAUGUGGAUUUGGAGGUCCGUAGGUCAUUUUGGGGUCAUUUGGCGAAAUUUAAAAUUUUGAAGGUUUUUGGAGAGUUUGACCGGGGUGGACUUUUUGUUAUCGGGGUCGGAUUCUAAUUCCGGAAGUUGGAGUAGGUCUGUAAUGUCAAUUAUAACUUGUGUGCAAAAUUUGAGGUCAAUCGGACGUGAUUUGAUAAGUUUCGGCAUCGAUUGUAGAAGUUUGGAAUUUCAAAGUUCAUUUAAGUUUGAAUUGGAGGGUGAUUCAUAGUUUUGAUGUUGUUUGGCGUGAUUUGAGGCCUCAACUAAGUUCGUGAUGUGUUUUGGGACGUGUUGGUAUAUUUGGUUGAGGUCCUCAGGGCCUCGGGUGGAUUCCGGAUGGUAAGCGGAUCAAGUUUGGGCUUAGAAGAAUGCUGGAGUUGCUGUCAUCUGGUGUAAUCGCACCUGCGAGGUUUUGGCCACAGGUGCGGAGCCACAAAAGUGGCCAGGAGGUUGCAGAAGCGAAAAAGGAGUGAGGGACUGCGUCUGUAGGUGCGGACGAUUUGUCGCAGAAGCGGAUGCGCACCUGCGGAGAGUUUAGCGUAGAAGAGGAGGUUGGACAAAAGGCCUGGGGCCGCAGAAGCGGGCACAAACGUGCAGGUGCGCGAGUGCAGAUGCGCAUGAGAAUCGUAGAAGCGGAAGCGCAGGUGCGAGGUUUUGGCCGCACCUGCGAGACCGCAGAUGCGAUGAAGCGGUCGCAGGUGUGGGAGUCGCUGGGCAGAAGGGUUCCUUAAGAAAAGGGUUUUGGCCCAUUUUCUUCCAUUCUCUCUUGGUUGGGCGAUUUUUGGAGAGCUUCAAGUGGGUGGGGGGGUUCAUCAUCUAUGCCAAGGUAAGUUAUUCCCAUCCAUUUCAAGAUAAAUACAUGGUUUUUAUAUGGAUUCAAGCAUGAAAAUUUGUAGAAAUUUGGGAUUUUGAAGAAAAUUAUAGAAAUUGGUAUUUUUGGAUUUUGACCACGAAUUUGGGCAUGGAAUUGGAAAUAAAUUAUAUAUUUGAGUUCGUGAGGUUAUCGAUUUUUCGAGCGGAGUUGGAAAUUCUUAUAAAUUGAUUAAUCAUGAGUAUUAGAGUAUAUUUUGAUUGGGUUGCAUCUUAUUUGACUAGUUUUGGAGCGAAGAGCAUCGGUUUGAGGUGUUAGAGAGGCUUUGGAGCCGGUUAUGGAAUUUCGGAGCGAGGUAAGUCUCAUGUCUAACUCUGUGAGGGGAAAAUUACCCCUAAGUGUUGUAUAUUGAUAUGUGCUACUUAUUAUGGGGUCUACGUACACGCGAUCUGAUGAAAGAUGAUUUCAAAAUAUUUAUGCGCGAGGUAAGGGCGUAUGUCCGGAUCGGGUUUUGGAUGACCCGAGAGUGUUUCGACACCUAUUAUGGAAGUUAACAUUUUGGAAGAAAUUCAUAAAUUUGGGUUGAAGGAAUUACAAUGUUAUCGAUGUCCAUUUGGGAUUGCGAGCCUGGGAAUAGCUCUGUAUUGUGAUUCUGGUAUUAUUGGGAGCGCGUCCAGAUAUGGAUUUGAAAGUCCGUAGGUCAUUUUGGGGUCAUUUGGCGAAAGUUAGAAAGUUGAAGGAUUUUGGAGAGUUUGACCAGGGUGGAUUUUUUUAUAUCGGGAUCGGAUUCUGAUUUCGGAAGUUGGAGUAGGUCCGUAAUGCCAAUUAUGACUUGUGUGCAAAUUUUGAGAUCAAUCCGACGUGAUUUGAUAGGUUUCGGCAUCGAUUGUAGAAGUUUGGAAUUUUAAAGUUCAUUAAGUUUCGAUGUUAUUUGGCGUGAUUUGAGGCCUCGACUAAGUUCGUGAUUUAUUUUGGGACGUGUUGGUAUAUUUGGUUGAGGCCCUGAGGGCCUCGGGUAGAUUCCGGAUGGUAAAAGGAUCGAGUUUUGGCUUGGAGGAAUGUUGGUGUAAUCGCACAUGCGAGAUUUGGUCGCAGGUGCGGAGCCGCAAAAGCGGCCAGGAGGUCGCAGAAGUGAAAAGGGAGUGGGGGACUGUGUCUGCAGGUGCGGACAAUUUGCCGUAGAAGAGGAUGCGCACCUGCGAGGAGUUUAGCGCAGAAGCGGAGGUUGGCCAAAAGGCCUGGGGCCGCAGAAGCGGGCACAAACGCGUAGGUGCGCGAGCGCAAAUGCACAUGAGGAUCGUACAAGCGGAAGCGCGGGUGCGCUGCAUGGGGCGCAGAUGCGGAGCUGUGUUGGGCAAAAGGGAAUGCGCAAGUGCGUGGUUUUGGCAGCACCUGCGAGACCGCAGAUGCGAUGAAACGGCCGCAGGUGCGAGAGUCGUUGGGCAGAAAGGUUCCUUAAGAACGAGGUUUUGGCCCAUUUUCUUCCAUUCUCUCUCGGUUGGGCAAUUUUUGGAGAGUUUCAAAUGGGGGGGGGGAGGGGGGCUCAUCAUCUAUGCCAAGGUAAGUUAUUCUCAUCCAUUGCAAGAUAAAUACAUGGUUUUUAUAUGGAUUCAUGCAUGAAAAUUUGUAGAAAUUUGGGAUUUUGAAGAAAAUUAUAGAAAUUGGUAUUUUUGGAUUUUGACCACGAAUUUGGGCAUGGAAUUGGAAAUAAAUUAUAUAUUUGAGUUCGUGAGGUUAUGUGUAAUGGUUAUAUUUGAAAAUUCUCGAAAUCCGGGCACGUGGACCCGAGGGUAGCUUUAUUAAUUUUUCGAGCGGAGUUGGAAAUUAUUAUAAAUUGAUUAAUUAUGAGUAUUAGAGUAUAUUUUGAUUGGGUUGCAUCUUAUUUGACUAGUUUUAGAGCGACGAGCAUCGGUUUGAGGUGUUAGAGAGGCUUUAGAGUCGGUUAUGGAAUUUCGGAGCGAUGUAAGUCUCUUGUCUAACUUUGUAAAGGGGAAAAUUAGCCCUAUGUGUUGUAUAUUGAUGUGUGCUACUUGUUAUGGGAGCUACGUACGCGCGAGCUAAUGGAAGAUGAUUUCAAAAUAUUUACGCGCGAGGUAAGGGCGUAUGUCCGGAUCGGGUUUGGGAUGACCCGGGAGCAUUUCGACACCUAUUAUGGAAGUUAACAUUUUGGAAGAAAUUCAUAAAUUUAGGUUGAAGGCAUUACAAUGUUAUCGAUGUCCAUUUGGGAUUCUGAGCCUGGAAAUAGCUCUGUAUGGUGAUUCUGGUAUUGGGAGCGCGUUCGGAUAUGGAUUUGGAAGUCUGUAGGUCAUUUUGGGGUCAUUUGACGAAAGUUAGAAAGUUGAAGGUUUUUGGAGAGUUUGACCAGGGUGAACUUUUUGAUAUCGGGGUCGGAUUCUGAUUCCGGAAGUUGGAGUAGUUCCGUAAUGCCAAUUAUGACGUGUGUGCAAAUUUUGAGGUCAAUCGAACGUGAUUUGAUAGAUUUCGGCUCGAUUGUAGAAGUUUAGAAUUUCAAAGUUCAUUAAGUUUGAAUUGUAGGGUGAUUCGUAGUUUCGAUGUUGUUUGGCGUGAUUUGAGGCCUCGACUAAGUUCGUGAUUUGUUUUGGGACGUGUUGGUAUAUUUGGUUGAGGUCUUGAGGGCCUCGGGUGGAUUCCGGAUAGUAAACGGAUCGAGUUUUGGCUUGGAGGAAUGCUGGAGUUGGUGUCUGGUGUAACCGCACAUGCGAGGUUUGGCAGCAGGUGCGGAGCCGCAAAAACGGCCAGGAGGUCGCAGAAGCGAAAAGGGAGUGGGGGACUGUGUCUGCAGGUGCGGACGAUUUGCCGCAGAAGAGGAUGCGCACCUGCGAGUAGUUUAGCGCAGAAGCGGAGGUUGGCCAAAAGGCCUAGGGCCGCAGAAGCGGGCACAAACGCAUAGGUGCGCAAGCGCAAAUGCACAUGAGGAUCGUAGAAGCGGAAGCGCAGGUGCGCUGCAUGGGGCGGAGAUGUGCUGGGAAAAAGGAAAUGCGCAGGUGCGAGGUUUUGGCCGCACCUGCGAGACCGCAGAUGCGAUGAAGCGGUCGCAGGUGCGGGAGUCGCUGGGCAGAAGUGUUCCUUAAGAACGGGGUUUUGGCCCAUUUUCUUCCAUUCUCUCUUGGUUGGGAGAUUUUUGGAGAGCUUCAAAUGGGGGGCGAUUUUUAUAUGGAUUCAUGCAUGAAAAUUUGUAGAAAUUUGGGAUUUUGAAGAAAAUCAUAGAAAUUGGUAUUUUUGGAUUUUGACCACGAAUUUGGGCAUGGAAUUGGAAAUAAAUUAUAUAUUUGAGUUCGUGAGGUUAUGAGUAAUGGUUAUCUUCAAAAAUUCUCGAAAUUCGGGCACGUGGGCCCGAGGGUAGCUUUAUCGAUUAUUCGAGCGGAGUUGAAAAUUGUUAUAAAUUGAUUAAUUAUGAGUAUUAGAGUAUAUUUUGAUUGGGUUGUAUCUUAUUUGACUAGUUUUGGAGAGACAUGCAUCGGUUUGACGUGUUAGAGAGGCUUUGGAGCCGGUGUGCUACUUGUGUUGGGGGCUACGUACGCGCGAGGUGACGAGAGCCCGUACAUAGCUACAUUCAUGUUAUUAUCCGAGUAGGCUUAGGUUCACAUCAUGCUAUAGCUGUACUAUUUGAGCAGUCUCUCGCCUAUUAAAUUCCUCUGUUUUACAUUAUUACUUGAGACUAGACUUGCUAUUGUAGAGAUUUCACGAGUUCGUGAUUAGUCACCGAAUAAUUUUUCUCCUCUUACGGCAUAUUUUCGGGAUAUAUAUAUGUUCAUUGAAAGGUUUUUAUUUAAGAAAUUUCAACUCAUACGUUUAUUCGUGAGUGGGUUCAAGGACCCGUUAAAGCCUCUAAUUCUAUUGGGAUCGGGUCGUUCGCCUCGGCAGGAAUAUAUAUUUCACUCUUAUGGGAUCGGGCUGUUCGCCUCGGCAGGAAUUUACGUACCACACUCUCAUGGGAGCGGGUAGUUCGCCUCGGCAGUUUAAUAGAUGUAUUUAUGGUCCGGGCCGUUCAACCCUUGGCAGUGCACAGUUUAAAUAUUUAUGUUGGAUCGGGCCGUACGCCUCGGCAUUUUCUAUAUCAUAUCCUCAUGGAUUCGUGUGUAAUAUUUGACAAGAAACCAGUGUAUCUGUGAGUUUUUUCGAUUUGAGUUAUGACGGUCUAUCUGAUGAGAUCCACUAUAUAUAUAUGAUCCGGUUAAGGAGAGAAUUUCUAAUGGAGAGCUUAAGUUCCUCGUAAAGAUGGGGGAUUUAUACCACGUGAUUUAUUACUUGUUCACCUCAUUUAUUUACUCUGCCUCGUAUUUACUUAUCUCUUUAUUGUACCUGAUGUUAUUGGACCACUAGUGAGUGUCUAAGUCGACCCCUCGUCACUAGGCUAGAUAUUUAUUGGGUACACGUUGAUUACGUACUCAUGCUACACUUGCUGCACAUUUUUGUGCAGGUACAUAUGUGACUAGUGGCCUUGUGAGAGCAGAGGCGUGUAUGCAUGCAGGGACUUACGUGAGCUGCAUUCUACAUUACGACCCGCAACCGGCAGAAUCUCCUUCAGAGUAUUUAUAUUUCUCCUGUCCAAAUUUGUAUUCCGGACAGAUGCUGCAUUUUAUUUUACAUUCUUAGUUGAUACUCAUGCACUUGUGACACCGAAUUUUGGGGUGAUUAUGAGUUGUUUUGUAUUGAAGUUGUUAAAAAAUAUUAUCACUUACUCUGUAAAUUUCAUCUUCUACUAUUUAAUGGAAGGAAAAUAUGAUUUCAAAAUAUUUAAAACGAGAACUGAAUUGAGUAUUUAUUGUUGAUUUGCCUGACAGCGGUGUCCGGUGCCAUCACGACCCUUAAUAGAUUUUGGAUCGUGACAUAGAUCCCAACCUACCAUCUUUCGCCGCCCCUUAUCGAUUUGNNNNNNNNNNNNNNNNNNNNNNNNNUCCUGCCAAACACACACUAAGUCAAAUUAUAACUAUUGUGAUACAUACUUAAUUAUGUGCACCGACAGAUGGGAGGGCACUAAAGAAGUUUGUGGUGGGAAAUUGUUAUAGAAGUCCACAAAUGCAAUCCAUUUGUCAAUGAAAGUCAAUCUGCCCACCCCCAUUACCUCUCUUUGUUGAAUCAACAUUAAUAAUGUAAUGAAAAUCCAUCUGUGUCUAGGCUUCAUGUUUGAGGUCAGCUACGUCUUACUUUCUCUGUGAAAAAAAAUUACUUAACAUUUUACUCAAGUUGCAAAUCAGCAAACUGCAAGUAUAUACACAUUUAUUAUUUUCUUUAAUGUAAAAUCGUAGAACACGUAUUAUAACCCUAAAUCUUCUUAAGAUUAGAGGAGGUGAGAGAUAUUCAUUUUUGAAGUUUGAUUGUCCUAAAGUUUUGAAUUGUCUAUUAUUUUAUAUAUUGAAAGUAAAGAUUAGGAGUUCGUAGCUGAUAGAAUACACUUGAACAAAAAAACAAAACAAAAAAGAAAGAAAAAAAAACAGAAAGGGUGGGGAUGAUUGGUUCAUAUUUUAUAGUAUAAUGCACUUUAUUAGAUAAUGAUUAAAUGAAAAUCUCAUUUUUCUUCAGAAAAAGAUUGCCUAGGACCAAUAUAAUUUGCAAUUUUUCAUGGUGGUUCUACUAACUAGAAUCUUUUUUAGUGCACAAUGGUAUUACAAAUAUAAUAAAUAUUUUAUAGAAAAAAUCUAUUUCUUAAUACUGUCUUUUGAAGUUUGACUAACCAUUAUCAUUCUCAAUCCCAAAAAGAUUAAUGAAUAUUUUAAGAUAACUAAAAGCGCAGAAACAAGAUUACGAUUCUUUCCUUUGGGCAAAAGCCAAAAGGCAAAUUCUUAAUAGAAAAGAAUGUAGAACAUUAGUUGCAGUGAUCCCUUUAUUUCAGAAAAGAUCCAAAGUUAGAAAAAGUGAAGGGAAAAUCAUCUUCUUCCGUUUUCCCUUUAAUUGUUCUCAAGGGGACCCAAAACAAUUCCUCUCCUUUCUGAAUUACAUUUCUCAGACAAAUUCACGUCAUACCUCCAUUUUAAUCCUCAAGAAUUAAUAGGAAAAGGGACACAAAAAUUGAAGUCUUAGAUAUUUAUUCUUUAAAAAAAAAUUAAAGUAAAACUAGUGGAGGGGUAGGGGUGUCAAUGGUUCGGUUCGGCCGGUUAUUUUAUAAAAUUGGUACCAUAUCAAUUUUUCAGUUAUUCUAUUAUGUAUAACCAAAAUUAGACUUUUCGAAACCGUCUCAAUCAUGUCGGUUUCUCUUUGGUAUCGUUACGGUUCGGUUAAUUUUCGGUAUUUUAUUAAAUAUCAUGUAAAAUUCACCAGUAGAAGUAGAAUGCAAUAACAUACGUUCUUUUAUAGGACUUAGCAAAACUAUCUAGAUAUUUUUUACUGUUUAAAGGGUGAUGAAUUAAAAAAAAUGGCUAGAGUAUAGAUCCAUCAACUAUUCUACAACAACGUAAAAGAAACCAAGCAAAGGCAAAGAAAAUAUAAAUUACACGAGUGGAAAGAUAUUAACCAAGUUGAGACUCAAGAAUAAAGUAUAUAGAAGAUUAAAUAGUCAAAAAGAUAAAUCUAAAUUAUAUGAAAGGAAACAUAUUCAAUACAUUGUAAUUUGCUACUCAUUAACCCUAGAAUACUUUGUGUCUUGCUAAUAAAGAUACUUGAAAUAACUUAGUUUAAGUAGAUGUAGCAUAAUAGGUUUUAGGAAUUAGUAUUUUGAGUUUAAUUACUUGUUGGCUUGUAAUAGCUUGCAUAAUUCCAAGGCCCAAAAAAAAAAAUUAAUGCAUUAUUAUUUUUAAACUUACUAGAUAAAUAUAUUUUUCACAUGUAAAAUUUAUUCGGUACGGUUCGAUAUUUUUUCGGUUUAUUUUUAUAAAAUAAAAAACCUACCCUAAUUAUUGAUGCGGUUAUAGAUUUAUAUAAAAACCUACGGUUUCUUAAAAAGAAACCUAAAAAUCGGUUCGGUGUGGUACGGUUCGGUCGGUUUUCGAAUAUCUAUUGACACCCCUAGAAGGGGAGAAAUGUUCUCUUCUAUUGCUUUUUCUUUUUCUAGAACUAAUAUUGCCGUAGAUUUCAAAUAAAGGACCGACCAUUUGAACCCUGAGAAGAUUCACAUUUUCAAACCUAGCUUGUGAUCAAGGCAUAGUUACGAGUGAAGAUUCAUAUAAUUGCUUCCAUCUCAACAUACUUAUGGUUGAAGCGUAAAUAUUAAUGCAAUAAUUUGAAUCUUGCCGAUAAAACAACAAUAACAAUAACAUAUCCAAUAUAAACUCAUAUUUGUGGUCUGAAGAAGAUAAUAUAUACGCAAAUUUUAUCUCUAUCUUGCGCAAAAAGAGAAGUUAUUUUUGACAAACCCUCGACUCAGAAAAAACAAAAAUCAUGGCAAUUUAAAAAGAAAUAUGAUGGCAUAGAAGACAUGGAAAACGAAGUAUUAAUAACGGCAAGAUAGUCAAAGAGCCAAAGCAUAAAAAAUACUCCUUCCAGUCAAAGAGCCAAAGCAUAAAAAAUAUUCCUUCCGUUUCAAUUUAUGUGAACUUGUUUGAGUGAGCACGAAAUUUAAGAAAAAAUAAAAACUUUUGAAAUUUGUGGUCCUAAACAAUUCAAAAAGAAGCUCAGAGUAUUUGUGUGGUUAUAAAAGCUUCUCAUUAAAGAUAGAAUUGUAAAUUUAAGCAAAAUUAUUUCCAAAUUUACAAAGAGGUCAUUCUUUUUAGAACAAAUCAAAAAGGAAAUAGGUUCACAUAAACUGAAACGGGAUAGUAUCAAAUAAUAAUAAAAAUCUAAAACUAAGGGAAUACGAGAAUAAUUCUUGCUGAGAGGAAAUCCAAUGUUAUUAUACAUCUUCAAACAAUUUCAUUUGUAAAUUCCAAUCUAACGGCUAAUUAUAGUCAUUACUAAAGAAUUAUUUAUUGGUAAAAGAAAAUAUUGAUAGGAGAAACCUAAAGUAAAGAACUUUUGCAGAGGAAAAUAGAAAAAAUGGGAGCAAAAACAGAGAAUUAUCUUAAAUCGUUAACUACAUUGGAUAGUAGAUCCGAUUGAUACAAUGAUCCAUUUCCACAAGUAGUGGAAAAAGCAAUAUGGAUUUUAACACUUCCUUGAUUUUAUCAAAGGCUAAUCCCAACAUGAUUGAAAAAUCACAAUAAUCCUCCAAUCAAUCCCCUCAUAAAUUCACCUAAAACACAUAUAUACUUUGCAUAUAUGUACAAGAAAAAAAAAACACAAAACACCAAAGGGAAAAACCCAAAUACCAUCCUAUCAAGACAUGUUACAUCAUUAAAUUACACCUCAACAAUACCUUUUUGACUACUACUACUAACAAUAGCUUUCCAUUGCUUUCUUUGAAAGCUCUUCUCAAGCUUUGAGUUGGAUACUUUACUUUGGGGUUACUUUGGUUUGAGGGCAUAUUGUUUUUAACAAACCCUUCAAAACCUUAUUCCCACCACGUGUUACUCUCCUACACCCAAUUCUUUAUCUUCACAACAUCAUCAAAGUUUUGCCUUUGAUUUGUCUUCACUCCUUCAUAUCACCUGUGAUAAAAAUAAAAGAUACUCAGUUUUAGAUCACAUCAUAUCACAAACCGCCUCUCUUCCUCCCAAGGAAGGGUAAGUUAAGGUCUACCUACACUAUCCUCUCAGACCCCACUUGUGAGAAUCACAGGGUAUAUUGCUGUUUUAAGUUUUAGAUCACAUCAUAUACCAUUGUUUUAAUCACAAUUCAAUUGACACAUAAGGAAGGGUUGUUAGGCUUUAUAUACCAAACCCAACCUCCUCCUAAUUUUUUGAGUAAUAGAGUACACUUUCUUUAGUCUAAUGAUUAUGACAUUUAGUCCAACUUUUAAAAUCCCAAAAAUUUUAAAAAUGAAACAUAUGUUACUAUGUCCAUAAUAGAGUAUCUUCUUAAAAAUGAAACUCAAUUCAAUUAUUGUUCUUUCUCUUGUCCUUACAUUAAGGAUAAACCGACGAGUACCCUUACAUUUGGCUGUAGUUCAAGAUUUGGUGGCAAAAGAGAUAAUGGUGACAAACAAAGAGCUAAGGUGGCAGCAUUUUCAAGAUUUUGCAUAAUCAAGAGUUUGACUAAUCAAAGUGUGAAAGUGAAAAGAAAAAAUAUAAUAUUUUAAGGAAUCUUUAAAACCAUUCCUUAAAACCUUCACAUGUACCCUUGGCAACGCAACUAAUUUGCGAGCUAUUGCACCGUGAUCAAAUUACCACCGCACACUUACGAGUAGUGCAGACGGGUUUCUGCUUAAAUUUUACAAAAAAAGUACUACUGGCAACUACUAUCUUAAGAAAAAAUGUUCUAAUUUCACGUGAAAAUGCAAGUUUAAGACUUUGUCAAAGGAAAAACCUACCUAGUCAGAUUGAAAUAACGUCACCAUAAGGAAAAAAUGGCAUCUUAAAGAGACUUUCUCACCACCCAAAUAGGCAAGCUCUACAAAAGAAUUGUUAAGCUAACUAUCCCCACAGCACAACUUCUAGAACACUAAAUCUACCAAGUAAAUUCAGUAAAAUUUGAGUAAAUCCAACCCAGCUCAAUUGAAAAUGUAGUAGUAUCAUUUAUUGAAACGGACUAAUUAGAAAAAAAAAUGUCACAUAAAUAAGGGGCAAGUUCACAUAUAGCCAUUCUAGGGUAUGCCAUUUAGAAAUUAGCCAGUACUUAUUUUGUUCUGAAAUUUUAAACUAAAACUCUUUAAGUUCAAGAACAUUUUAGUCCAAAAAAAUUAAAUUGAAAAAAUUAAAAUUCAAGACGUAUUGGCCAAUUUCUAAAUAACAGCUCGUCUCUGGUGUGUGUGUGUGUAUAUAUAUAUAUAAUAAAUAGAAAAGGAGGGAGUAUGUAUCACUUACCAAUGGAGCAAACAAAGAAUCAGUCCUUGAAAAUGACCGGAUCUGCCAAUUCCAUCAAAGGGUUCAAACAAUCAGCUGAAAAUUUCCUCGCAAACAUGUAAGAAUACGUCGAAUUCGACACCCUAAGAUCAUAAAUCAGCUGUGCAGAAACCUCAGGAGGAUAAUAAGUAUGUGGAUGACCAUCAACUGAAUCUGUCCAAUUCACAUUUGUCAAUGUAUACUUAGUACACCCCUUUGGAUCUUCCAUUGAUAACAAAGUAGGAAAAUAAUGUUCCUCAGGAUAACAAGACUCAACAUUAAUACACUUUCUCUUAAAUUUCCUCCAUAAUUUCCUAUCCUUAAUCACCAUUAAAGAAUGUUUCCUUGUUAAUACAAAAAACUGUGACCCAACUUUAAACUCCUCAAAUUUCACCUCAGGUUCCAUUACAUUCUCCCCUCUCGCAUUAUACCUAUCCAAUAACGAAUCAGACUCAUCUAAAAUCUCAAUAUAGCUCGGAAACUCCAUUUUCCUUGACAGUUUUUGUGUAUUAAGUAAAAAUUUGUAGAAAUAACUAAACGAGUGUAAAGGGAUACAAUGUUGUGAAAGAAGAACAAAGUACGUGUUCGACGGAUCAUCAAGAAGCGAGUGAGCGAGUAGCCUUCGUUCUGCAGAUAUAAGUGUAGGAGAACUACGUUGAGUUCUUUUAGCAGGAAUUAACCGAUCUUUAAAAACACCCAAUAAAGGUGAGAUUUUAACAAAAGGGUCAGAAUGUAUGUAAAUGUUAUAUAGAUGUGGAUCUACAGGGUUAAUACUGUCAUUAAAGAAUUUUUCCCAUAAAGGAGCAAACUUUAUGUCCGAAUUUGUUAAAAACAGGAAAGCAAUUUUGGGUGGGCGAACGGUAGUAGAUCCGAGCCGGAGUUUGUGUGAAGGUUGUUUAGGAAAAGUUGUUUCAGCGGCAAUUGCUUUGUGAAAAAGUGAAAGAUCGUCGAGUUCAUCGGGUACUGAGAUUGAGAUUUGACGAGGGGGAAGGAUUCUUGGUGCUAAUAAAAAGAGAAUUGGGACUGAUAUUAGGAGAGUAAGUGAAGGGAUGAGUAUAGAUAAUCUGAACAUAUUUUCAAGAAAAUAGGCUAGUUUUUCAAGAAAAUGUGUGUGUUUUAGACCAAAAUGGACAUUAAUGUAAGAAUCUUGGAUUUUUAGUAAUGUGGUUUGGGGGAAAUUAGGGUUGAGAGUGGAAGAGGGAGAUUUGGGGUAAGGGAAGAAAUGGUGAAAGUGGCUGAAAUAGAGUGGAGGUUUGGUGUAGGGUGGGUGGGGUAACGGAGAAGACGGGGGAGAUUGACGGCGUUAAGAGGUGUAAAUGAGUGGAAACUGACAAAUAGGGACUGUUCAAGGAAAUUGCAGGUGUGUAGGGACUCGUGUAGAUGAUAGAAUGGUGUACCUUUGGGGUACUAUUGGUUUACUUUAUUGCCUUUUUAUUUUUUUUUUAUUACAAGAAAAAAUAAUUUCUCUAUUUUGAUCCGUGAUUGUACGGAGUUCAAAAUGUUUUUGUUUUUCUUUUUCUUUACGAACUCAAUGACUUGAAUUUGCGUCAAAAUUUCACGCUCCUUAUAAAGGAGAAUUUAAUUUUAGAUGGUAACGGUGUAUACAAAUAUUUAGGUGCUGUUUGUUCUGUAGAACGGAAAAAAAUAAUUUUCAUAUAAAAGUUUGUGUUAUUAAUAAAUUGAUUGAUUUUUACAUUUUACUGUAUGACAACAUUAUCAUCAGGGGCGAAUUUACCUUUACACCAAGCGGUGUCACGCAGCACCCGUCGAAAAAUUUUACUAAAUAAAUAUAUAUAAUUAAAAUAUAAAAAUAACAAUUGUAUAAAUAUAGUACAGUGACACUCCUUGGCACAAAAACCUGACGUUCAUUUUCCUACGGAAAAUCAAGGUUCGAGUAUUCCUAGCUUCAUUUCCUUGUUUUCGAAGUUUUUUGCCUGCCUUCUAUAAAACAAAAUAACAAAAUUUAGUAUUAUUUCUAAUCAAGUUAUUUUGAAUACAUUUCAAAAAAUGAAAGCUCGUCAUAAAGAAUUCAAUGAUAUACUUGAGUUGUGUUUUAUUAAUAUGAUUUGAAUUUUGCUACUUUUUAAUAUGAUAUUGUUAUAAUAAUUUAUUUAUUUGUUCACUUCUUAAAAUAGUGACACCACUUAUGAAAAUUUUUGCGUACGCCACUGAUUAUCAUAACAGCCCGCAAGAGUUGGUUGAGUAAAUGAUUUUCUAUAGGGGAGACCUAUGAUCGAUUCCCCUCACUAGCAACCUCUUAAGUUAGAGCUCGCCGCACCAAGCUAGUCUAGUAUGAUUUGCAACUUUACAUCUCCUGUGUUGGUCGCAAGUUAUUGUACUUUUCCCAAAAAAACAUUAGCAUAACAAAUAUGUGAGGAUAUAUGCAUUAUAUUUUAACUCCUAAAUUAGGCCGAAGCCGCAAAACUCCUAAUUAAUACAAGAAUUCUAAAUGAGGCAAAACUCCUAAUGUAUGCAAGAAUUUUGAAACUAAAUAAAACUCUUAAUUUAGAAACCACCCCCCAAAAUAGUAAAGUUUGACCAAAAAAAUUAACUAAAACAGAAGAACUAAAGUAGCAAAAACAACAAAUAGGGCUUGGCUCAUUUUCACCCCAUUUUCUCCAUAAGAGCUGGUCUUGGAGCGAGUUUGGAGCUCCUUCUUCGUCAUCAAUGCCAAGGUAAGUGAUUCCCACUUAUUAUAAGGUUAAUACAUGGUUUGUAUAAGGAUUUAAACAUAGAAUUUAGUAUAAAUUGUGGGAUUUUUGGUAGAAGACCUAAAAUUUGGUUUGACAAAGAUCAAAAUUUUGCCCUAGUUACCGACCACCAAGGGGAAUAAAGAUUUUUAUUAUAAUGUGACCAAACCCACAUGGCUACCUAUGUAUCCCCUCUUAAACGGGAAUCAUGUCAAGCGUAGUUCUUGUACAUCAAGAAGUAAGUGCAAAUACAAUCUCAAACUUAAUAAACAUAAUGGAAUCUCACAUGUGGGUGUAGGGAGGGUAGUGUGUAUGCAGACCUUACCCCUACUCCGGAGGAGUAGAGAGGCUAUUUUCGAUAGACCCUUAGCUCACAACGAUAGUAAAAGAUAGUGGAGCAGUAACAUCAAAUGAAGUCAGAAAGAUAACAUCAACAAUGUGAUAACCAGAAAAUAGAAAGAAAAGUAAUAACAAUAAGCAGUAACAAUGGUACAAUACUAUAAACACAAUGAAAGUAAUAAGGACACAACAAGAGCCACUAGCAUCCUAAGACACAACACUAUCAAACUAGCCUCCUACAACCUAACCUACAACCCUAACGAAGUAAUAUGGACACAACAGGAGCUACUAGCAGCCUAAGACACAACACUAUCAGACUAGCCUCCUACCUCCUAAUCUACAACUUUAAUGCUCGACCUACACUGCUUCCUAUCAAGGGUUAUGUCCUCGAAAAUUCAAAGCUGCACCAUGUCCUACCUGAUCACCUCUCCCCAAUACUUCUUAGGCCGUCCUCUACCUCUACUCAUACCCGUCAAGGCCAACCAUUCACACCUUAUCGGGGCAUCCAUAUUUUUCCUCCGCACGUGCCCGGACCAUCUAAGCCUAGCUUCCCGCAUCUUGUCUUCCUUGGAAGCCACGCCCACCUUCGCCCGGAUAUCUUUAUUCCUAAUCCUAUCCAGCCUAGUGUGUCCGCACAUCCAUCUCAGCAUCCUCAUUUAUGUCACUUUCAUCUUCUGGAUAUGAGAAUUCUUGACUGGCCAAAAGGUGUAGGAUAUAUGAGAAUAUGUAUAGAGACGAACCUAUGUACAGAAAAGAGGUAUCACCGAACCCCAUUAACCUUGAUAAAAUUCUAAAUAUACAUGUGCAUGUAUGUUGAAAAUAUUUAUAUAUUUUGUCUGAAACUCUUACGAUUAAAAGUCUGAUGGGACACAGGUUGAGUAGUCUACUCAUGCGCCCCCACCAUCUUCAAAUCCUGGGUUCGUCUCUAGGUAUAUAUAUGAUAUGAUCCUCCACCCUUAAUCAGAUGUCCUUGACUCUCAUAUCCAAGUUUAGAAUAUAAAGAAUUUCUUGAUAUGAAACGUUUUAAUCCCACAGUAGGACUACACUAGAUCUAUACGGAUUAGUCGAACUAAUUGGUAAGUAUCAAAUAUUAAAUGAUUAAAUAAAAAAAUAUAUAGUAAACUUUUAUCAAACAAAGAGAACAAAUAUUGAUUCGGGUUCGGGUAGCUAAAAGUGCAAGCAUCGUUUUAGAGGAAAAGAUGGGCAUGGCUUCCACAAUGAAAGUUCGCAGUGUUUUCGUGUUUCUUAACUUGAGAUAAAAGUUAAAGCUUUCAAUUAAUUGAAAAUGAUUUUUUUUCUCUAAUGAUGCUCUAAGAUUAGUCGCGUAAGAUCUAAUAGUAUGGUUUAAUGGAUACUUUAUAGAGUAGACUAUUUAUCAAAUAUUAUAAAGUAUGGAUCAGUGCAUUAAAUGUGUUACAAUCAUUUUAAUAGGAGUAAAGAAAUCCAUCCUCAUGUUUUCCAUAGUACAUCGAUAAAGACAAAAUUAAUUCAGUUUGGUCCUACACGUCUGCAUAAUGCAUAUAGUACAAAGGCCAUCUCAUCUAAGUUGCUGAAAUUAUUGCUCAAUUAUAAUUACCACAAAUUAAUAAGCUCCUCAGCAGGUACAGCACGUCAAUCUAAUACUAAUGUGGAAACUGAGAAUCUAUAGGACCCAAUAUCUAAUUAAAAAAAUAUUAUAUAUUUUCAAUGUCAACUAGAAGACAACAAUAGAAAUUUCUAAUCUGUAUGAUGUACUCCCUUCAGUUAAUUUUUGCUUACAAUAAGUAAAUAAACUUUUUGUCUACUCUAGAUUUGUUAAUUUCUUUGUAUUUUAUAUAGUCAAGAUAUUUAAUAUUGAAAUGGAAUUGGUUCAAAUAGAGUUGAAUAGACGCGGAAAAUUUAUAUAACCAAUCGAUCUCAAAUAGUUAGAAAUUAAAGUAUAGUUAAUUGAGUAUUUGCAUCUAAAUAUUUACGUAAACCUAGAUUUAUCUCGAAAAAAAUAAUGCAAAACUAGAUUAUUAUUUUCUAAUUCUUCUAAAAAGUUAUAAUUCUACAAAUUAAACAAGAACGAGGUCGCCAUAGAUUAUGGUGCAUGUCGGUUUGUCCUUAUGUGAUGGGAGUAUGUGACUAUCCCUUACUCUGAAAUUAUGCCAUAUCUCCCAAAACUGUAAUAUCCAAGACCCAAACUUAAAAGUAAAAUAUUUUACAAUACAAAUUUAAUAGUGUUGGAUAGGAUUCAUUUACCAUUAAUCAGAGAUUUUGGAUAGAAAAUACUUCUUUGUUGGAUGGAUUUUAUGUUGCGCGAAUUCAAAUAAAUUAUAAUCCAAAAAUAAUACUUAAAUACCAAAUAAGAAAAAUAAAAUAAAAAAUAAUGAGCAUGACAACCUCGUGAACUAAAGAUACCAAUACGCAAUAUCACGUAACCUCCUAGAUGUGCUACGUUUGUUGUGUUUUCUUGGAAAAAGCAUAGACGCAACCCAAUACCACAUGUGCCUACGUACAUGUAUCUAAGACGAAACAUAUCGAAAUAUUAUUUUAAAAAUUGUAAAGUUCUUCCAGAGCUGUCUAUUAAAUAUUUUUUGAGAACAUAAAUAAUUAAGUAAUACUCAACUUAUACCACACAUGCAACAACAUUAGAUUGGAAACGAAAUUCUAUAAAUUAUUGUAUUUCGUUUACGUAUUGUUAUAUAGUAAAUCUAAUAAAAUACUAUCUUCCGAUCUUCGGUAUGGUUUUUGCACAACCAUAAAAGUGUAAGAGGACUAUAUCAGAAACAAUAAGCAAAGAAAUUGCUGUAUCAUGAAAAUCUAAUACGUGUGGUUUUAAACCAAACUCCUGAUGUGCAUGGUACAACAAAAUAUAUGUAUAGUGGCUGCAAAAUUAGAUAGGAUUUACAAGUUGAGAAUGUUUGGUUGAUGAUUUACAAGUUAUGGCGGAAAGAAAAGAAGAAAACUCUAGAUAGGGUGAUGAGAGAGAGGAGAGAGAAAUGAGUCGGUCAAUAAUCAAAACCAGACUUCACCAAAAAAGGGUCAAAUAUACCUUUGUACUUUCGAAAAAUAUUUAAAUAUACCCUUCGUUAUACUAUGAGUCAAAAUAUACCCCUGUCACUAUAUUUUGAGUUCAAAUAUACUUUAAACGGAGGGACACAUGUCAUCGUCCUGUUAGCCAAUUUUAAAUAUCUCCUAGUUAAUUAAAAAAACCCAUAUUUUAAAAAUAUUUUUCACUUUUUUCAAUUUUUUUAAAGCAAUAUUUUUGUAAAAUAUUUUUCAGUUUUUACAAAAAAAUUAUUUUAGAAGAUAUUUUGCUUUACAAAAAAAUAUUUUAAAAAUAUAUUGCUUUCAAUUUUAAAAUAUAUUUUGAUUUAGAAGAUAUUGCAAAUAUAUUUUUCUUUAGAAGAUAUUUUGCUUUAAGUUUUUCAGUUUUUUUAAAGCAAUUUUUUUGUAAAANNNNNNNNNNNNNNNNNNNNNNNNNNNNNNNNNNNNNNNNNNNNNNNNNNNNNNNNNNNNNNNNNNNNNNNNNNNNNNNNNNNNNNNNNNNNNNNNNNNNNNNNNNNNNNNNNNNNNNNNNNNNNNNNNNNNNNNNNNNNNNNNNNNNNNNNNNNNNNNNNNNNNNNNNNNNNNNNNNNNNNNNNNNNNNNNNNNNNNNNNNNNNNNNNNNNNNNNNNNNNNNNNNNNNNNNNNNNNNNNNNNNNNNNNNNNNNNNNNNNNNUUUUUUAAAGCUAAUUUUUUUGUAAAAUAUUUUUUAAUUUUACAAAAAAAUUGCUUUAGAAGAUAUUUUGCUUCACAAAAAAAAUAUUUAAAAAUAUGUUGCUUUCAGUUUUAAAAUAUAUUUGCUUUAGAAGAUAUUGCAAAUAUAUUAUGCUUUCAGUUUUAAAAAUAUUUUUCAGUUUUUGCUUUUACAAAAAAAUUGCUUUAAAAGAAACUGAAAAUACUGAAAAAUAUUUUUAAAAUAUGGGUCUUUUUAAUUAAUUAAGAGAUAUUUAGAAUUGGCCAACAAGACGAUGACACGUGUCCCUCCGUUUAAAUGAGGGGUAUAUUUGAACCCAAAGUAUAGUGACGAGGGUAUAUUUGGACUCAUAGUAUAACGAAGCGUAUAUUUAAACCUUUUUCGAAAGUACAGAGGUAUAUUUGGCCCUUUACUCUUUUAUUUAUCUAUAUGUUUAUUUACAUAAUAUGUGUAUAUAUAUUUACACCAAUAAAAUGUGCAAAGAAAGGAAAGAAAAACUAAAAUACAAGUGGGAUGAGUAUCCUUUAUUAUUACUGGGUUGGGCCCUUUCCUUUAACUGAAGUGGUUGUGUCCAUAUCUAGGUUAACACCCUCUCCCCUCCCCCCCCCCCCCCCGAGGGUGAAAACACACCAAGCUUGCCAAGAAUGUUGUGAUGAAGCUGCCCACAUAGAGCCUUGGUCAUAAUAUCAGCUAGUUGGUUAGCACUGGAAACAAAAUGCAAAGAGAUAAGCCCAUAAUUCAAACACUCACGAACAUAAUGGCAAUCAAUCUCAAUGUGCUUUGUACGCUCAUGAAAAACUGAAUUUUUGGCAAUGUGAAGGGUAGCCUGGCUAUCACAAUGGACUGGGACAGGAGUGCAAAUAGGAAGACUAAGAUCCCCAAGUAGUCUGACCAGCCAUGAGAUUUCAGCAGUUACUUUCCUGAGUGCCAUGUAUUCAGCUUCAGCGGAAGACAAAGAAAUGGUAUGUAGUUUCUUACUUUUCCAAGAGAUUGGGCUCCCACCAAGUGUCAUAUAAAACCCAGUAAUAGAUUUGUGAGAAAUAUGCCACAAGAGACAAGUCAGAAGAGUUGGAGAGAAGCACACCCUGAGAAGGAUCAGCCAACAAAUAUCUGAGAACAUGCAGGCCAGCCAUCAUGUGAGGAACAUGAGGUUUCUGAAGAAACUGGCUCAAAUGUUGAACAGAAAAGGAGAUAUCUGGUCUAGUCUGCUGCAGGAAAUUGAGCUUGCCAAUGAGCCUCAUGUACAGACUAGGAUCAGGGAGAGGGUCACCCAUGUCUAAGGUCAACUUAACAGAAGGGUCCAAAGGAGUCACAACAGAAGAAAAAUAAUUGCAGUUGAACUCAGCAAGAAGAUCAGUAGUAAAUUUAUGUUGACUCGUGAUAUAACCCUGAGGAGUCUUGGAGAUUUCCAUACCUAAGAAAUAAUGGACUAAUCCCAAAUCUUUGAUCUUAAACUGAUCAUCCAAAAAGGACUUUAGGAAUUUCAUUUCAGUGAGAUCAUCUCCAGCCAAUAAGAUAUCAUCAAUAUAGACAACCAAUACUCCCAAAGAGCCAGAGGAGGAUUUGGUGAAGAGAGAAUAAUCAUUGAGACUGGAAAUGUAGCCCCUUGAGAGCAAAGCCUCAGACAGUUUUGAAAAUUACUGUCUGGAUGCUUGCCUAAGGCCAUAGAGAGAUUUCUUGAGCUUACAGACCAGAGGAGCUGAGGAAGAAGCAUAUGAGACAUCAAGACCAGGUGGAAUUUUCAUAUAGACUUCCUCAUGGAGAUCACCAUGGAGGAAGGCAUUAUUAACAUCCAACUGGUACACAGUCCAAUCUCUCUUGAUGGCAAGGAUUAAAAGACAUUUGAUGGUGGUGAGCUUGAUAACAGGGGAGAAGAUUUCAGUAAAAUCUAUGCCUUCCCUCUGAGUAUCAUCUCUAAUAACCAACAUUGCUUGUAUCUUUCAAUAGACUCAUCUUCCCUCUGCUUAAUCUUAUAAACCUAUUUGCAAGGAAUUGCCUUCUUAUUUUAGGGAAGAGGGACAAUGUCCCAAGUCUGAUUAGCCUCAAGAGCAUGAAAUUCUUUUAGUAUGGCCUCUUGCCAGGCAGGAUGACCUACAGCCUGCUGAUAGAACUGAGGUUCAUGCAUGUGAGCUUCAUUAGAGGAAAGCUUAGAUUGUGUAGAGUUAAUGUUGGAGAUGAUAGAUGAAUAGAUAUAAUCCUUAAGGUAAGAAGGUUGAAUGACAGUCCUAGUGGACUUUCUUAAGGGCGGAGGAUCAGAAGUAGUGGAGGUGGAAUUAGGAGAGGUAGAAAUAGAAACAUGAGAAACAAUAGGAGGUGAAGAUGAAGGGAUAAGAGGGAGAAGUGGGGAAAAGUUCAGAAUGACUAGUAGAUGGAGUAUCCACUGGAGGAGAAGCUGGGAUAUCCACAAAAGUAGGAGGUAGGACAUUGAAAUGAGAAGAAGUAGAAGAUCAAUAGGGAAAAUUAUGUUCAUGAAAUACCACAUCUCUAGAGUGGAAAACAGAGGAGUUAGACAAAUUGAGCAAUUUGUAACCUUUCUUGCCACAUGGAUAUCCUAAGAAUAUACAUGCAAUAGCUCUAGAUUGGAACUUAUCUCUGCCUACCUUGGGGUAAGUAUCAAAGCAGAGACAACUAAAUGAUCUUAAAUAGUCAUAGGAAGGUAGAUGACCAUGAAACAUUUCAUAAGGGGAAAGCUUAAGAAGAAAGGGUGAAGGCAUUCUAUUAAUAAGGUAUGUAGCAGUGAGGACACAUUCUCCCCAAUAUUUCAGUGGUAGUUUAGAUUGAAACGGUAGGGCUCUUGAGACUUCUAAAAGAUAUUUGUAUUUUCUCUCCACAACACCAUUUUGUUGUGGAGUAUAAGGGAUGGAAGUUUGAUGUAAAAUGCCCUGGGAAGCAAAGAAACUGAUGGCUUCAGAACUACUUCCAAGUUCAAAAGCAUUAUCUGAUCUAAAUGUGUGUAUUGAGGAAUUGAAGUGAACUUUCACCAUAUAAGUGAAAGCUUUAAGAAUGGACAAAGUAUUACUCUUGGAGGAAAGAAGAUGGGUCCAAGUGACUCUAGUAAAAUCAUCAACUAAAGUGAGAAAAUACCUAAAGCCAUUAUAAGUUUUAGUGUUGUAAGGGCCCCAAAUGUCAAUGUGAACUAGUUGAAAAGGUGUGGAAGAAUGAAUAGUACUAUCAUGAAAAGGGAGUCUUUGUUGUCUAGCCAUUGAACAAAUUGAACAUAUAAAAGGUUGUUUAGUGGAUACCUUGUUAGACAGAAAGGAAAUAGAUUGCAUCUUAUGAAAAGGCAUGUGACCUAAUCUCUAAUGCCAAAGGAGAUCCAUCUUAUUAACAAGUGAAGUUUGAUUACAACUAGGUGGAACAUUAACAUGUAAAGGUGCAAGAACAGACUUAUUACAUGGAAUUGAACCUACAUAAAAAACGAACUCACUACAAGUUGCAUCAACAAAAGAUGAUAGAGUAGAACUUGUGCUGGGGAACAUAUCUCCAUCUGGAUGAAGAUAAUAGAGCCUGCCAGCAGCCUUAUCAAUUACCAGUGGCCUCUUCAGAGAAGGGCCAUGUAGAGAACAAUGGAAUUUGGUAAGAACUGCUAUACAAUUCAGCUAAGUAAUAAGUUGAUGAAUAGAAAUUAAAUUGAAAUAGAAAGAUGGUACUAGUAGGACAUUAAGUAAAGUUAUAUCAUGUCUGAGAUGUAAGGAGCCAGUUGAUAUAACCUUAACUUUGUAUCCAUUAGGUAAGGUGACAAUAAAUAGUUUAGUUAAAGGCACAACAUUGUGAAGCAAAUAUUUGUGUGGAGUCAUGUGGUUAGUGGCCCCGGAAUCCAAGAUCUAAGGGUUUGGAUUUGACUGUGAAGAAGUACACACAUGAAGGUCUACAGAUUCUAUAGCAUAGGCAGUGAACAAACCUGCAAAGUGAGCAAAAAUAGAAUCCUCAUCUGGGUGAAUAGGUGGAGCAGAACCAGGAGAGACCUGAACUUGUUGAAAUAAAGUGAGAAGAUGUUGAUAUUGCUCAUUUGUAAACCUAUGAACUGGAGCAGAACUACAAGGAAGCUGACUGAACCCAGGAGAUGGUUGAGGAUAGGAAAUAUCACCUUGGACACAUGAAGUAAACUUCUUAUUCUUGGUAAAUUUGAAGUCAGGGGGAAAACCAUGAAGCCUGUAGCAUUUUUUCACUGUGUGUCCAGGUUUCUUACAGUAUUUACAAGAUAAUGUACACAUAUUCUUCUUGGAUUCAAAAUUGACCUUCUGAGUAAAGCUUCUAUUAUUAUUGUACUAAGCAGGGGUGACAGAGAAAGAAGCAGAAUCCCAAGAAAAAUUAGAAACAUUGGAAAGGGACUUUUUUUGACUCCCAUCCUAUUGAAUGGGGGAGUAAGCCUUGCUUAUAGGAGGAAGAGGGUCAUCAUCAUGAUGGCACUCUUAACAGUAAAGUAGGAUUCAUUCAACCCAUUCAAGAACUAGAACAAUUGCGGGUCCUCUAUAAACUUUGAAAGUGGUCUACAGGAGCAUACUGGACCAACAUAAGAAGAGUUUAAUUCAUCCCAUAAGCUCCUAAGCUUAGUGAAGUAGGUAGCAAUGUUUGAUGAACCCUGAGUGGUUGUAGUAAUUUUCCUUUGGAUUUGAAGGUACUUUGACCCAUUUGACUGACCAAAUCUCUCAUUAAUAUCUUUCCAGACUUCCCUUGCAGUCUUAAGACACAUGACACUGAUGGUAAUUUCUCUGGACACAGAAUUAGUUAUCCAUGCUUUCAUCAUGUUAUUAUACCUUUCUCAGUAUGAGUAAUAAGGAGAAUCUGGUAUUGGUUGAGGAACCCUACCAUCUAAGAGCCCCAACUUGUUCUUUGCAGACAAGGAGGUAAGCAUAUUGCUUCUCCAUAUAACAAAAUCACAACCAUUAAAAGACAUAGACACCAGCUUGCCAGGACUGUCAGACGGAUGCACAUACAAAGGAUGGGAUGGAUCUAUCGUGAAGGGAGUAAAUCCCUUAGAGGUCGUACUACUAGGUGAUCCUACGUUUUCCAUAAUACUUCCAAUACAAUGAAGUUCAAGCUCAGUAACUUCAGAUAAAACAAUUAUCAACUGAAUUAACACAAUUUCUACACAAGUAUACUCCAUGCAACAUCGGAUUUAUAUGAUUUUGGAGUUGAACAGGAAGGAUAUUACCAGCCUUCUUCUCAAACUUGAAGAAGAAAAAUCUUCUCUGAAUAUGAAACCCUAGAAAAUCGAAUUUGAAGAAAUUGCUAAGGAAAACCUCGGAAAACCAAACCUCCUAGUAGGACUAGACGAUUGAAGAGGAAAGACGAAGAAAUCUCCAAAUUUUGAUGGCAAAAUCGUCGAAUAGCAGUUGUCUCCGAUCAACCAGAGACGGAAACGAAACCGUUCAAAACUCUGGGCGAGGAUAACAUUGGACUGAAGCUCAUGACGAGAGGAAUCAUAAUUCUUGCUCUGAUACCAUGUUAGGUUGAUGAUUUACAAGUUAUGGCGGAAAAAAAAGAAGAAAACCCUAGAUAGGGUGAUGAGAGAGAAGAGAGAAAUGAGUCGGUCAAUAACCAAGAUCAGACUUCACCAUUUUAUUUAUCUAUAUGUUUAUUUACAUAAUAUGUGUGUAUAUAUAUAUAUAUAUUUACACCAAUAAAAUGUGCAAAGAAAAAUUAAAAUACAAGUGGGUCGGAUAUCCUCUAUUAUUAGUGGGUUGGGCCCUUUCCUUUAACUGAAGUGGCUGAGUCCAUAUCUGGAUUAACAGAGCAAUCCUUCAAUACACACGAUUUUCAACUUAAGAUGAGACGAUUAGUGUGAAGAAUGAGAGUUUGCGUUUUCUGUGUAAGUUCAUGCCAAGACGAGUUAGGGAAAAAGUUUUUGUACAGAAAUAAUAGAUUUACGCUUAACAGAGGCUAGUGUAAACUGUAAAAGCCAAGGAAGUUGUAACAAAAGUGAUUCAAAGAUUUGAAAACAAUAGAAUUAAGGAUUGAUUGAUUGUAGUGCAUUAAUUGGAUAAAUUUCAUUACUACACAAGAUGUGCUAUUUCUACAAGGAGAAGUCGGUCGUUGAGAGGCUAAAUCCACUAUCAAGUAGGUCCAAGCAUCGAAGACAGGACACGAUCUAUCAAAAUUGUGCGAUGUGCAACUAGGAUUUUAAUGUCACGGGUGUACUUUUGCCUUCAAUGAAAAUUUGCUUUGUAUAUAGAGUGACACUGCUAAUAUAUCGUUAUUUUAUAAAGAUAUAUACAUAUAUACUUGGAUAUUUUGCCAAACUUUUCAGGUGCCGAUGUCCCCUCUCUUUACGACAUAAGUCCAUCUCUGAUCCCGCUAGCCCAUUAGACUUUCCAUAAUGAUUUCUAAUAGGCCUAACACGAGGCGAAGUGCACAAACAACCAUUCUUAGGGCUGCUAUUUAGAGAUUAACCAGUACCUAUUUUGUUCCAAAAAAUCAAACUGAAAAACUAGAAUUCAGGAUGCCUAAUUUCUAAAUAGCAGUCCUUUAGAGUGGCUACCCAGUGUCAUUUCUACCCUACAACAUGGCAACAAGUUAUCUGUUUUGCCGGAUUGAGGCCCAAUUACAUGUCCAACCCGACAUGGGACCCAUAUUUGGUGCUAGCACUUUACCAUCCUUAAACAAUUUUUUGAGAAAAGAGGUUGAAAAUUCCGCUCCCUUGAAAAAUUUCCUUCUGUUGAUUUCUUUACAUUUCUUGAUGCUUUUACUUGGUUGAAUCUUGGUUGUAAAUUGUCUUUGAUCAAAGUAACUUUUUGCCUACAUUUUUGGUUGCUGAAUUAUCCGACUGGCCCAUUAAAUUCUUAGUAAUUAAUUGGAUUUUGUUGAUAAAUCCAACGAUUUGACUACCUUCGGCGAAUUGCGGGUCAAUUGCGCCUUAGAACACAUGGACUCAUAAUCAAGGUAGAAUAAUUUACAAUUAAGGGGCACAAUCUGUUCUACCAUCUUAAUAAUGAACGAAUAUCCUGCACACUUGGACAAAGAAAUUGUACUUACAAGAGGUUGGCAAUCAAACUCACCAAAUUCCCCCGGCUCAGCUCAAGAAAAGUUGUCACAGAAAGCAAAUUCAACCUUUUUACAGUGGGAGGAAGAGGGUAGAGAAAACAACACAUACAAGUGACCUCUUUACUAGAACCUCAACGAAUCUGCAAUCGCAAGUAAAUUCCACUAUUACGUAAAUUACAACAAUAAUUAUGACAAGAAUUAAAUAAAUACCAAGACAUUAUUCAGGAGAUAGCAAGCCUGUCUCUUUAACUAUGCCAAGGACACAUCCCUAGAAGAACAUUCCAUCUCCUUUAAGAAGGCGCCCUGUAUUUACAAUGCAAGGGCAACACUUGGAUCCCAGAUCACGAUCUUCAACGAGUAUCUAAAACUAAUCAGCACCCUGUGAAACAGAUUCUGUAGAUUUAGUAUCAGUUCCAUUUAAUUUGGAUUUCUCCUUCAAAGGCUUCUGUGCACUAGAUGUCCUUUUAAAACUUCUGCUGGGUUGUUUAGUAGUCUGAGGUGCAAGACCUGGCAAAACAGAUAUCAUGGAAUUAGAGUGUAUAAGGCACUAAUCGCGGGAAAACUUGACCACACUAGAGUGGCUACUAAAUGUCCAUUGCCACUGCACUAAGAUAUUUGCCCGAAAAGAUGUGUAGAAUAAAUAUCUUCUCAAGCGCAAUCUUAAUGUCCUCUUCGAUUAUAGAAGGCCUAAUAGAAGACAAUAAACAAGUUUCCCUCAGCAUAGCACUCCAAAAUUGGUUACCUGUGCAAGGAAUUUGCAACGAACUAUACAAAUAUUUGGGGGGGGGGGGCAUCCGAGAAGAGAAAGAGGAGGCACUAGAAACAAGUUACUAAGCUACUUUUGCUUAUUGACAGUGAGCAACUUCAAACAAUUGAAAUGAGGAGAAUAAGAUACGUGCAGAGGGAAUAAAACACACAGAUAUUGACUGAGGAUAUUUAUGGAGAAGCGAGUAAUGAAUUAACAAUAUUUUGCCUUUAUACAAAGCCAGAAGAAGCCUAUAUGAAGCCUCAGGAGAGAAGAAAGUGGAUGGAACAAAGAGGAUCUAUAUUGCUUCACAUUUCUAGUGUGUAACACAAGGCAAUAUCAGUUAAAAGUAAAUCGCAAAGAAGAGAAGGAAAGAGGACUUACCGCUACUAGGCAGAGACAAUCUCUGCUUUCCUUGUUUAUCAGAAGGAGCGGAUCUCUCCUUAGGAUUGCUAUGUGAUCUAGAACCAAGGGCGGGCCUUGAACUAGCUUCCUCAACUAAAUCUUCAGGAUUUGGUUUAGACUUUGGUUUGUUAACUAAUGCUGCUGGCGUUUCUUGUGUGCUUGCUGACACAUUUGGGGAAGAGCUGCUGCAGCCAUCAGAGAGAGAUGCUGCUGUUUUCUCAAUUGAUUUCGAGUUACUGCUUGAAUGAGAUGGACCCGCUCUCUCAUUUGCAAGAUUUGCAGUUGCUGGUUUCUUCCCAGCAGAUUUUACCUGGUUCUUUACGCCAUUCUUGGGAUCAGCUGAUCCAUUUUCAGUAGGCAUGACUCCAUCUCUGACAUUAAUGUCUAGAAAGCGAUUUUCCCACGGGCGUACCGCCAUCCAUCUCUCUAACCAGUUCCAACCCCAGUUGCUUUUAUCUGGUUCAAACCCAGAAGGUGUAGCCUGCUGCCUCGAUCCUGCUUGCCACUGCAGCAUAAAAUAGAUUCAAUAAGAAAAAGAAAAGGAGCCUUGAAAUGAAAGCAUUGGAACCUUGCAUAACUAGAUCAUGACCAUUAUCAUAAAAUGACGUCGGGAGUUAGGAGGUCUCUAGUAUUGGCAGCUAUUUUUUGUUCUUCUAGAGUUGUUCCUGAAUUCUAACUAGAGGUACUAUGUGUCCAUAAAAGUACGCAUAGCAUAUAACAAGGGAAACGAAGAAGAGAAUGGACCCAAAUAGCAUAUAGCAAGUGAAAUGAAGAGGAGAAAAUACCCAGCAGUUAAGCUUUAUGAGCUACAAUAUAAGCUGGUUGCCAAGUAUUUGCUCUACUAGUGCAGCUGAUACAAAUGCUAUCAUUAAUUUAGAUUCAGAUACAUUUUAGCCGAGAAAGCAGGCUGACAAAGAUGCACCAGCAUUGAGGAAAAUCAUAGCCGUUACGCUAGUAUUAAAACCAUUAUUAGUGAUGCAUAUCCGACCUAUUAGUUACAAACACCUCUUGAUCAUGCUCUUGAAUGUAGAAGCAGUUAUCACUGGAUUUCAUAGAAGAAAAUCAAAAGGCUACCACUAAACACCUAAAUAGGAAGAAAUGCAUAAAAACACAUGGUUAUUCCUUAUUUUGUUAUGAUUUUUAAUUGUUGGAUAUUCCCAUCUAUAAGCAAAUUUCAAGACCUUUCCAAAAGCAUUGACGAGUUUUAACUAGUUCCAAUGUCUAUCACUACUUGGACCACACUACAGGUUCCAUUUGGUUGAGCGUAAAAAGUUUUUUACGCUAGGAACAAUUGCCGGGAAAAACUGUGUAGAAGAUCAACUUUCUUAUAUUUAUCCUGUGUUUAAUUGAACAGAUUUCUUCAAACUGAAGCGAACAUGUGUACCAAUCACAAUACAAUGUGAAGGUGCUACAACUUUAUGGUUGAUUUUUUUUUUAUAAGACAAGUAAAUAUUAUUAAAGCAAGUACCAAGAUGGUACUGCAAAAAAACAAAUUUACAACAGUACAGAAAUCACCAUAUAGCAAUUAAGUACAAUCUUCUCAAUGAAUCUAAAAAGUUUCGAACAUCAGAAAAGUGUUCUACUGUCCUCUCCUUACACCAUUGAAACAGAUUUUCUAAACAAUUAUAUUUUACAACUGCUAUCUAUUUCCUCCCUCCAUCAAAACACCUAUAUUCCUUUCCCACCAUAUACCCCAUGAGAUGCAUAAAGGAGCUGUUCUCCAAAUUUCUUUCUGUUUCCUGCAAUCUUUUGUGCUUGCCAGCUUGACAAUAACCUUUGCACAUCUCUAGGCAUCACCCAGUGCACUCCAACUAAACAUAACAUGACAGCCCAGAUCUGCCAGGCAAAACCACAGAAAAUUUAUGGUGAAAUUUAUAAAAAGGGUAAAAGGUGGCCACAAAAAUAGCUGGUAACAGGAGGGAAUACGGGCACAUUAGAAAAAAAGGGAAACUGGGAUGAGACUGGCAUUGCUAGGCCAGAGCAAGAGAUAGUAGUGAUGGGGGUUGACACUAUUAAAAUUGGCUUCUUGCCUACAUGCCAAUCAGUCUCCUUUUCCAAGAGCCAACAUGGCAUGGUAUUCGAUGCAUCAACAAUUUCAUUGCCUUCCUCUACAUCAUCGAAUUCAAUAACAAUGGUUAUUCAACUAACACUGGAUUCAGGUGGUGCUACUAGCAGUACUGGUUAGUCCCCUUGUUGGGCACUGGAGUGCAAUUUCAUUUAGUGGUUAAGACUUUCCAAAAGGGCCCCGGUUUUGUUUGGAUGUCUUCAAAACGUAGCUGGAACCUGCCCCCCGUGGGCCGUGACAACUGCUGGAAUAAAGAAAAUAAAUUUUCUUACCUGUAUUUGUUGAAAGGAAAAGGAUUGUUUAAAAUGAGUAACCAUUUUCCCCAUGACAAUUCCACACUCUUUUGAAAGACUUGCUUUGAAGGGAAGUGCUUCUUGAGGUAAACUUUUUAACCGCUUUUAUCACAUCUUUCCUACCUAUAAAACAAGCGAAAAAUGUAGGAAAGCUAACUUUCCCAUAAAACAACCAAUAGGUGCCUUAUAGAAACUAUUCAACUUCUUUAAACCCCAUGUAAUGUUUUCCCCAGAAAAGGUUUCAGCACUUUAAGACAGUAAGACGGCAAACUCCAGAAAAAUAAAACGUCACACAAGGAAAAUAUCUGCACUUGCCCUUCUGAAUUUCAAUCAACUUUUUAAACUUAAUUCCAACAGAUGAUUCCUAACCCCUAGCCAUUAGAUAUAAAAUGAGCCUUCUGCAGUGCUCCAUAGGACUUGAACAGUGACGUGCCUGCCUCUCUUAAAUUCUAUCUUUUUCACUUUUUGAACUUUCCUUCCACCUGCAAAUAUCCUAGUUUCAUGACAAAAACAUUUUCCUUGAUCACCCUUGUUCCAGCCUUUACAGAAACUAGCAUCCAAUUCAUUAAUUCUCUGUUAAAAGACAAAGAACUAGAACAGAUGAAAGCCUAAAAUCUAAGUUACCCUACAAAAACCUUCCUCAAUCUUCAAACCUUAACGAACUUGAUUUGUCCUUGGACCUACUCUACCUUAAAUUAGAGCUUAUACUUGAGCAAAGCCUUCUGCUAAUUCUCAUGCAUAAUAUUACUUUUUAACCAAGGCACCAGGGUAUUUCUGGUUGCAAUCUCUACGUAGCCAAAAUGCAAAGUUUAUCCAUUCAGUAAAUAAACAAUAAUGUGUGUGUGUAUAUAUUAAACAACCAGCUUAAUUGAUCAUGUUUACUUCUCUUUUUCUUUGACUUUUUUUCUGAAGUACAAAGGAUAAGGGGCCCGGGAAGGAAAGAGAGGGAAAGGGAGCUCUGAGUUUGAGCGGAUUGACUCUAGAACCAAUUUCAUUGGAAGCUCCAUUGUAGAAUUGGAUCCAACAAUUAUGUAAGAAAUUAUGGAAAUGAGGGAACUUGUGGAUAGUGGAUACAGGAAAUUAUUCAGAAAUAUCAUAAUAAAAGAAACAUAAGAGUUUGUCGUUAGGUACUAGACCGAAAUGGGCCAUCCAGUAAAACCUAUCAUUAAAAUAUACCUAUAAGGCCAUAAAACUAUAAGUUUACUCUUCAUAUUCCCGACCCUAAGUGUCCCCUGGCCUUGGUAAAAUUUACGAGUCAAAAUGUCAUAAGAAAGAGAUGGUUCCCCCCUCUCUAGAUUACCGAUAACAUCCAACCAUCUCCUUCCUUCAUGGAGGGCUUUCAUAGCUUGUUGCAAACUGGAAGAGGAAACUUGUGUCUUUCGGCUGGUGGUGACACCUUCAAGUAGGAAACAACCUCCCACUCCUCUAAUGUUCAAUCAAGACAUAGCAUCACAGAUUUUUUUAAUGAACCAGGUAUCAAUAUCGCAUAUCAAACUACACAGAUCAUAUUUCAAAAUAUCAAUAGCAAAGCUGACAUAGACAGCUGCCUCUCUUACAAGUUCCCACUUAUAAUCUACUCUGAAGUUUUGCCUUUAAGAUAUCAGUUCUUUGAACUGAUAGAGCAAUGAACAAACAUCGUAGAGAAGGACAAUCAGAUGCUUACCUGGUGAGCCAAAGCAUAGGCCAUUGCUCUUUCACGCUUAGCAGCUGCCUCUUGUCUCUUUAGCAACUUUUCCUGAAUUUGUUCAACAGACCCAAUGCUGUCACACCAGCCCUCCUGUUAGAAAAGUCAGUAGCAAAAAGGUGAGAAGCAUGUUAAUGUGAAAGUUUGGGUCAACCUACACGGAUUCCACCAGGUAAUGCAUAGUUUUACACGUGAAGCUUCUUUUUUCAUGUUUUGGCAAAAAAGCUCAUGUCAGCAAGAUAAAGAUUCCUAUGACUACAACUCGAAUCACCACAUGAAGUGGAAAAACCAAACAUAUGAGACAAAUGGCAAGAACAACCAUGAACCACGAUAUAAACCUAAUUUCUUGGCCACAACAUUCAAAUGAUUGGGGUGCCGAUAGUCCCCCUGGGACAUCCAUGAAGAACCUAUCAGGAAAGUUCCACAUAGUUUAGUGUAUAUCAUAUAUUGUUGGACAACAUCCACCAUGCGCAGAAUCCAUGGAAAAUAAUUCAGAAACCAUAAAGCAAAAAUGGCAUGCCAUUACUAAGAGACUCUUCAAUUAGAAAAAGAUAAGAUUAACCACUUAUUAAUAUUAUAAUCUAGUGACAAAUGCCAUUAACACAAGUAGUGGGCACUAUAGAAACACCAAACUAAUAUUUAAAGUAAUAACAAUUUAGAAGUUGCUUACUUCGAUCUCUCGUACGCGAGCCUCAUUUUCUAGUUGUUGUUGAAGUUUCUGCUGGUCGGUUUGACUUUCCAGUGCCAUGCGAACACGCCUUGCUCGGACACGUGCCUGAACUCUCACUAAAGCUUGCAUGCAACGGAGGGUAAUCGCAGCUUGCUUUCUAACUGCAUGACCCCUGACAAGGGCUUGUAGUCUCACCAAUCCUUUUAGAGCCCGAAGAGCUCGCCUCGCCUGACCAGUGCCAGGAUAUCAAAUAAGAUUUAAUGGCUGUAAUUUUUCCUAGUUAACAAUUAUCUCUUCAAUUCCCCUAGUAUGUUUCAACUCACCAACUGAAAAGAUUCAUAAGAAAUUAAAAACACAGUGGUUAACAUAUUAUUCCUAUAUUCAGGUGUCAGAAAGUUCUUUUAUGUCCAAAAGCUUAAUCUAUGAGUCAGAUACCAACUUGGAAACUGGAGUCAGGCAGGUUUUCCCUGACUAAAAGUUGCAACCAUAUAAAACACCAUUUUUCGCCGCCAUUUUCGCAAGUAAGUUCUGUAUGAUAUACAUUCUUUUAACCUUGUACAAAUAUUCAGUCUCUGCAGAACAUGCCUAACAUAAAAAUUGCUUAGGAAUUUACCAUAGCACAAAGUAUCCCUACCUAAAAUGGCAAACAUAAGUUUCUUAAAUAUGAAAAAAGAAAAUAAACAUGUACUUAAUGUUUAUUUAAAAUGUGAAAUUCAUGAUCUAUUAUUUCACUUUCGUGACAAAAGUAAUUUUUCAAGCUCUUUCCCCCAUUGGUACUUCUUUUUAUUACCAAUCCUUUUUUCCCCUCCUAGUGGUCACUGGUCUGAUAUCAAAGAAGGCCUAAGGAUCAGGAUAAUAGUAUUUUUGCUUCUUAGGUGGACUUAUCUUCGUUUGCAAGUACAAAGUAAACCUUGUUGCUUUAGUUUCUGGAACUUAGUGUUAGAGGGAUCUUCGAAAGGGAUCAAAGAUCUCAUCCAGCUCAUCACUUAGCUCAUCAUUUCUUUUAACCUAGAUGAUCUGGUUGUAUCCUAUUCUUUAUUUAUGUAGAUCUUUCUUGAUUUUCCUUUAUCAAAAAUGUAUCUUGACUUUGCACCUCCCUAGGGCAUCUAUAUAAAAUCUUAAAAUAUCGACCAUAAGGCUUAAUAAUUGGAAAUCGUUUUCCCUCUUCAGGAGGUUAUAUUGCUCUAGUUCCUUACUUCUCUAGGAUCAGUCUUCCUAAUUUGAUUCUCUUUAGGUUCUCUGAGGGCAGAAAGUGUAUUAUGACUGAUGCUUAGUUAUCAGUAUAAAGUGGAUAAAAUAAUUUUUAAUGACCAGUUACUUACCGGAAGACAUUGUUUUUCAAUUGUUUGAUAGGGGAAGGGGUGGACUUGCAUUUAGCAAUUUGGUCCCAGAAAUAUUUUCUUUUUUGAUAAGUUUUGGUCCCACAAAAAUUUCGUUAGAAGAGGAAUAGUCAUGGAGCUUUCCACAGAUGACUACAUUUCACAUUGGCAGAAAGAGGUAAAAAGUAAGUAAGCCCAUACUCAAAAGAUUGUGCUAUAGGUCAUUGAGGGUGUCAAUUACUCGGAUUGUUGGAAGUUUCUAUCUCGGAUUUGUUUAGGUUGCCCUACAUCAUAUCCUAUAUACUGGUUAAUGCUAGAAGAAAUUUGUUUCUAAAUGAUCAAUAAUAGCUGAAAGUUACAUGUUUUAUUGCAUUUAAGCAUUUACAUCACCUAUACCCAUGUUUCAAAAAUUUGCAUUUAGAUAAAGACUCCAACUCUUGGAAUUUUUUACUUCUUUUUUCUGGAAGUUCUGACAGUAGAUUGGCACAUAUUAAUAUCCAACUUUUUAACGCCAUUAGUACCUCAAGGCGGCCCAUUUGUAUUGACUCCAGAAUUGCACAUCUUCUAGGUAUCAGGAAUUUUUUUUCUUCUUUUGAUCAGUCUAAGAAGGAAUCAGGAAUAAGUUUAGAUGCAAAUGUCUUUCUCUUAUUUGGUUCAUUCAAGUUCCCCGAUGGUAUCCACUUCUCCUCCUUUACUUAGAAAGCCAAGUAGGUCUCAUCCAAAUAACAGUAUUAGCUGUCUCGUAUAACGAAGACAGACUAAAUUUGGAGGCUGAAAAAGGAAAUUAUUCCUAGCCUGUCAUUAUAUACAAGCAGACUAAUGAAAUGAGGGAGUAUGAAGCCAUGACGGUGAAAUUCAGACUUGGAUUUACUGUAUUUUAAGUGACUUCCUUUUAUCAUUAUGUAGGAGAAAUGGCCGAGUGGUUCAAGGCUUAGCAUUGGAACUGCUAUGUAGGCUUUUGUUUACCGAGGUUCGAAUCCCUCUCUUUUGGUACCUUCGCUUAAUUCACCAAUUUUACUAACAACGAGUGCUCAAAUAGCAAUGGAUACCAUUAUUCCAACAACUAGACCUUUCUUUGAUCUAAAGAUAUAGAUUCUCAAUUCCUAAUUGUUGUGAUGUGUAAAAUAGAAUACUAAAAAAAAUCAUAAUCCAAAUACUGGAAAGAAAAGAGUAGACAAGGAAUGAAAAUAGAUCCUUGGUCUAUGAUACAAAAAUGGGGGAAAUCCAUAUCAAACUCGGAUUUAUCUUACUUAACCUUAGGUUAGUUUACUUCGCCUAAAGAGAAGAAAUUUUCCGAACCCUUGGUUUCAGUCUUAGGUUUAAGUCCCACGAGAAUAAUAUUCUACGACUAGCAAUUGUCUUUUCCGUAUUACUGAGAAAUCUCUUUCAAUUAAGCUGUGGUAAGUGCUAGAUCCAUUGACAUAGUCAAAACUCACUCUUGGAAAAGAAGGAUACGAGGACCAAAAGCACAACUAAGCAGGCAUGUCAUAUAUUUCAAUUAACUAAAAUUACAGGCUGACAGCUAAUUCAGUACCAGAAAUCCUCUAAAAGCUGUUUGAAUGCGUAUAGCUGCUGACUCUUCUCUCAUACUCUGCUGAACUUGUGGGGCAUGGUGCAAUUGAUGUGAACUUGAAGGCGAGCUGGCAGCAACUUGAACUGAUGUGCUGCUGAUAUCUUCAACUGAUCUUACAACAGCAUCAUUAUGAGUUAGCUCCUUUUGAAGUAGGUCAGAAUUGAUCUCAACUGAGUGCUUUCUCCGGUGCCAAAACUUUCCAGUACCUCCUGAUUUCUGUUAUAUCAAACGAGUUCAGAUUAAGUAUACAUGCUCAUCCAAUAUGCAUAAGUACCUUUGCAGUACCUUGAAAUAAACAGGCAUUGACAAUCCAGAAAUAAGUUACAUAUGAUCUCAUAGACCAACACCCUAAAAAAUCUUCUUAUAUUUUUUUUCCAAUGAUAAGUUUUUAUGUUCUUAAAAUGUUUUCAGAAUAAAAAGAUCCCAUCAAAAAUUAAGCAUCUAUAAAAAUUGAAGUUUCCUGUUGAUAAAUUGUCUGAUAUGUGCUAAUUGGUAAAGAUAUGAGAUAACCAACUGAGAACGCAUUCAUGAUUCAACAUCACUGCAUUUCAGGCUCCGGACAGAGGUGAAAGAACGAAAGGUAGCUUCUAUUGAGAAAGUGAUAUUACUCGAGAAUAAGCCUGUCUCGUUAGGAUGUAAAGAUGACACCAAAGAUUAUACAAAGUAGUUUGCUAAAGAUGUAGAAGCAUUGAUUAGGAUACCCAUUGAAAGCCAAUUUAUCAGUUCAGCUAUCAAAGACAUGCAGGAAAUAAAUAAAAUAGAGAGAAAAUGUCACCCACAUUUUCAUCUUUUUCUGAAGAAUGAGACUUUUCUGGUUUCUUUAGACCAACCAGUGCUCUGAUCCAUUUGCUUGAGACACCCAUGCUAUACCAGCUUUUGCUCUACCAACUUGCACCUGAAACAGGAAAGUUGACGAAUUUAGUAAUUUCGUGACCGAUAAACCUUCAGAAAAAGCGCACAUGAUAACCAACAAACAUCAAUUUCUUUUGUGAUAGGUUCCCUGUAACACAAAAAACACAAUGGACAACUGAAAUAGAGGGAUGAAGUUAUUUAGUUCUUGAUUCAGAGGCAAACCUGGAAUGCCUGAAACCACAAAUCUAGGAUGAAUUAUAAUCUAGCUUAUCCAAGACGUGAAAACAGGUAACAUUAUGAACACAAUGCACAAGGCCAACAGCCAAAACGACAGUAUCAGUAGAGUAACUUCCAAAGAAGGCUAUAAAAAAAAAUAUAGAGAACAGAUGCAACAAAAAGGUUCUAUCUAUUAAGCAAAUUAUGAUCAGAAACAAUGUACACGUGCUUUGAAGUGAUCACUCACUAAUACUGUGACCAAGGGUUUCAUAAUACCAUCUUUCCAAUUAGUACUGGAGCACGCACGUUAUGUCAAUACUACUAAAAUCAAUCAAAUCAAAGCCACUCAUUUCCUGUUAUACUAUAGCCAUUCUCCAGCACAACACAAGUCAAAUCAAAGUCACUCGUUUCCCUUGUAUAUUACACCAACUCUCCAGCACAUGACAUGUGCAUAAUGUACACAAAAUCUCAUAACUUCGGCAACCCCUUAACGAAUAUUCCAAACAGAUUUCCACAAUGCCAUACAUUUCACACAAGGGCUAUCAAUAAAUUAACUAUCUAAACCGAAAGUUCCAAACUUCACAACAAUCUAAGCUGAACUCGACAACACAUUACAUGUAACUUUCAUUUCCCAAAUUUAGGGUCAUCAUAAACCCAAAAUAAGAACAGCCCACUUCAAUUUACAAUUCUCUUUACCAAAAUAUUGACCAUUAUCUAUAUAUUAACUAUCUAAACCCAAAGUUUCAAACUCAAGUUCUAAGCUGAACUCCACAACACAUUACAUGUAACUUUCAUUUCCCAAAUUUAGGGUCAUCAUAAACCAAAAAUAACAGCAACCCACUUCAAUUUACAAAUCCCUUCACCAAAAUAUUGACUAUUUGUAAGCUAAAGGUAAAGCCAGUAGAAAAAACAACUAACAACAACAAAUGCAGAUCUUCAAAAUCACCAAUUAACAGACAUUAUUGAAUUUACUAAACUCUAAUUAAAUUAACAAAGAUAUCAACUUAGAAACAACAAGAAAGGGAAAGAACCUUUUUUUCCUUAAAAGGGUUGGUUGAAAUAGAUGGAUCUAUCAAUCAGUCAACUAAAAGUCAAAAUUGAAGUCAACCCAAUUCGCAUCAUACUCAAGUGAGCUUCAACAACCAAAAAUCUUGAAUUUUUCGGUUUUUUUUUUUGGUGUGUUUUUGGGGACUUGGAUGAGCUGAUAAGAAGUACUACUAAAGGAGUAAUGAAAUGCGUCAGUAGCAGCAAAGAGUGAGUGUGAGGGGUGGUGCCAGCUAACGUACGCCAGAGGAGUGGGGAAUAUGGGGGAGAAUAGAACGGCGUCGUUUUAGGUGGUGGGGCGGGUGGUAACGUAAGGUCGUUUUCAGAGGUGCAUGCGACCAAGAGUCAAUCACGGGAUUUCCUCGGCCCCUACCCCUUCACCGUCGUGUCAAGUCGGAUUUUUUCCAACUGAAAAUGGGUUUGCGGGUCAGGCUUUGGUUACUUGAUCAAGUUUUAAGUAACAUUUUUUUUUUGUUAAAAUAGAAAUUGGAAAUUUUGAACCUUUUUUAGGUAGUUGCACAUAUUUGAUGAAUACACAAACUUGGGAAUAAAUAAAUGUCAACUAUUCUCUUAAUCAAACAUAUCAAACUCUUUGUAUUAUAUUAUAUAUUUCUUUUAUAUUAUCUUAGAAUUCUAUUAUUAUAUUUCUUUAUUUUAUUUGAUCUAACUCUUGUCUUUAAGUUAUUUUUGUGUGACAAUCCAAAACUAAACGAUUGCUAUUGACGUCUAGUGACAUGAAACAUGUUAGGCGAACCAUUCACCCAUCUUUUCAAAUAUCAAGUUAUCAACUACAACAUGCGAUAACAUAACAUCAGUCCAUAGAAUAUUUAUAAUAAUCACCCAGCAUGCACGUACAUAUCAAUUAACAAAUAUUGGUAGGGACAAAUAAGCCAUAUGACAACUUAGGUAUCUUAAAGUGCUUAAGAUAGAUGCAAAAGGUAUUGGAGCUUUUAAGAGUCAUAAACAUAUACAAAGUGAGAUGCAUCCCAUGUAGAGGUGGCAAACGAACGGGUUGGGUCGAAUAUGGGCGGGUCAAAACGGGUAUGUAAACACAAAUAAAUUAUUCGACUCAAUCCAUAUUUAAUAAGGAUAGAAAACGGUUUAAUCGGUAGGUAAUAUGGAUAUUCAUAUUUAUCCAUGGCUUGUUGAAUAUGAUCACUUUUGGAAGACUAGGACUUGAGGAAUCCCCAAUUUGAGUCUUUACAAAUAUAAAAGUUAAACCCAUUGGUUAUCCAUUUUUUAAGUGGAUAAUAUGGAUAUUAUCCAUAUUUGACCCAUUUUUAGAAAAUUGAUUAUCCAACUCAUUUUUUAGUGGAUAAUAUGGAUGGAUAACUAUUUAUUUAUCCAUUUUGCCGCCACUAAUCCCUUCUAAUAUCUAAAAUGUAGAAAAAUAACGGCAUCACUAAACAAAGCUUUAUACUGUGUUUAAUUUAGCUCAAAUGCCUUCGAUCAAUGCAAAUUAUGAAUUUUCACGGUUAAUUAUACACAUUAGGCUCAUCUCAUAAAAUUAGACAUUGGUUAACGUCGAAAUCAACAAUAAAAAGGCAAUUCUNNNNNNNNNNNNNNNNNNNNNNNNNAAUUGAGUCCUAAAAUUAUUCAUCACUAUUUAGUUCAAUUAUAAUCAAUAUAUCUUGGUAAAUGAUAGAUUUCUCAAAUAUUAAUUGGUUUGAUAGUGUUAUGUUGAAAAGGUAGUCGUCGGAAUAUGUGUUUGGUAGUGUAUGUCUCAUAUUUAAGAAAAAACGAUAAAUAACCGAAAAAUCGACAAAAACCGGCAUACACCAAAUCGAUAAAAAACCGACUUAAUUGGUCUGGUUUGGUUUCAAUAUUUGAAAAACCGACUUACUUGGUUUAAUUUCUUUUUAGAGAAAAACUGAUCCAAACCGAACCAUGAACACCCCUGAGUGUAAUACCAUAAAGUGGGGUCUGGGAGUGAUAAAGUAUACGCAUAUCUUACCCCUGUCUUGUGAAGGUAGAGAGGUUGUUUCUAAUAGACCCCCGACUCAAGGUAACAGUAAAGAAAACAGACACAACAAGUAGUAACAACAAUACGAUAAGGUGAUAAUUUGAUAGGGUAAGAAUAAUCAACAUAUAGUAAAAGAAACCUACGCAUAAUAAGGUAUGAAAAUAAGAGAUUAAUACUAAUGUUACCGACAUGGAAAGGAGACACUCCCGCCUAUCUACUAACCUUGUACCCUAAUUCUCAACCUUCAUACCCUCAUAUUAAAGGUCAUGUCCUCAUUAAGCUGAAGUUGCGCUAUGUAGGGCUGUCGAAUUUGGCCCAAGCCCAAAUAACCCGCCCAACCCGCCCAAGGUUGGACUGGCUAUUGACCUGUCCAUUUAUUGAAAUCAGCCCAUCUUGACCUAACUUAUCUCAACCCAUUUAAAAUUGGAUUGAUUUUUACCCAAAUUGAUCCAUGAGUAACUUUGUCAAAAUAUUUUAGAAAUAUUUUUUUUUAUUUGAUAUGUUAUAUAUGACCAUAACAAAAAAAAAAGUCUUAUUCAGUAAUUAUAUAAUUUAUAAGAAAAUAACACAUAUUAAGCACAACUUGAUAAGAGUUGGGCGGGUUGGGUUAUGACCCAAAUUUUAGCCUAUCUUGACCCAACCCAUCUUAACCCAAGUAACUUUUGGGCGGGUCAUUUGACCCGUUCAAUUAUUAACUCAACCCAUUUUGACCCGCCCAAAACCUGCCCAACCCCGCCCAUUUGACACCUUUAGCGCUACGUCAUGCCUAAUCACCUUUCCCUAAUAUUUUUUAGGCCUACCUCUACCUCUCAUCAACCCCAAUAUGGCCAACCUCUCGCACCUCCUUACUGGGGCAUCUAUGCUCCUCCUCUUCACAUGCACGUACCAUCUCAGCCUAGCUUCCCACAUCUUAUCCUCUAUGGAAGCCACUCCCACCUUGUCUCGGAAAACUUCAUUUAUAAUCUUAUCUCGCUUGGUAUGUCCAUACAUCCAUUUCAGCAUCCUCAUGUCUGCUACAUUUAUCUGUUGGACAUGGGUGUUCUUGACCGACCAAUACUGCACCCCAUACAACAUCGUCGGUCUAACCAUUACUCUGUAAAAUUUACUUUUGAGUCUUGGUGGAACCUUCUUAUCACACAAAACUCCGGAAGCGGGCCUUUAUUUCAUCCACUCCACUCCGAUCCGAUGCGCGAAAUCCUCGUCUCUCUCAAUUGCUAGAGAUUAUAUAUCUGAGGUACUUGAGACUCCUUUUAUUGGGGAUGACUUGUGAAUCUAGCCUCACUUUCACAUCCUCUUCAUGAGUCAUGCUGCUGAACUUACAUUACAAGUACUCUAUUUUAGUCUUGCUCAAGUUGAAACCUUUUGAUUCUAAGGUUCGUCUCCAGACCUCCAGCCUCACGUUAAUACCGCCUCAUGUCUCGUCAAUCAGUACUAUAUCAUCUGCAAAUAACAUGCACCAUGUCACCUCCCCUUGAAUAUGCUACGUUAAAACAUCCAUCACUAAGGCAAAUAAAAACGAGCUAAAAGCGAAUCCCUAAUGCAAACCCAUCACGACUCGAAAAUGUUCUAAGUUCCCUCCCACCGACCUAGCGCGGGCCUUAGCACCAUCAUACAUAUUCUGAAUUGCCCUAGUAUAUGCUCCAAGCACACCUCUAACCUCCAAACAUUUCUAUAGAACCUUCCUCGGACUUUGUCGUAAGCUUUUUCUAAGUCAAAGAAUACCAUGUGCAAGUCCUUAUUCCUAUCCCUAUAAUGCUCUACCAGUCUCCUAAUAAGAUGAAUGGCUUCAAUAAUCGACGUUCAAUUAGUCACCCGAAUCCUCAAUUUUCUCAAUUGGGGAUUUAGGGCUCAAAAUAAUAAUUAUCCAUUUUGAAUCUCAUAUUUUGAAUGCAAAAUCCAUAUAAAAAUAUGUAAUCAACUAAAGUAAGGGUUUAAAGUCAUUAUCUUAGUCUAAAUUAUGAGUACAUUGCUUAAAACCUUCAAACUCGUGAGUUACCUUGCCCAAAAUUGAAAACACACUUCUGAAAAUUGAUAAUAUCCUUUACAUAUCAAGGGGUCUUACAAUCACAUACAUUUUAUCGUUAUCACAAAACUAUGUGGGUUAGGUUUCCCACGCCAUGAUGGCAACCUCUCGCGAUCGUGAGACUAGUUGGGCCAAGCAUGUCUGCGACUGUGGACUUCCUCCUCGCUAUUGCAUAAGUCAACAAAGUUGACUAAGUCCACCUAAGUCUUCUCUUUCUGCGAACGCAGCCCACGUUCCGCGAUUACGAUUGUUGAUACCCAAUUUUGUUUUCAUAUUUUUUAAAAUAUCAUUUCACAUUAUUACCCAAUUUGCAAGAGUCAUAUAAAUAUUUUCCAUAAUGUUUAAAGCUUUAAAGUUGAUUUUCUUGUAUUUAAAUUGUUCAAAUAUUUAUUAACUAUCCUUUCAAAUUAUUUUGUGAUGACUUAAUCAUCUAAAUUUAUUAUUUACACCCAUAUUUAUGUUUUAUAAUAUUUUACUUCAUUUCAUAUAAUUACAUUUGUAUUUUUUUUAGCUAUUUACACAAUUUUUGUAAUAAUAACCUAUAUUAUAUACAUAAUUAUAUUUAUUAUAUUAUUUAUUCCAAAAUUGCAUUUUUAUAUUUUUUAUAAUGUUAAUCUAUUAUUUUCAAGCAUUUUACUGCAUAAAUAAUAUUUUUAUUAUUUAUUAAUUACUUUUAUAAAUUAUUUUUAAUAAAUUGUGUAUAUUUAAAUUAUGGUCCAAUUUUUUGAGCUAAUUUCGGACUCAAAACCUAGCCCAAUAGCCCCAAGACCAAACCAGACGACCCUUUUAAUGAACCUGAUCGGUACCCAUUUAAACGACUUGCCCCAUUCUUUCCUUCUAUCUCAACCGUUGAUCUCAGAGAUCAACGACCCACAAACCAUCUCCCAUCUUUAAUUAACCAACCCCAAGCCCUAACACCCAUUUCCCUCUGAGCCGCUGCCCCCAAACACUCUCAACUCUCCCCGCCUCCCUUAUCCUCUCCAACUCCGACGCUAAUAUGGAACCUCCUCGUGAUUUUCCUUCCAUAUAUGCCCGAUCUCUUCGUUACUUACAUGGUUAUGGUAUCACGUAAUACUUGUCUAUUUUUGGCCAGUACCAGGUCUUGAAUCAAGUACAACCGUCUCCAGAUUUUUAAGAUCUGGACGGUGUUUCGUCUAUAUGCAUCCAUAGCAAGGUUAUAUGGGUCUGAUUCAGUGAGAUUCUCCGACUAUUUUGUUCUUCAUCUGGAACUAGGGUUUACCCGAUUUUCUCCUAAACUAAUUGUGAAUUGAUUUGCAUGUUUCUCUUUCCUUAUUGGUGUUUGAUUAACUAUGUUUCCUUAUUUGUUCGUUCAAUUGUUACUACUAUAUAAACCCUCUUCCACAUUCCCCUUCUAAGUCUUAACAACGAUUACUUAACUACUGUUACCACUACUAUUCUCUCACUGUCACUAAUUCUAUACUAUUUUGAGACUUUUGAUUUUGGCCGGCUGGAAGCCAAGGCCACUGAAAUCCGUUCAUCAGCCUCCUCUAGCGCAAGCACUGCUCGGAGUCCACUUCGAGGCUCGCGUGAACUCUGAAGCACUGGAGAUUUGGGGUUUCAUUGUUCUCUUACAAUCGUCGCUAUUUAUGAGAUUUUGAGUUUCUCAUUCUUUGUUCGAUUUGUUUGCAACUGGUUAGUACUUUAUACCCUCGCAUCCUACUUCUUUUUGUUUGUGUUUAUGUUAUGUGCACUAGUGCUACUUGGAUUUCCUUGAGUUAAUUUCGUUAUUAAGCCACUUCUUAUACAAGUCUGUUCGUCUUAAUACUAUUAUGCAGUGUCAAUAGCUUCAACUCUGUUCAAAUCUUGAUUUUUGCGUAAUUAGCUAAGUUGAUUCAUGAUGUUUUCUUGGUUCGUAAUUAAACCUGAUUAAUGCUUGUUGCACUUUGUUUUGAUUUCUUAUACUAAAACCCUUAGGAAACUAUGUCCUUGCUCAGAAUUGCUCUCUUCCUAUUGAAUUCUUUAUGCAUAACUUGUUAUUUCUCUGCAAAUCAUGUGACAAUACUGCCUAAAUGCUUAGCCUAAUAUUUUCUCUUGCCACUGCUAGCUUUAAUGCAUGCCCAUUAUAUGUGUCCAACCUGAUUGAUUUCUAAUCAUAAUGUUUAUGUAUAGCGGGUUACUUAUACUUGUUUCUUGUCAUGAUUAUAUGCCUUAGAUUCUUGUGAGGAACUAAUUUAUGCUCAGAAUUUGUCCAAAUGAACUACUUUUCUGUCGAGUCCUUCAUGUACAAUCUGCUAUUUUCUUAGAGUCAAUUCAUGAGGAACUUAUAUUCUAAUACUAUCCCAACUAGGUCUCUUUGCUGUUUAUAAACUCUAAUGCCAUGCUAUCACUAUGUGCUCACUAAUUGCUUAAGACUACUAGGAGGAUUCUCAUUAUGUUCAACUUAUUCUUCCUAUAUGGUCAACUGGGAUAGUCCUAAUGUCUGUUUGACAUGUUAGUCUUGAAUUAAUGGGUCUUCCUACUAUGAUAUCUUUGGACUUGAGGAUAUUUGUGUUACACUCAGCAUUAUUAGGCUCCAUAUUGAUUGUUUGCUUGUCUGUUUGUUAUUUGUAAUUGUCAUUCCCUGACUAUGACUCUGUUUGACCUUCAUAACUUAGACUCCUGAGUUUAAAAUCCUUUUUAGGAUAAUUAUAGACCAUGCUCCAUUCUGAACUCAUUUGGCAUGUACAUCUUAUAUAUGUUUCCCCUGUAAUCCCAAAUUACAUGUUUCCCCUACUCUGUCUCAAUGUGUUGUUCAUGCUCAACAUGUUAUCCCCUGCUAAAUGAUUGAACCUGUAAUGUUAGUUUUCCAUACCAAACUUGCCAUGUUGAAGCUAAGCCUUAUUGAUUCUCUCAGUUUUCAUGUUCUUUUGCUUAAUCAAUCAUGUCACGCUUGCUUCUAAAAUACAAAAUACACUUUCCUAUAAAUUUUGUCAUCUAGUCGCUGUUAGUAGGUCCCAAAAUCCUUUAAGUGAUUGCUAUAUGUGGUUUGUUAGUUUAUUUAGUUAAUUUGUUAAUUCGCAAUUACUGGGUAAGUGGGACUCCAUCUGGGCUUGAUAUGGGUCUAAGUGUGGGCCUAAGCUAUGCAAUCGAUACACUCCAGUGUUUGAGCUGAGUUUGGGUCUAGGUCUGCUACUUGUGUGAGGAGCGAGUCUGUUGAAGGCCAAGGUAGUGUUGGUUUAUUUUUUCUUGGGUCUGCUCUAUUUAUUGGGCCUAUAGUCAUCUCGAUUUUAUAAUAUUUGAGUUUGUUUCUUCUUUUAUCUUUGGGCAUGUAAUAAUUUGUAAACAAACAAUGUGGGAAUUAGUGAAAAGGGGGUUGGGAAUCCUAAUUCUUGCAUAAACGGGUAGAAAACCUGUCUAUAGGAUUUCCUUGCUAUUUGUUUGACGUGAUACACAUAGAAAUCAUGCCUAUAGGAAAUCACACACUUCACUUAACUUGUCUAAUACCUAUACACUAUUCACAACAUAAUUGGUUUGAGUAAAUGUUGUACCUGUUUCCAUGUCUACUAUUGUGCACUAUUAGACAACAUAUAUGUAGGAACCAAACGCCAAUAACUACUUGUUUAAUAUUAGACAACAUACUUAUAGGCUGUAACAAUACAUGCCUUUGCUAAUGCUCAUCUAGAUACCAUGACUAUAUGGCAAUUAAUUAACUAAUCAACUAUUUCUGUUGUUUUAUUGUACUGCCCGCCUAGACGACAUGCUUAUAGGAAUAAGUAUGAUAAAAUCAAGUUCAAAUACAAAUUGUUAGAAAUCCUGCCUAUAGGAUACGGUUACUCGCCAAGAAAACAUGUCUAUAGAAUCAAAUGCUGGUAAUCCUGAGUUCAAACGAUUUUACUGCUUCAUCGUUCAAGCAACUUAGAUAUCAUGCCCAUAGGGUUCAUAAUACCUGUAAUAUGCAAAUUCGUUAGUCUAAAAUAGCAGUACUGCCUGUAAGAUACUUGAAAUCAGAAUCACAUAGAAUCCAUACCUACAUGACUUAAUGACUCUAAUGCGUCUUAAUUCUAAAACUGUUUACUGCCUAAUAUAAGAAUCUGCCCGGGUGCAUUUGUUGCUUAUGUGUGAAGUCUAACUUGAGUCACUUAUUGUCUUUACGUGUAGUCCUACAUGUUUUGAAUGUGUACCUAGUUUUAUCAUUUUUGAGUACCUUAUGUAAAGUUUAGAACCACCCAAAUCGUAGGUCCAAAGCCUCCUGGACCAUAGGCAUGGGACGGGUAGCGCACGCAUAGGAUACAAUUUAGAAUUGAAUUAGAGCGCUCUAAGUAAACAACUUUAACAUAGUAAUUAGGUAGCAGGAGAUGUGUCAUGCCCCGACCUAGGGAAGAGCGACCGACGCUCAAUCGAGAUACCCCGGUUAAGCAAGCCUGCUAGAUGCCUUCUACCCAACCUUGCCCAUUAACAAUAUAAGAAUCAGUACAAGUGAUAGACAUGAGAAGAGUCAAGUGUUCCUCAUUCUUUUUCCAUUACUCAAAGGAUAUUCAUUUACGAUUCCCAAAAUAUUACAAGUUUAUAGAUAUGAUGAAAAACAGGUUUGCCAAAUACCAACACUUCUAGUUUUAUUCCCAACAUCAGACACCACCCACAACCUGUCUACGGAGCCUCUAAGUAAAACAGAAAUGAAGAAUGGAAGUGUCGGUGACAAGGCCCCGGCUAUACCUCAAAGCACAAAAUACAAUGUCAAUUGACGUAAAGCCCGGAACAGAGAAGGGCUAACUGAAACCUACUGAAUAGGGAGUAACUGCUAUUGAGGAUCAAGACCGCCCACUGAUGAACCACCUGCAUCCAUUGAAGAUGCAGCGCCCCCGAAAAAAAAGACAUUAGUACAUGUGGAAUAGUACUAGUAUGUAAAGCUAAAUGUCCCUCUUUCGAAAUAGAACACCAAUAUAAGAAGGGGGAAAAACUAUGGAAACAAUAAGUUACAAUCAUCUAUAUCUAAAUGCCAAGUUUAAAACAUAACAAUUUUUAAAAUACAGAUAUAAUAUAUAUUUUUGGUUGGGAGAUCAUUAGCACCGAUAUACCAUCGUGUUUUUAGCAUGGAGUCCGAUCUCCACCCGAUCGGCUAGGCCAUCUUACCCAAAGACAUUUGAUCUACACAAAGAGGCACCGCCGUCUCACCCCAAUGUGUGCAGGUGGAGGUGCAAUCACAAUCAUAAUCUCAAUCACAAUUUCAGUUACAGUUCCUAGCAUAAUCACCAACAUGUGUGCAACAUGGCGUCCGAUCACGACCCAACUGGAUAGGCCGUCUCACCACAAUGCAGUGUGGAUCGACAUCACCCUUUUCUAGCAAUCAUCUCAUCCCAAUAAAGGGGAACAUUAUCAUCACAUCAAUCUCAUCCCAAAUAAGUGGAAUAAUCAUAAUGCACUCCUACACCGGCACGUGUAAUUUCGGGGUUAGAUUAUUUCAACCUACCCUUCCUUGGUGACUAACGAUAUUUCAAAAAUAUUUUGUUUUGCACACAAGGGAAACAAAAGUAUAAAUAUAUUUUAUAUUCACCUCAUAACCUUUCACAAUAUAAAUAACUUCAUUAGUACUUUCAACAAUUCACAACAUCAUUAUUUCCUUGGCUCUCUUGGCCAUACUUAUGAUUCAUCAUUCAUGGCAUGUUGGUCGUAUUUCGUAUUCCACAUUUUUCAUUCCUUGACUUUCCAUGAUCAUCAUCACAAGCAUCAACACAUAGAAUAUUUUGGAAAUCAUAAUUUUAAGUUCAUCAGUAGUGGAGGCUUUAAACACAUUAGAUCCCUUUCCAAAGCAUGGAGCACAAUGACUUGUAAUCACAACACGAUUAAAAAAUCAUAAACGAGUGAAACACUGUAUCUUCUUAAAUACUUCUUUACAAAAGGCAAUACACAAUUUCAACUCUUGAGUAUGUAAGAACUCAAAUCACAAUGAAAAUAUUUAUAAAGGAGAGCAUGGUGAUUUACGAUAUACACACGACUUCAAAUCAAAUGCACUAGUUACAACAACCAUGGCCACAUUUUAUAUUUCACUCUUAGUUCUUUCACUUUUAAGCAUAUUUAUAGAUCAUCAUCAAAAGAGCAUUUGGGAUCAAGGCCUUAAGCAUAAAUAUGAGCAAUAGGGGUCUUAUGUGCAUUGAGUUUUCUUUCACAAAUGGGCAUAACAACUUGCAAUUUAAAUAUGAUUUGAAAUCAUACUAUCUCGACAUAUUGGGUACACUAGGAUACAUUACCGACGGAGAACACAAGAAGAUGGGAGAAUUUGGUGCACAUUUUUAGUAUAUAUCUUUCAACACAAGCUUAUUCGGAAUAGUCAAAUAUAUAAUAAAUAACUCGGAACAUGGAAAUUAGGAACUUGGGCCAACCAUACUUGAAACUUACGGGAACAUCAUGGAAUUCGAUUCCAACAGAGAAGUUUAGUCAACAUACCUUGCUUGAGCAUUCCUUAAGUUACUACAAUAUCCCAACACUCCUAGCAAUAACAAUCUAUAGGAAGAUAGCGAAACUCAGAUUAUAAUUAGAAGGAUUCACAUGGUGUAACUCUCUUAGGAAUUUUGUCAAACACCUAGUAUGCAAAAUAGACUACAAAGCUCUACAAUGGUAAUCCCUUCCUCCCUCAACCAGUUUCAACAAUAAACUAUCCAAAUUGUUCAUUAACCCCACAUACUACAACCUAUUGUCACUUGCAUGGCCUAUUUCCAACCCCACAAUAUACUUGAACUCAUAACCUCUUGCAUGAAAGCUUAGGAGUAGGACUUAAUCGGAUAGAUGAUAAUCUAGUGAUUGGAUUUCUUGAUUCUUGAAGAUUGGUGCAAGAAUAUGUGAUUAGAAUGCUAGAUUUCCUCCCCCUCUCUCUAAAAUAUUCUUACCUCUCUCUAAAAUCAUCAGACAUUCGCUUCAAAAUGAGCCCCUAAGGCUAUUUAUCAAAAAUGGGACCGGGUUAUAAAAAUAGGAAACUGGACCCUUCGAACUCAGGUCUGCGAUCGCAAAAGGGACUGCAGAACAGAUAUGCGGCCUGCAAAAUGGACCGCAAAAAUGAUGCCAAAACUGGGUUGGUCUGGACCAGUCUGCGAUAGGUCUGUGGUCUGCAGACCGCUUAUGCGGCCGUAGAGUGGACCGCAGAAUCACUCUCCAAAAUUCUUCAUGCCAAAUUUGCGACGGAUGUGCAGACCACGAAACAACUAUGCGAUCCCAUAAUAGACCGCAAAACAACCUUCAAAAUUCAACAAAUUCUCUGCUCAACUCCGCGAUAAUUAUGUGGCCCACGAAAUGGGUCUUCGGUCGCGAAAUUGAUCGCAGAAUCGCCUUUUUCAGCCAAAAAUUUCCAUAAACUCAGUGCAUUCUUCAACCCAAAAAACGUCAGUACCGCGACCUUUUACGGGGUCACAAAACCUCAAAUUCCUUGGCGAAAUUUACGGGGCCUUACAAGAUGAUAGUUUGUGCUCGCUGAAUAAUAUGAGCAACCCCUACCCUAAGGGAGUUGUGAAGUAUUAUUUAUGUUGCACGGGGUGGCCCUUUAGGCUAAAAAACUUAGGACCCCCUCCUUUAUAUGUUUAUUGUUCGCACUGUGAAUAAUUAAGUUGUAUCCUGUAACUUCUAAAGACUUGUACUGAUUAUUUAUAUAUUUUAAUUCUUGUGCGAUUUUCUUUACACUUGUUUAUAUUAUAGUAGAACUUUUAUAUUCCUUAUCUUCCCUUACUUAUAUGAUCAUAUAGGACAAUUAUAAUCUGAUAAUCCCACGUAGCAUAAACUUCGGUCGCGACCUACAGUUGUGGACCACGAAGAGUGCCUAACACCUUCUCUUUGAGGUAAUUUGAGCCCUACCCGAUCUUUGGUGACGUAGACUAGAUAAACACAGUUAUUUGCAAAUAGGUGCCCUAAUGACUAGCGCAAAACACACACUUAAAUAUGCUCGCUAGUCGAAUAUAGUAUAAUAUAAUAUCGGAUCCACAAGGAUUGGAGUUAAAUAAUAUUAUCGUAGUUUGUAGCUAGAUUGCUAUCCAAGAUGAUAAAAAAUUGAGAAUUAUAUGAUUAAAAACUACAAUUAACUAAGAAUCUACGGUUAUUGACUAAUGACAAGUGAACAAAAGUGAGUAAGGAAGAUAUCAAUGGGGAAAAAAUAGGGGUUGAUUGGAUAGGUACAAGAUACUUGUCUGGGAUUUAACUCUAGUUAAUUCACUUCUAAGGUUCAAGCGAGUCUCUCAAAUUUACUCUAUUAUUAGUUCGAAUGUUCAGUAGAAACUCCUCUCUCGAUUAAAGUUCAACCUCACAAUAUGAACUAAGUUAAGCUCGGUGAAGAUAUGCAAGAAUUCGUAGUGGAUUGGUUUGUAAGAGAACCUCUUUCGAUUAUUUUCCUAAGUAACUCUAAACAAUAAUUCAACUAGCCUCUUUCGAUUACUAAGAAGAAUCAAUAAAUUCAACCAACAAGAUAAUGCAAAAACAUCACAAGUUAUGCCUUUUUUGAUUACAUAAACAUGUGAAAAUAGAUGCAAUAAUUAAAACAUCCAAAACGAUUCAAUACAUAAAAACUAGAGUUAAUAUCUACAAACAAUUCUCAAAACGCCAAAUCCAUCAAUCCCUAAAGAAGAAUUACUCCAUAGAUAUGGAGGAAUUCAUCACAAAUAAGUUUGAGUUAAAGAAAAAUAUAAAACAAUCCAAACCCUUGUCUUGAGUGUGGAUUGAAGGAUGAAAUCCAUGUGCUCUUGCUUCUCCCACUUCUCCUUAGACUCCUUAGGUCUAAAGUAUGUCAAAAGUCCUCAAAAUACCGUUUUCCAUGUAUAUAUACCAAGUAGGGUCGGGCCCAAACAAACACACCUUCUCCUUCACGAAAUAGGACUUUUCCUGUGCAGGUCGUGCGCGCCCAGUUCGUGGUCGCGCACCUGGGUGAUGUCCGACUCGAUUCUUCGUUUCUCUUUUUGAAUGCACUAGUGUUCGUUGAUCCCCGAACUCGAUUCCAACUUAAUCCCUGUGCUUUUACUCAGACUUCAAACCUCCAAAAUAGCAUGAAUUCAUCCCAUAACAUCUACAUAGCUCGGAAUCAUUCCUACAAGGCAUAAAACAUACAAUAAGUGCAAAAUACUCACAGUUAAAGCUCAAACUCAAUUAAAGUGCAGUAAAUUAGAGUGCAAUAAGCAACUAAAACACGCAAUUAUAACCUACCAUCAACACCCCACACUUAAACCAUUGCUCGUCUUCGAGCAAUCAAACUACACUUUAUAAAGACAUGACCUUUUUAAACAACUCCCAUAACUCAUCAUACCAAGAAUAUUUAAAAUAGAUUAAGCACAAUAGUGUAACAUCCUAGCCUCAACAUUUGACUCGCAAGUACCAUGCAUUAUUUACAACUCACCCACUUACUCUAAACUAGAGGUCAACGAUAUUACCUUUCCUUCAUGAAUCAAGUGCCCUCACACAACAAUAGAGAGUAGUUCCACACACCAUAGAAAUUAAGAACAAUUAGGAACUCAAGAUAGAAAGAAUUCGCUCACUCUCAGAAACAAUAUUCAUAUGCCACAAAAGAUGAACCAUAGACUUGCCCGUAGCGUACUACUCCACUAAUUGAGCUCGUUCAAUCAAGUAUCAAGUAGGACUUUAAUUAGUUGUAAUGUAGGCUGCAGGACAGGUAUAAUACAUUUGAAUAUAAGAGUGACUACACCUCCCUAAGCACUUUAAUACAUACAUUUUAACAUUUAAAACCCCACACUUAUGUUGAACCAUAACUCCACCUUCACAUCAAUAUAUAUUAUGUCCCUACUUCUUUAAGCACAAUUACAUCCAAGAGUUACCACUAUCAAGGAAUAUGUUUCAUAAUAAUACAACUAUAUUUUUUUCUUUCUCAAAUUAAGUGGCUCUUACUUUUUUCAAAACAGUGCACCUUUCUCCUUAUUUCAUUAGUUCCAUUCAAAAACCAACCCAAUCACCCCACACUUCAACUUUUACAAAGUUCAUAACAAUUUCAAGUGCUCACGAGAGGUAAAAGGUUCAAAUAAAUGGUUAAUUCAACCAAAUGGGUAAGGCUUGUAAUGUGGUUACCAAAUAAACAUGAUUACAUGCUCAACGGGGUUAACUAAGAUACAUAACAAUUUGGUGGGUAAGCGCAUAUCUCUGGCUCAACAAAGAAAUGCUUAUAUCCUUUCUAAGACUGAACAAAACUACUAUUUCUCUUUGCAAAUACACGGGGUAAGUUCUAGACAUCAAAUGUAAUGCACCAAAUAACACAAAUUCUCACACACAUAUGGCACAUAACUCAAUCAAGAUUGGAUUAUCUAGACACUCUAGUCAACGUAGUUAAGCAAAGUUAGGAUCAUACAAUUUAAGGUACUUAUACAAGAGUCAAAAAUUGAGCCUAAGUGUCACAACUAAAGCACUCACUAUUCUCAAGGUAUAAUAAAGUUAAGAGCCAUUGUCUUCAAUUCAGCUCUCAACACAAGGCUUCCUAUUCCUAACCAAAAAUAAAACUAACCACACCCGGUUCAAUCAAAACCAUUGGAAAAGAACCGCGGCACAAAGAAAAAAACCAAGGGGAAAUUAAUACACUACCUAACAAAAUAAAAUAUUUUUGUCUUUUUCUUUCGACUUUAAUCCCUCAAGAAACCUGUCGAAUGAUAUCCAUCAUCGGAAAGAAUCAAAAAAUUUAAAUUUUUUAUGGUUUUCCAAAUUUUUUCUAUCAAACUACUACAACUAACCAAAAGAAACUAACCAAAUUAAUAUACAUACAAAAUACAUACAAAAAGAUCCCCCACCCCACACUUUAAGUUGUGGCAUGUCCCCAUGACAGACAAUUAAAAUGCAUAACGUAGAGGAACUUUCCCCGAAUCUCUAGUCGGGGUCUGAGUCAAAGUCGGGCUCCAUCCUUCUCGCUCAAACUAGUGCACACAUCCACGCAGAUAACUUCUUCUCAGCCUUCUUAGGGUACACCCCACACUUGUCUUUCUCAUUCACUGGGACCUUCUCUUUCGAGCUUUUCACUCUCCACUCUACACUUGCAGCUGACUUCCCCUUUCUCACCCCCAUCUCUACAUUCAUCUCGAAAGUCACCGUCUCUUCACCCACUCUAAGCAUGAGCUUUCUAUCAUGUAUGUCUAAUAUUGCUUUGCCCGUCUCUAAGAAUGGUCUUCCUAAGAUAAGGGGGACCUCUUUGUUCUCCUCCAUCUUCACCAUAAUUAAAUCUACAGGAAAUACAAACUUAUCUACCCGAACUAAGACAUCUUCAACUAUCCCCUCAGGUAUCAAAGUUGUUUGGUAGGCCAGCUGCAAAGAUAUUGGUGCAGACUUUAUCUCUCCAAGCUCAUUCUCUAAUUUCCUGUAAAUAGACAAAGGCAUUAAAUUAAUUGAGGCACCAGAAUCACAUAAAAAUUUAUCAAAAUUAAGAGUGCCUAACGAGCAAGGUAUAAUAAAACUCCCUGGAUCUCCACACUUUUGUGGGAGUUUGUUUUGCAAGAUUGCACUACAAUGAUCGGUGAGUUUGACCACUGAAGUCUCUUCUAUCUUCCUUUUCUUUGUAAGGAUCUCCUUCAAGAAUUUGGCAUAAGUUGGCAUUUGUGAGAGAACUUCUGUGAAUGGAAAAUUUAGAUUAAUCUGUCUUAGCAUAUCUAGAAAUCUCUCAAACUACUUGUCCAACUUUUCUCUAUAAAGCUUUUGGGGAAAAGGUAGAGCAAGCAUAUGCUCGCUCUCAUUAGAUUCCUCAAUUCUUGAAGUUUUCUCCUUCUUUUUCUCAGCUCCCUUCUUUCCUUUCUUCUUCUUAUCAACUUCAUUUUUCAGCUGCUCCUCAACUUCUUUUUCAGGUACACUCUCUUUUUGGACUGGAGUGGGAUCUUUCAAUACUUGCCCACUUCUCAAGGUCACAACAUUUAUCGUUUCUUUGGAGUUUAUUUCAGUGUUAGCUGGUAGAGUACCUGGGAUUCUCUCAGACAAUGCAAUUGCAAUUUGCCCCACUUGCUUCUCCAAAAUUCGCAAACCAGUGCCAAGUUCUUUGAUAGCUGAACCAUGAGCAUCUAAUCUCUAAUCUGUCUUGACAAUAAAGGACUUUAUUAGAUCUUAUAACCCAGACUGAAUUGGUUGUUGAGGCUGGAACUGUGGCCUCGACUGGUUCACAAAACCAGGAGCUCCUUGAAAUCUGGGAUUGUUUUGUUGCCAUGCAUUUGCAUUACCCCCAGGUGAACUCCACAAAAAAUCGGGGUGCUUCUGACCCAUUGCAUUGAAGUUAUAGUUCCCAACAACAUUAACUUCCUCGAUUGAGGCUUGAUACUCAUGAGUAGGGUGCCCUCUUCCACAUAUAUCACACGCUGCAUGGAGCUCACUGUGUAUCGAGGCUAAGGUCAGGCUCCUUAUUUCCUUGGCCAUGGCAUCAAGAUUUACCUGCACAAAUGUGUUAGCAUCAACUUGGUGAACACCAGUUGAUCUUCUUCUUUUAGCAUUUCAGAGGGCCACUAAUUUGCAUCUUCGGAUAACUCAUUCAAAACUAUGACUAUUUCCUCUAGAGUCUUCUUCAUCAACAGACCUCCAGCUGGGUUGCUCAAUGUUCUGAGUGAGGCUGGUGUCAAUCCAUCCCAAAAAUCCUGGAGUUGCAUCCAAAGUUCAAUUCCUCUAUGUUGACACUUUUGCACUAUCUCCUUAAACCUCUCCCAAGCUUCAAACACAGUUUUAGUCUCGUUCUAACAAAAGUUAUGGAUUUUUCUUCUAAACUUGCCCGUCUUAGCUGAUGAGAAAUAUUUGUCAAGAAAUUUUCUUAUUAUCUCAUCCCAUGUUCUAAUCGAUCCAUUAGGCAAGCUUCGAAUCCAGUGCUUAGCAUCAUCCUUGAGUGUGAAGGGGAAUGCCCUUAAGUAGACUGCAUCUUGUAACACACCAUUGUAUUGAAAGGUGUUCAUAAUCUCCUCGAAGUCCAUCAGAUGAUUGUUUGGAUCUUCGUUCAUCUUUCCUCUGAAAACGUAGCUGUUUUGAAGAGUUUGGAGCAAUCCUUGCUUUAACUCAAAAUUGUUAGCUGCAACUUGAAGUGGUCUCACACUUGAUAAACCUUAUUUUUAGACUGGUCUAGCAUAAUCUCCAAGUGGUCUCCUAGCACCGGGAGCUAUAUUUUCGAAUUGGUCUGCAGCCAAAGGUUGAUUCGGAGCCAUUCUCCGAGCCGUCUCCUCUUCGUAGAAAGGUUGUGCAUUUCGAAGAGCUGUCUCCUCAGCAUCUCGUACAGUUUUUUCUCUUUGUUGGGCUGCCUCUCUUGUAGCCAAAUCAACAUUAUCCUCAUCUCCUGGCAUUAUUUCUUUGGUUGAGGAUUGCCCAACCUUUUCUGUAUUCUAGGAGAUAUCUUUUUCCUUCCUUAGCUAUCGCAGUUGUUUCUCAAUUUUUGGUUCGUAGGGUAGCAAUUCUCUCCCAGAAGAUCGAGUCAUGCAUCAAUCUAACAUGUAGCUUGCGCACAAUCAAGGAACACCAAACGUAAAAAGAGAAAAAUAAAAUAAAAGAACAAUUCCUGAAUUAGCACUACAAACUAUUUCAAACACUAUUGAUUGCCAAUCCCCGACAACGACACCAAAAUUUGACGAGUGCAAAACACCAACUUAAAUAUGCUUGCUAGUCGAAUAUAGUAUAAUAUAAUAUCGUAUUCACAUAGAUUUAGUUAAACAGUAUUAUCAUAGUUUAUAGCUAGAUUGCUAUCCAAGAUGAUCAAUAAUUAAGAAUUAUAUAAUUAAAAACUACAAUUAACUAAGAAUCUAUAGUUAUUGACUAAUGACAAAUGAACAAAAGUGAGCAAGAAAGAUAUCAAUGGGGGAAAAUAUGGGUUGAUUGGAUAGGUACAAAAUACUUGUCUGGGAUUUAGCUCUAGUUAAUUCACUUCUAAGGUUCAAGAGAGUCUCUCGAAUUCACUCUAUUAUUAGUUCGAAUGUUCAGUAGAAACUCCUCUCUCGAUUAAAGUUUAACCUCCCAGUAUGAACUAAGUUAAGCUCGGUGAAGAUAUGCAAGAAUUCGUAGUGGAUUGGUUUGUAAGAGAACCUAUUUCGAUCAUUCUCCUAACUAGGUCUAAACAAUAAUUAAACUAGCCUCUUUUGAUUACAAAGAAGAAUCAAUGAAUUAAACCAACAAGAUAAUGCAAAAACAUCACAAGUUACACCUCUUUCGAUUACAUAAAAAUGUGAAAAUAGAUGCAAUAAUUAAAAUACCCAAAAUGAUUCAAUACAUAAAAACUAGAGUUAAUAUCCACAAACAAUUCUCAAAACACCAAAUCCAUCAAUUCUAAAGAAGAAUUACUCCAUAGAUAUGGAGGAAUUCAUCACAAAUAAGUUUGAGUUAAAGGAAAACAUAAAACAAUCCAAACCCUUGUCUUGAGUGUAGAUUGAAGGAUGAAAUCCCUAUGCUCUUGCUUCUCCCACUUCUCCUUAGACUCCUUAGAUCUAAAGUAUGUUAAAAGUUCUCAAAAUACCGUUUUUCCAUGUAUAUAUACCAAGUAGGGUUGGGCCCAAACAAACACACCUUCUUCUUCACGAAAUAUGACUUUUCCCGAGAAGGACGUGCGCGGUUGCGCACCUGGGAAGGUGCUCGCACAUUAGGCCACGCACUUUGGAUGGUCCACUUCCUCACAUGCACACCCAGUGCGCGCCCAAUGCGCGGUUGCGCACCUUGGUGACGUCCAGCUCGAUUCUUCGUUUCUCUUUUUGAAUGCACUAGUGUCCGUUGAUCCCCGAACUCAAUUCCAACUUAAUCCUUGGGCUUUUACUCAGACUUCAAAGCUCCAAAAUAGCAUGAAUUCAUUCCAUAACAUCUACAUAGAUCGAAAUCACUCCUACAAGGCAUAAAACACACAAUAAGUGCGAAACACUAAUAGUUAAAGCUCAAACUCAAUUCAAAUGCAGUAAAUUAGAGUGCAAUAAGCCACUAAAAUACAUAAUUAUAGCCUACCAUCACCUAACACACCUUAAAACCGUUAGGUGGCGACUCUUCUUUUUUAAUAUCCAUUUAAAAGAGUUGUCACAUGUCGAAACCCGCUUUCAAAAGGAAAAGGGCGCUACAGUAUGGCGACUCUGUUGGGGAUAUACUUAGGCUCUUACCAUAAUGAAGUUGACUUAUGUGGAUUAACGGAUUAUUUGAUAACAUGCAAAUCCCUUACCUUAUUUUUCUUUAUUUGUUUAAAUUGCUAUGAUAGAUACAUCCCCUCCCUGUUUCCCUUACUUGCUUAAACUGCUAUGACAUAUACAUCCCCUCUCCAUUUCCUUUAUCUUGUUUAAGGCUUCUAUAUCAUGUAUCUCCCACCCUAUCCCUCCCUAUUUGCUUCAUUUAAUUACGUUCUCGUACAUUUUUAUCAGUUAAACCGACUUCUUUCUUUUGUCAUUCCUUUUUCUUUUCUUUCUCUUGUUCAUAUUAUUUACUGUUUUACGCACUUUCAUCGUGUAAAUAUCUGGUAACGUGUUACUCUUUUUUCAUAAAGCAUGCUUUCAGUAUCAUACUCCACUCGUGCUUAUUAUCAAUAUAGCAGCGCUUGAUGGGUGUCCGCGCUUUCCUAAAAAUACCAUUUUAAAUCGGAAAGGCUUAUUAGCGGUAGACUAGUCGAUCAGCGGUGCAGUCGACGGUCCCUUGCCUUUCUCUCUCAAGUUGCCCACUUGAGAGUACCAGUCUAGACCCUUCUAGAAACCACACUUUGAUUUGAAAUGUACAUGCAUCAUGCUAAACCUAGUACGAAUUGAGACGUCAUUGACACAUCAACCCGCUUAGAUGAACCUUGUCCAAAGUCUAACGGGAUUUCCAUAAUCCCAAAGGACACCAUCAUAUUAAGUGCAUUACUUGGAGAAAACGUGCCAACAUAUUGAUUAUUAUUGCGUAAAUAGUUGAAUAUGGAGGGGGAAAGGUCUAACUUUUAUUUGUUUCAGAAAAUGAAGCAAGAAAUCCCCAUGAUUGGUAUGGUCCAGAAUAUCCUGCCUCUGCUAAUUGACUGGUGGAACAACCUUUCACCCUGUGAUAGAAACCAUGUAAGAAGAAUACUGGGUAACCUGUUAUCUUUGCUGAAUAUUCAACCCAACAGGGGACUAAUUGAGGCAGCCACCAUGUUCUGGGAUGAAAAGAGAGUUGUUUUCUGAUUUAGAAAUAUAGAAAUGACUCUUCUCCCGGAAAAAGUAGGGGGCUUCGCUAAGUUACCAUGGGAUAGUCCGGGUCUAUUAGUGUUAGAAAAUCGCACCCCACGCGAUUUUCUGAAGAUGUUGGGUUUUAAGAAGAAUGACGAACUGGUCUGCCUGAAAAAAUAUACAUCCCCUUUGAAUUUCUAUAUAAGCAAUAUGGCCAUAGAAUAUCAUAUCGCCUGCAUCAUGAGGAGCUAGUCAUUACCUCUUUUGGAUGGGUGCACCGCCAGGUCUAUGUCUUCAUAGUCAAUUUCUUAGGUUUGUUGAUCUUUUCAAUGCAAGGGGGAAGAAUUCACACUCGCUUAGCCAUGGUCGCUAGGACCUUGAUGGAGGGUAUCGAGGGGAAGAAAUACACUAUCAUCCCAAUAAUCUUAGCUGAGAUGUACCGUUCUCUGUAUCGGUGCAAGCAUGGGUUCGGACACUUUGAGGCUUGUAAUCUCUUACUACAAGUUUAGCUGCUAGAACACUUUCAGAUGGGUGAUUAUCGCCAAGAGCUUCUACACAAGCCACUGAACGACUACAUAGCCAGUCAUCAUCCAAAGAAGAUGACAUUCAUUCCAGACAGGUUUGCAAAUCUUGGAAAUGUUAUAAGCUGGGUGCAUUUUUUCAGUAAUCUGACAGACGAGCAAGUGCAUUAGAUAUUUGAGUGGUUUCCUAAUAGCGAGUUCAUCAUUAUGUCCAAAGGAACCACUCACUUGGUACUGAUCGGGCUGCGAGGCAUCUACCUUUACACUCCUAUAAGGGAAAUGAGGCAAGCUGGGAGGAAACAAGUGAUAUCUCGAGUUUCCAACAUAGUUCAAUAUAAAGCAGAUUUCAAAGGAGAUGUCAUCAUAUUCAAGUUUGAAGCCCAACACAUGUGGAACCAAAAGAUCAUCGUGGAGGAAGAGACUAUUGAUCCAAACAGGUAUCACGUCAGUCAUAUGUACUAAUAUCUCUCAUGGUUGGAAGACGACAUAGCCGGGGAAAUCAAAUCAGGGGUCAAUCUUAAAGAUAGGAUCAUAGAUGAGGUGGAUGAGGCAUAUGUGAAGUACAAGAGGCUAUGCAAAAUAGUAUUCAAACAUGAAGCUAAGUAUCUAGAACAAUAUAAGGUGGAUAUGGAGGUGAUCAGAGAAUGGAAGGAGAUCGAAAAUAAGUCGACAGAGAGGUUAGAACAUCUAGAGAAAGGACUAAUGGAGCUAGAGGGGAAGAUGAGAAAGUGGCUUUGGGAUUGUCAAGGCAUGGAUCCUGAUGAAUAAGGGAAGCUGGCAAUGGCUUACUUGCUACUCGACAUGCGUGAUUUGGGAAAUGUGAUUGAUGGAGUCAAGAGAGCCAAACAUGGAGAAGGUCCUCCGGGGACCAAGUAGACUAGGAGAUAAUGUUCUUUACUGCUUUCUAGAUUAGAUUUCGAUGUAAUAAGUCCUAAUGCCAUUAGCCACUUUAUAAUUAUUAUUUUGAUUUAGUGAAAGAUUGAUUUGGCUUAUUUUCGCAUUAAUGGAAUAAGGCAACGCUGGCAUGAAUUUUCUCCAAGUCUAUGUGUCACUUUGGCCUACCUCAGGCACAAUAAGGUCCCCAAAUUAGGACGCGAAUUAUUGCAUGCCCUCACGUGAUACCUGCUUAAAUAUUGCAAACACUCUUUUACUUUGUCUCGCUGACUUGGUUACCUUUUCUUUUUCAUUUUUUGAUUACUCCCAUUAUCAAAGGUUGGUUCGUGCAUUUUAGCAUCAUUAGCAUACCACACCAGAUCCAGAUGUCCUCCAACUCCUCCUCCACCUAGCGACCCGAAAAGCAAAGGCAAAGAGAAGAUGGACGAUCUAAGUGGCAAUAAAAAAUACAAUGCUACCAUGGCAGAAAACGUUGAAACCUCAGAUGGAAGAAGUACGCUGGGAAAAAAUGAGUUGGUCUUACGUCUGGAACAGAAAAUCUUAGAGUUGCAGGGUGAGCUUGAUCAGGUCCAAAAUCUCGCAAACCUCUACCUUACCCUAAAUGUUCCUGACAUCAACCAGCAAAACUCAACCACUCAGAACCAAACACCACCGCGAAGUACCCAAACCUAAAAUCCACCACCUAUAGCUCCAUACAUUCCACCCGCAACGUACCAUUAUCACAAUCCCGCACCUCCUCAAAACCUUAACCCGCCACCAAUGCAAACCCUUUAACACCACCACCAUUAUCCAACCCAGUAUCUGCAAACCACCACUUAUCACACCCCUCAAAAUGCACCACAACUCAUCCCUGAUCUCUGUCAAACUUCGAUCAAUGAUCACCCAUAUACCCAAGGUCCAGGAACUCACCAAGGCAACCUGGUAUACGUGGAAACCGUACCUCAUACCCCAUACCCCACAACAACCCCUAUACAUACCUGAACGACCGAAAAAGACUUGCUCAUCCGAAACAUGGUAGAGGAACUCAAGAAACUGAGAGGGAGAGUCUAAAGUGUUGAAGGCGGAAAUGGUGUUGAAGGUUUAAACUAUGAAGACUUGUGUAUCCAACCAGAUGUAGAACUACCGGAGGGUUACAAACCUCCUAAGUUUGAGAUGUUUGAUGGCAUCGGAGAUCCUAAGGUGCAUCUGAGAACUUACUGUGACAAGCUUGUGGGAGUGGAUACGAAUGAACAAAUCCGCAUGAACUGUUCAUGCGAAGUCUUACAGUAGAUGCAUUAUCUUGGUAUAUCAGCCAGAAUCCGAAGAAAUGGGAAAAUUAGGUGAGCAUGGUAUCUGAUUUCAUGGAUAGAUUCAGGUUCAACAUAGAGAAUGCGUCAGGCAUUUUCUAUAUCCAGAACCUCAAGAAGAAGCCGACAGAAACCUUCCGCGAGUAUAUUACUCGUUGGAGAUCAGAGGCUGCCAAGGUGAGGCCACCACUUGAAGAAGAACAAAUGAACAAGUUCUUUGUCAGAGAUUAGGAUCCACAGCAUUACGAAAGAUUGAUGGUUAUAGAGAAUCAUAAGUUCUCAGGCAUCAUCAAGUUAGGGGAAAGGAUAGAACAAGGAAUCAAGAAAAGAAUGGUGACAAAUUUUGAGGCACUGCAAGCCACCAACAAAUCCUUUCAAUCAGGAGGUAUCUCAAAGAAAAAAGAAGUGGGUGCCAUGAUGGUAGCCCAAGGCCCUAAGUCUCCCCUUACAUACCAAACACCUCCACCCACAUAUCAACCCUCACCUCCAAAAUACCAAUACUCUGCCACCACCUACCAUACCUAUAACACCCAACCUGCAUAUUACCAUUCACCUCCUCCCGCCCGCCAAAACUACCCAAAGCCGCAACUAAACUUUGACCGCAGAGCUCCCAAAUAAUACACCCCUAUCGCUGAACCCAUAGCCCAACUGUAUGAGAGACUAAAGGCUGUUGAUUACAUCACCCACAUUCCUGUUAUUGCUAUUAAAAACCCUUCCCAAUGGGUUAACCCAACAAAACUUGUGCCUACCAUUCAGGUAUGAAGGGUCAUACCAUUGAGGAAUGACGUAUGUUGAAGGACAAUUACAUAAUAACUCUCUUCCUGAUCAUAGGGGUGAGGGAGUGAAUGUGAUAGAAACCGAUGAAGAAUGGGAUCAGGAGGGAUCCAUCGAACUUAUUCGAGAAGGGGAUGCUCCUAAAACAUCUCCUGUCACCCUCUCGCCGGUUGUGGUGAAAACCCAUUUACCAUUUGAGGUUGAGGUAGCUACGCCCUUCACCGUGAUGGUAGCUCCAACACCACCCUAUAAGUUUGAUUUUGUCCCAUGGGAUUAUGUGGCGGAAGCAAAAAGAAAAGGAAAAGCCAAGAUGGAAGAGACUGGUACUGCAUAAGGAAUGACUAAAACUGGCAUAGUCUAUACACCUGAGAAUCUUGGAGAACAAGCAAAUAGACCACAUCUAAGCCACAUGUCAUGUAGACGGGCACUGAUGAUCUUUGGAGGAUGGUAUAAGCGAGGGAAUACUCUAUUGUUGAUCACCUGAACAAGACUCCUGCCCAUAUAUCCAUCUUGUCAUUGUUGCAAAAUUCAGAUGCCCACAAGAAUACCAUGAUGGAGGUAUUAAGUGAAGCUUAUGUGCCCACCGGUAUCACUAGUGGAGAUUUGGCUAAAAUGGUAGGGCAGGUACUAGAGAGUUAUAAGAUUACUUUCCACAAAGACGAGCUACCGCCAGAAGGGUUGAGUCACAACAAAGCAUUGCACAUCACUGUGAAAUAUGAAAACAAGUUCAUUGCCAGGGUUCUGAUAGAUGGGGAUUCGAGCUUGAACAUAUUCCCGCCGAUUACUCUAAAAAGACUGGGUAAAGGCCUGCAUGAGAUACGGAUGGGAAGCAUGAAUGUGAAGACGUUCAAUAGAUCUUAGAGAGCCACUAUCAGAGAAAUCAACCUUGAUCUACAGAUGGGCCCGACCUAGUUCGAUGUCGAAUUCCAAGUGCUAGACAUAUUCGCCACCUACAACUUGUUAUUGGGACGACCAUGGAUACACACAGUUAGGGUAAUCGCUUCUACUCUGCAGUAGGUUAUGAAGUUCGAGUGGAAUAAUCAAGAGGUGAUUAUUCACGGAGAUGGAAGUAACCCUAUCUAUACCAAUCAAAUUGUGCCAGCUAUCGAGAACAUGAGAAAAUUGGGAGGAGAAACAUGCCAUCGCAUUCGAUAACUGGCACAAUUUGAUUGGUGUAGAUAGGGUUACUUCCAUCUCCAUGAAUAAUCCCCUCUUGAUUAUUCCACUCGAACUUCUGAGAAAAUUGGGAGGAGAAACAUGCCAUCGCAUUGAGCGAGUAAAGCAAUUUAGAAGGGUUAGUGGUGGAGCAAUAAGAUAGAGAGCAUACUGAUGUGGUUGGGGUAUGAACCAGGCAAGGAUCUUGGCUCAAAACUUCAAGGGAUCACAGAAACAAUACGACCACAAUAUCUUGGCACAACCUUUGGCCUCAGGUAUGAAUAUAUCGUGCAAGAAUAUCAGGAUUGGAUACCGUCGUGGCGUGCCGUUUACUAUCCAUUAGAACAACCCAUACCACCGAUGCACCAGACAUUCUGCAAGAUUGAUGUAAUUUGGGGAUCUAAAGAAGAUGAGGUUUAAGAUGAUAUGAAGAAGAUAUUUCUGGACGAGGAAUAUAUGGACUGCAGUGCGAUCUUAGAGAGGGAGGAGGAGGAAGACCUUACUAUUCAAAAAGUAGGAGAAUGAGCUAUUCUCAGGAAUUAGAAUUGUAACGACCCGACCGGCCGUUUGGCUUUCUAGGUCACCGUUCUCCUAAUUAAGACUCCCAAUAUGCGAUUUUACAGUUUUAUAACUCAUGGGGAUGGUUGGUUCGGGUUUAGAAGGGCUCAGUUUGAAAUCGGAACACUUAGUUCCUUAAUAGUGGCCUAUAACAGUCAAGUUUGACUUGAGUCAAUGUUGUGAGUAAACGACCUCAGAACCAGGAUUUGACGGUCCCAAUAGGUUUGUAUGAUGCUUUUGGACUUGGGCGUGUGUUCGAUUCGUGUUUCAGACGACCCGGGAGCGUUUCAGCGCUUAAUAUUGAAAGUUGGCGCGUUGAAGGUUCUUUAAGUUUGGUUUGGAGUAGACUUUGGUAUUAUCGGAGUUGGAUUUUGAUUCCGGAAGUGGGAAUUGUUUUGUAUGGUGAUUUGUGACUUGCACACAAAAUUUGGUGUCAUUCCGUGUAGUCUAAGUAUGAUUCCGCGCGUUCGAAGUAAAUUAAAGGCUUGAAGUUCAUAAACUAUUUUGAUUUGGUUUUGGGGUGUGAUUCUUAGUUUUGAUGUUGUUUUACGCAUUCCGAGGGUUCGAGCUAGUCUGUUUUAUGUUUAUGAACUUAUUGGUAUGGUUGGACGAGGCCCCGGGGGCCUCAGGUGCUAUUCGGACGAUGUAUGGAACAUGUUUGAACUUGGAAGGAUAGCUGAAGCAGCAACGAUCUGGUGCUUUCGCACAUGCGAAGAAUUGGCUAUAGGUGCGGCACUGCAGAAGGUGCACGAUCGCAGAAGUAGGUAAGAUGAGUCUGCAGGUGCAGACAUGGGGCCGCAGGUGCGCGAUCGCAGAAGCGGCCUGAAGAUGAAGGGGGCAGUGGCGCAGGCGCGAGGGAUCGACUACAUCUGCGAGCCCGCAGAUGCGAAGAAGGUGUCACAGAAGGGAAAUGAGGCCAGCAGGGGAGGACCGCAUCUGCGAUGCAAUUUUCGCAAAUGCGGAGCCGCAGAAGCUGAACCACUGGGGGGCAGAAGGCUGCAUUUAAGUUGGGACUUAGGCUCAUUUUUCUUCAUUUCUCUCACUUGUCCAUCAAAGUUAGAGCUCUUUGAGGAGAGAUUUUCACCUAGCACUUGGAGGUAAGUAAUUUCUAUACAAUGUGAGUUUAAAUCAUGCAUUAUGGGUAAUUGUAACAUAGAAAUUGUGGAAAUUAUAAGUUUAGUGGAAAAACCUAGGUCUUUGAUAAAAAAUGGGAUUAGACCCCAAAAACGAUUAUGGAAUCGGGUAGAAAUUAUAUAUUUGGGUAAGUGAGGCUAUGGGUAAUAUUUAUCUUCAAAAAUUCCCGAAUCCGGGCAAGUGGGCACGUGGGCCCGGGGGCAAAUUUUAGGAAUUUUCCAAUUUGGGUUGGGUUAUAACUCUAGAAGCUAAAUUAUGAACUUUUGAGUAUAUAUUGAUUAAUUUAUAUAAUAUUUGACUAGUUUCAGAUUGUUCAGCAAUGACUUGAGGCUUUUAGAGCGAAUUUAUGGACCGGAAAGUGAGCUUGAGGACGGGGUAAGUCUCUUGCUUAACCUUGUAAGAGGAAAUUUACCCCAUAGGUGUUUUAAAUUACUAUUUGCUACUAAUUGUGGGUGCUACAUACGCACGAAGUGACGAGAGUCCGUGCAUAGCUACAAUCAUGCUUAUGUCCGGGUAGUUUUAGGACUCUAUCAUGAUUUAUUAUUUGCACUCUACUUGUUAAUUUAAGUGUUUAAAUUAUAUUGAAACUUGAUAAAGGAUUUGUAAAGACCUAACUUCAUUUACUUUGAGUUUUUUUGGCAGGUCACUUGACCGUUGAUAGAAAUUUGUGCCUCCUUGUGUAUUAGUCUCAUAGUAGCCGUUAAAUCGGAGUUCGUAAAGUAUUCUCUCUUCUUGUGGAGAAGGCCGAACGCCUCAACAGUAUAAUAGAUGCAUCUAUGGUUCGCGCCGGUCGACCCUCAGUAGUGUACACAUUAUUCUGGAUCGGGUCGUACGACCUUGACAUAAAUCGUGUGUGGUAAUUCUCGGAGUCCGAUUACACUUGAUAUUACUUUCAUGACUUGAGAAAUUAUAGUUUACUUGAUGGGACAUAUUUGUUGAAGUUAAUAUGUGCUAAAUGGGGAUUUUAAAUUGACUUCUAGUUAAAGAAUCACUUAUUUACUGUUUGUUAUUGUGUUAUUAUUAUUGAUGUAUUCCAUGCCUAUUUAGAAUUUCUGUAGUUUAUUUAUUGGCCCAUUGUAAGUAUCGAUGUCGAUCCCUCGUCACUACUUCUUCGAGGUUAGACUAGAUACUUACUGGGUAUAUGUUGUUUAUGUACUCACGCUACACUUCUGCAGUAAUUGUGCAGGAUUUGAGGCAGGUGCAUCUAGCAGUCAUUCAGGCCCCUACCCCCGUUACUCCGAGGCAUAGUGGUGAGCUGCUCUCUACGUCCGUUCUGCAGCACCCGCAGUCUCUCUUUUGUAUUUAUUUUAUUUCUAUCUUAUUGUAGACAGUAGUGUAGGAGGUUUGUAUAUUCUACUAGUUGCUCAUACACUUGUGACAUCGGGUUUUGGGAAUAUUCUAGUAGAAACAUCAUAGGUUUGAGUAUUAAAUUCACUGUAUUUACUGUCUUGUUUGUUUAUGCUUUACUUUACUAUAAAUUCUUACUAAUCAUUCUCUUAAUAAAUAAAAUCAACUACUUUGAAAUUAUUAAAAAGAACAACUACAUGACUAGUUCAUGCGUUGGCUUGCCUAGCAGCAUUUCGUGAUAGGAUUGCUGCACCAUCCCGGGCUCGCCGAGUACCUGGGUAGCCUUGGCAGAAUUAGCAUGAAUUGUUUUAAAAUUGUUUUUGGGCAUUUAAGACAUUUUUAAUAUUUUGUUUUGAAAUAGUUACUCGAGACAUCGAGUCGUACUUGUUGACAAUUUUAAGUUUUAUUAAUGCAUUAUUGCUUUUCAUUUAUUUAUUGUUAUCUUUCUACAUUCUUUUUCAGCAUAAUUAUUACAUAUCCUGAUGAACCUACGACUGUGACAUGUAAUGAGAUAACGCAACAUAAGGAACUCGCAUAAGCAUUCAUAUAUCGAUGUUAGAAGAUGAUAUAAUACCUGAGGAAAUUGUCAAAGAGGUAGAGAAUUUUGAGAACAAACCAAAGUCCAAUUUGGAAGAAAUUGAGGCAGUUAACUUAUGGGAUUCUGAAACAGUCAAAGAAACUCGCAUAAGCAUUCAUAUAUCGAUGUUAGAGAAGGAAGAGUAUAUAAGGUUUCUAAAGGAAUAUGAGGAUAUUUUUGAAUGGUCCUACGAUGACUUGACUAGGUUAAGCACAUCCAUAGUGAUGCACGAGCUACCUACCAACCCUACAUGUCCUCCGGUGAAACAGAAGCUCCGGAAAUUCAAGCCAGAUAUGAGUCUGAAGAUAAAGGAAGAGGUUACCAAGCAAAUCAAAGCCAAGGUCCUUCGAGUGGUCGAGUACCCAGCCUAGCUAGCCAACAUUGUGCCGGUUCUAAAGAAGGACGGGAAAGUCAAAGUGUGCGUUGACUAUCGAGAUCUGAACAGAGUAAGUCCUAAGGAUGAUUUCCCAUUGCGCAACAUACACAUACUGAUAGACAAUUGCACCAAGCAUGAACUCUAAUCCUUUGUGGAUUGCUUCGUAGGAUACCACCAGAUUUGGAUGGACGAAGAGGACACUGAAAAGACAACCUUCAUAACACCAUGGGGGAUAUAUUAUUACAAAAUGAUGCCAUUUCGUUUGAAGAACGCUGGGGCCACCUAUAUGAGGUCCAUGACUAAUCUUUUCCAUGAUAUGAUACACAAGGAAAUAGAGGUGUACGUGGAUGACAUUAUUAUCAAGUCUAAGAGAAGUUUGGAUCAUAUAACAGACACGAGGAAGUUUUUCGACCGGCUUCGAAAGUACAAUCUGAAGCUAAAUCCUGCAAAAUGUGCUUUCGGAGUCCCUGCUGGGAAGUUGCUGGGUUUCAUCGUCAGUCGCUGCGGUAUUGAGCUAGACCCGUCAAAAAUCAAAGUUAUUCAAGACUUGCCACCGCCAAAGAACAAGAAGGAUGUGAUGAGUUUUCUAGGACACCUCAAUUACAUCAGCCAUUUUAUAGCACAGUCAACGGUGACAUGUGAGUCGAUCUUCAAAAUGCUGAGGAAAUAUGAUGCGACGAACUGGACCGAAGAAUGUAAAAAGGCUUUCGCCAAAAUCAAGGAUGUUACACCAUGUGCGUCCCAAGGUGAUACAUAAUGAAUAUGAGACUUAUUAAUCAUGAUUUAAAUUAUUUUAAAGUCAUAAUAUGGCUAUAUAUGAUAUUUGGAUAGAAAAUAUGAAGUUUGGGAAAAAUCGGAUUAAAGUUGCGGAAAAAUCGACUAAGGAUUUGCUCUGUAACAUAGCUUUUUGAGAAAUAUAUUUUGUGUUCCAUAUAAGGUCUUUUUGGUACAUAUUAUAUACCAAAUUGAAUGUAUUGGAAUUUAGUUUCCAAUGAACUUAACCGUUCGUUCAUACGACAUCCUUAUAAAAAUAUAUAAGCGUCGGAAAAUGGGCGAAUGAGAGGGUGCCAAGCUAGCACCUUUUGACUUUUCAAAAGUUGAUAUAUAUGUCUUAACUCGUCUCUCUCUUCAUUUAUACAUAGAACCUGACCAGAGAACACCAUAAAACCCGUCCUUGAGCUCUCUAAUAGUGCUUCAAAUAAUACUAACAUCCCGGGUACGAAAUCGAGAAACGAUAACAUCGGGACGAUCCUUACGACGUAAGUAUCGCUAUAUCGCCUCUCUUUUUCUUUGUAGUUUGAGUUUUGGAAUAUAUUUAAUAGUUAAUAAAAUGCCUAAUUUCUGUAUUUAAGUGUUUAAAUAUCAAGAAAGGUUGAUAAAUUCGUUUCCUAAUAGUUAGACCUCAAGGGACGGUGAUCGGAAACCGUGAGUUCGAGUUAUUUAACUUGUAGUGGACUGUUUUGUGGGCUGUUUCGUGUUGCUUUUGGGCUGUCUAUUGUACUGCUGAUUUAUGGAGUUUGGAAGGAUAAAAGAGCGUGGAGAAACGUCACAUGUGGUAGGGUAGUAGGUUGGUCGCUCGUUGUUAUAGUUACAGGCUAAUUGAUAACUUGUUGAUUGGGUAUAUUUGGGUUUUUUGUUGUAUUGAAGGUCCUGAAUUGUAAUUAGGUUAGUUUUGAGUUGCUGAUUGUAUUGUGCUUGUAUCUCGCCUAUAGUAGGAUUGAGGGAGCAGUGAAAUCAGGGGAAAUGCUGCCCGUGUUAUUUUAGAAUCGAGUUAUCGUUUGAGAUACGUAAUAUACUACCGCCAUCUAAGUUGUACACAUAUUUCUUUGUUAUAGGGUUGGCGCGCUAGUUGUCAUAAGCUUGUUGUUGAGUUUCAUUGAUGACUUGAGGUAUGUUAAUGCUAUUCCUUCUUUAUUUUUGGCAUGAUCCAAAUGAUACAAAUAAAACGAGCAAAAUACGCAACUUUCAUAAAUGACUCUAUUCAUAGAAAUACUAGGGUGUCUAUAUUCUUGAUUCCCCAUGUGAAUUAUUAUUAUAUCCUUUGUUCACGGGUCUCAAAAAAAUACGUAUUUGAUAAAGUUUGUCCGAAAGGCAUAUUGAUUUUAUGAUAUUCGAGAAAUCUUAUUAAUGUAUUUCUUAUGCAUUUCAUGCAUUUAUACAUGUACAUUGACCCAUGACCAGAAGGCAUUAUAUACGCGUAUAUUAUGUGUAUAUGGGAUAUGGAAAAAAGGUUACGACGUUAUAUACGCACCACCACAUGAUCAACUGGUAUACGUUAAUGAUUUGCCCACAAUGGCCGAGAUGAUUGAUGGGAUGCCCUUAGAGGCUUGAUGAUGUUAUGUACACCUAUACCUAUGCAUGAUACGACAUUUACACACACGUGCAUGGCAUUAUAAAUGUUUCAGAAUUCAUAAAGUUAUUUAGACUCAUAGGUGGAAUUCUUUACUCCAUGUUUCAUCUAUGUCUUUUGUGUACUGAUUUUCAUGCCUUACAUACUCAGUACAUUAUUCAUACUGACAUUCCUUUUGCCUGGGGACGNNNNNNNNNNNNNNNNNNNNNNNNNACGUAGAACUCGGGCACUCGUCACGGCCCAUCGGUUUGGGUCGUUACAAAGGAGUACUUGUCUAAGCCGCCCGUGUUGGUCCCGCUAGAGCCAGGAAUACCUUUGUUGUUGUACCUGUCUGUGUUGGAUGGAGCCUUUGGUUACGUCCUGGGGCAACAUGAUGAAACCGGGAGAAAAGAGCAGGCGAUAUAUUAUCUGUGUAAGAAGUUCACACCUUACGAAGCCUGGUACUCUUUGUUGGAAUGUACCUGUUAUGCUUUGACAUGUAUAGCCCAGAAAUUGAGACACUACUUCUGUGCAUACACUAUGUACCUCAUAUCCAGGAUGGAUCCACUGAAAUACAUCUUUUAGAAACCCAUGCCUACGGGUAAGUUAGCAAAGUGGCAUAUAUUUAUAAGUGAGUUUGACAUCAUCUCUGUGACUCAGAAGGCAGUCAAAGAGCAAGCAUUGGCCGAUCACCUAGCGGAGAACCCCGUAGACGGGGAGUACAAACCAUUGAAGACGUAUUUUCCUGACGAGGAAGUAUCAUUUGUAGGGGAAGAUAUUGCCAAAAUAUAUGACGGUUGGAGGAUGUUUUUUGACGGAGCCGCAAACUUUAAAGGAGUGGGUAUUAGAGCUAUUUUAGUAUCAGAAACUAGUCAACACUACCCGGUGUCGGCCAAGCUCAGGUUCCCAUGCACUAAAAAGAUAGCAGAAUACUAGGCUUGCAUCUUGGGACUCAGAUUAGCCAUCGACAUUAAUGUUCAAAAGUUGUUGGUAAUUGGAGAUUCAGAUCUAUUGGUACACCAAGUACUAGGAGAAUGGGCUACUAAGAACACUAAAAUAUUGCCAUACUUGCAUUGUAUGCAAGAUUUAAUCAAGAGGUUCACGAAGAUAGAAUUCAAACACGUGUCAAGAAUUUAGAACGAGUUUGCAGAUGCGCUGACUACCUUGUCUUCCAUGAUAUAACAUCCAGACAAGAAUUUCAUUGAUCCUAUCCCGAUAGAGAUUCGUAAGCAGCCAGCUUAUUGUGCUCAUGUUGAAGAAGAGUUUGAUGGAAAGCCAUGGUUUCACGAUAUCAAGGAGUAUUUGGAUAAAUGAGAAUAUCCAUAAAAUGCUACACACACUCAGAAGAGCACACUUCAAAGACUGGCCAACCACUUCUUUCAGAGCGGAGGGAUUCUGUAUAGAAGGACUCCUGACUUGGGAUUGCUGCCAUAUGUCGAUACCAAUGAGGCAUCUAGAUUUCUCGAAGAAAUACACGUCAGAACCUACAGACCCCACAUGAAUGGGUUCGUUCUAGCCAAGAAGAUAUUGAGGACACGGUAUUUUUGGAUGACUAUAGAGACAUACUACAUCAAGUAUGUACAAAAGUUCCACCAAUGCCAGGUACAUACUGAUGUAAACGAGUGCCACCCAACAAACUCAGUACAACGAGUUCACCCUGGCCAUUCUCUACCUGAGGCAUGGAUGUCAUCGGGCCAAUUAAACCCGCUGAUUCAAACAGACAGAGGUUCAUUUUGGUG
rnacentral:lncRNA from 1 species